UUUUUUUUUUUUUUUUUUCGGAGAGACUGGCUUUUGGGCCUAUUGCCGUGUAAACGGAAAUGUCUUUUUUUUUUCCAAUAAUUUUUUGUGUGAAAUAGCAGCAAUUUCAGGAACUAGAGACAUGUGAAUGCAUAGGAAGUUAGAGCUCCACAAAAAAUAUAUAAGUAAAAGAAUAAAAGACAAAAAGAUUUGUACUUCAAUUCUUCAACUGAGACUCUAAGUCUAAUUAAGAAAAAAAAAAGCAUAAAGGAAGAGUUCAAGAGUCAAAUUAAAACUUUACAAUUACUUGAUUGAUGACCCUAUUGAUUAAUUCCAAUGUUCAAGAAACUAAAAGGAGGUAUGGAACUCAAGAGCAUUAAGAAAUCAGGAUCAAGGGCAUGGUACUUCGUUUGCAAUUGCAUGACCAUAUUUGUAAAAUCAUUUGAACUGCAAAAAUGCCAUAACAAAACGAUGGGUGAAGUAGGAAAGAUUUAUAUCUGUUGUUGUAAUCUCUCACUAUGAGAGCCUCUUUCUCUCUAUUCUAGAGAGAGAAAUCUCCCUCCUAUGGGAGUCGUGCUUUUCUCUAACAAAUUUUCAAAAAAUCUCGAAUCCCAAAAUAACAGAUCCUAUUCAUCAAAUUUUCUUUCCUAUUUUAGCAUUCAUUCCAAAUUAGUAGUUUGAGCUAAGUACAUGAAUCUACCUUAGAUUAGCCUAAACAUUUACAGUUGAUAGCCAUAUAAUUCAUCAAUAAGUUCGCGGGAGGUGUUGCUUUGUGAUUGCUGUUGAGCUUUCUUUCUAUUCUUUUGUUGUUUUGCUUCUUCUGUUUUGUCUGGUACUUUUCAGGUUGCUCAGCUAGAUCGUUGAUCUAGGGGCUUAGCAGUGUAUUCAAGGAGACGAUGCUUGGGAAGCUGGAAAACGGUGAUGAUUUCUGGAGCUGAACUGGUUCUGCAACAAUUUGGAACUGGCUGCAGCUUAGACCGUGGGAUCUUCGAAAAUGGAACACAUAGAAGAGAUAAUGAGGAAAUUCACCUUAUCUGAGAAUGAGAGCGAGGGAGUUUGUCUAGGGAAUGAGGAUUUGGAAAAAGGUGUAAAUGAGUGCAGAUUGAGUCUAAUAGGGAGAGUGUGGGGGGAAAAAAUAGCUAACAAAACUGGUAUGAGGAGUUUUGCUACUAAUGUGUGGCCUCAGUUGAGAAACGUAAAAAUUACAGAGGUCAAGGUCAAUAUGUUUCAAUUUGUUUUUGAGUCUAAAAAGGAUAUUGAGUUGGUGCUUAGCAAAAGACCUUGGAUAUAUGAUGGCUAGCCUCUGGUUUUACUGGAAUGGCAGGCAGAUUUAGAGGAGAAGGAGCAGGCGUUUAGUAGGACUUUAGUGUGGGUUCAAAUUUGGAAUUUACCUCUCCACUGGGUUACUAAGGAGGAUGGGCGUAAAAUAGGUGGAAUAUUUGCAGGGGUUAGAGAGGUCAUUAUUCCUCAGGGAGGAGGCAAGGAAGGUAAGCAUCUCAAAAUCUUAGCUGAAGUGAAUCUUAAAGAGCCUCUGCCUAGAGGUACUAUGGUGAAAAGUAAUGAAGGAACCAGAUGGAUUGAGUUUAGGUAUGAGAAAUGCCCUGAUUUUUGCUUCAACUGUGGACUGAUAGGACAUAAUGAGAGAAUCUGCAAUAGGAAAGGGGUAAACGUGGAUAGGUGACAGGUGCCGAACCUGUGCAAUAAUAAAUACCUACUCAAGAAAAUUACAAAAUUUGUAUAUAGCGGUGAGUAGGGUCGAAUCCACAGGGACUGGAAAUAAUUCGUUUCUUCUCAAAUUCAGAGUAUGGGGAGUUUUUGAUGGGAGGAAAAUAAAAAAUGAAAUAAAACAAACAAAAUUCAAAACUAACUCACAAAGCACAAUUUACUAAAUAUAGCAAUUAACAAAAGUUCUACCCAAAGGAUCAACUACUCAGGUACGGUCCAAUUAAAUGAUCAUCGAUGCAAAGAUAUUUCAUCCAUUCAUCACUAGGUUGGUUAUAGUUAUCAACAAGCUCUGACAACCAGUUCUUCCUUACUUUUUCGACAGUCAAGGUACGACCAUUGACUGCUUCUCUAACCAGAUAACAACCCUAGGUACGACUGUAGGAAUUUAAUUACCCAAUUGCAUUGAAGCUCGAAGAACCCAACCCUAACCAAUAAACACGCUAAGAGAGUUUAUUUAAACUAGAUCUUACGCUUCCCCAUCAUAAAGCUAAUUAUGGUGGUUGCCACGAGGUGUUAACUAAAUGAACAAUUACGGAUUCUAUUUAAUUAACGUGGCAGUAGGCUAUUAAAUUAAAUCAAAUACCCGGCCGUUGAUAUUCAAUUAAUAAAAUACUCAUGAACAAUUAAUUCAGGAAACGCACGAAUAGCAAUAAAUUGGAAGAAAUAGUGAAGAUUCGAUUAGAUCUCACAGAUAUUAUGGACCGCGCCCUCGCGUCAACCUUUGGGUAUAUGAGGAAAUUAGCCGCUCCUCAUCGCAUUAAUUUCACGUGAUUCAAUUGACAUCAUCCGCACAAUUACCCAAGAAUCAAUUGCCCAGAAAUAGGGAGGAUGAAUUAAUCGAAGAAACAAUCAACGAAAAACCUGGCUUCGUCUUGUAUUGGAGCCGCAAUUACAAAGCAAAAGCCAACGGAGAAUUGUCAAAGGCGAAAGGAACGAAUUCAAGAGUCAGAGUCGCAUAAAGCAAAAACUACGGAAAAGAAGAAAGUCUCCAAUGUCUGACCCAAAGCCGCAAAAGAAACAAAAGAAAAGCGUCUAACCCCAAAAUUGCAAAAAGUAAAACUAAAGCUAACAGAAGUGAUCCCCCGAAUCUUCCUUUUUUCCUCUUUUUUAUAGCCGCCGUAAGUAGUAUUCCUCCCAGGAAGAGGCUUUUGCCUAAGGGGCGCUGAUCCCACGCUUCAGGUUCACGUGGACCGGGGUCCGGCUUUUCGGUAACGUCCACCUUGUCUGGCGUGACCACGCCCUGAAAUGAGAAGUCUUCUGGAAAUUUACCUCAAGAUAUCAUUUUUAAUGCUAACCACCUACAAGUCACACAAAUAUCAAAUAUGAGUGAAAUUUCAUUUCUUAGCACCAUGAAUAGCCAAAAUUAGGACAAGAUGACAAUGCAAAAUGUGCCAAAUAACUGCUCUAUCAAUAGGGAGAGUCAGUAUGGUAACUGGCUUCGAGCCAAUUUCCCUAGGAGUCCAAGGAAGAAAGGCAGGAAUGAUAGGGAAGAGGAAACAUCAGGGAAAUAAGGGUAUAGGGAUCAAAGCUCAGAUGGGGAAACUGGGAGCCAACUGUAUCCUCUACUUACCUACACUAAAGAAUUCCAUAGGGGGAACGGGAAGACAGAUAUUCAAUCCAAUGAGAAGGAGAACUGGGGACCAGCAGUUAGGGGGGCCAAAGAGAAGCGUGGAAUGGGAGGCAGAAGGGUGAGGGGAUUAGUAAGUAUGUGGUAGGGGAGCAAGAGAGUAAGCAUGGAGGACAGGUUUUAGAGGAGGUAAAGGAGUUAGUAGAAGUAGAAAAAGGAGGAGACUUGCUGAUGCUCAAGGCAGUGGAUGUGGGGAGUGCAGUGGAGGGAGGGAGUGGCAAGGAUAAGAUGUGGAUUGAUGGUGAGAACAACCACUAUUUGCACAGGGGUAGGAGUAUGAAGGAGGGGGUAAAGGGAGGGAGGGAAGAUCAGCAGGAAGGCCAGGGUAAUAAAACCGGCACGGGGAAGUAUAGGAUCAGUAAGACAUGGAAGAGACUGGUGCAGGAGGUGGGAAAGAGGAAGCCUUUGACUAAGAUUGAAACUGCACAGAAUGGCAUGGAAAUAGGGAAGAGAAGAAAGGGAGCAGGUGGGGGUGAGCUGGAAAGGAACCUGAGGAAGGCUGAGUGUAAGAAGAAAGCCAGGCUGAUUGAAGGGGUUAGAAUGUGGUGAUGCUGUAUAAGGUGGUGGAGCCCUUCCUUAAUGGGGCUCCUACCCCUCAAUGAGAACUCUGGUGUGGAACUAUCGAGGUGUGGGGAGCCCCUUGACAGUUCUCCAACUUAAGGAACUUGUACAAGUCCACUCUCCAUCUCUGAUAUUCUUAUCAGAGACAAAAAAGAAAAAGACCUUCAUAAAUAGUGUUAAGCAAUGGGUAAAGUUUGAUGAUCUGUUUGUAGUAGACCCUGUGGGGAUUGCAGGUGGUUUAGCUGUGAUCUGGAAGAGGGAUAUAUGGGUGAAAAGUAUCUUAUUUACUAGUUUUACUAUAGAGUUACUUAUAGGGGAUCAGGGAGGUAGUCGAGAUUGGUGGUGUGUGUGUGCCUAUGCCAGUUCAGAUGAUAAGAUUAGGGUGUAGCAAUGGAGGGUGUUAGAGAGGAGAACACAGAUUUGGGGUGGUUGUUGGUCUUAAAUGAGAGAUUUGAACGAUAUCACCUAUAAUAGAGAGAAGUGGGGGGGUAGAAUCAGGCCUGCUAGCGGUUUUGAAAGUUUCACUGGUUUCAUUAAUAGGGCUGGCCUGAUAGAUAUUGGCUUUGAGGGAGUGCCUUGGACCUAGUGUAAUAACUGGGACAAUGAAGGAGUGAUUGAGGAAAGGAAUGAUAGAGUGAUGGGUACUAAGCAGUGGUGUGGAAAUUUUGGAAAGGCUAAAGUUACUCAUGCUGAAACAGAAGCUUCUGAUCAUUGUGCCUUGGUACUAGAUCUGGCCCAUGUAGAAAUACCAAGAAAGAGGAGAUUUGCUUUUGAUAAGAGAUGGAUUAUGCAGGAGGGGGUUGGGGAGGUGAUCAAGGAGGCAUGGGGGAAGGAGCAACAGGGGUCAAGGUUGUAUAGAGUGCAGAGUAAAAUUAAACAAGUUCGUAUGAAUCUGCUGCAUUGGAGCAAAAAAUUGAAUUUGAACUCAAAAAAGCAGAUAGAACAGAUUAAAAAGGAAAUUAAAGAUGUGAGGGAAAGCCAGGGCAGAGAGGACAGAACAAAAUUUAUAGGACUGAAGAGGAAAUUGGUAGAGGCUUACAAGAGAGAGGAGGUAUACUGGAGUCAGAAGGCAAGAAUUAAAUGGCUCCAGGAGCGAGACAAAAACACUAGCUUCUUCCAUGCUAGUGUAAUAAGUAGGAGGAAGCAGAAUAGGUUUAAUGGUCUGAAAAGGAGAGGUGGGGAGUGGCGUAGGAAUGAGGAGGAGGUCAGGGAGGAAAUUGUGGACUAUUUUCAGCAAUUGUUCACGUCUGAUGAUCCAACUGAUUUCAGUGUUAUUUUGGAAAAGAUCUCACAGACUAUAACUGCUGACAUGAACAGAAAGUUGACAUGGCCAGUCUCUGAUCAAGAAAUCAGUCAUGCAGUAAAUUCGAUGCAUCCAAACAAGUCUCCUGGACUAGAUGGUAUGUCCUCUAUCUUUUUUCAAAAAUUUUGGCAUGUUUUCAAAUGUGAUGUUAUUAGUGCAGUUCAAAGCUUUUUUCACUCUGGUCAUAUCCUAAAAUCCAUAAAUGAGACCUUGAUAAGCCUUAUCCCUAAAACUGAUUCACCAAUUCUGAUUGCUAAGUUUAGACCUAUCAGCUUGUGUAAUGUAACUUACAAGAUCAUCUCAAAAGUUCUAGUCAACAGAUUUAAAACUGUGCUAGACUGUUGCAUUAGUUCCUCUCAGUUUGCUUUUGUGCCUGGUAGGCAGAUUCUAGACAAUGUCCUAGUGGCACAUGAGAGUAUUCAUUUUCUUAAUAAUAAGAGAACUGGAAAGGAUGGUUAUAUGGCUAUCAAGCUUGAUAUGUCUAAGGCUUAUGAUAGAGUUGAAUGGGUGUUUUUGGCAAAGAUGAUGCAAAAAAUGGGGUUCUGUCCAACUUGGAUUCAGUGGAUUUUAGAGUGUAUAACUAGUGUCACCUACUCUGUGAAUGUUAGUGGGGAAAAAAGGGGGUUUAUCAAGCCUUCUAGAGGCUUAAGGCAGGGGGAUCCCCUAUCCCCCUACUUAUUUCUGAUUUGUGCAGAAGGUUUCUCUGCCUUGCUCAGAAGAGCUAAUAGACAAGGUGGUAUGUCUGGAAUGAAGAUUGCUAAUGAAGCUCCUAGCUUGUCUCAUCUCGUCUUUGCAGAUGAUUCACUAAUUUUCUGCAGAGCCAAGGUUGGGGAGGUUGUGCAGCUUAUGAAGGUGUUGGAAGAAUAUGGAAGAGCAUCUGGCCAGUUGAUCAACAAAGAAAAGUCCUCUAUCUUUUUCAGCAAAAAUGUCAAAGGAAGGAGAAAGGAAGAGGUGCUUAAAGAGCUGGAAGGCAUGAGAGAGGUUCAUCAGAGCAAAUAUCUUGGGUUUCCUAUGGUUAUAGGAAGGUCAAAGAGACAGGUAUUUGAGUUUAUUAGACAGAAAGCAGUUAAAAGACUUGGGGGUUGGAAGGAAAAACUUCUGAGCCAAGCAGGAAAGGAGACUUUAUUGAAGUCUGUCAUUCUAGCUCUCCCUGCAUACGUGAUGUCUUGCUGUAGGCUGCCAAAGGCAUUGUGACAGAAUGUAUGUUUAGAAAUGGCUAAAUUCUGGUGGGGAUAGAGGGAGGAUGAAAAGAAAAUUCACUGGAUAAAAUGGAGUAGAAUGACAGAUAUCAAAGCUGAAGGGGGCCAGGGAUUUAGGGAUUUACAGGACUUUAACUUGGCAUUAUUGGGGAAACAAUUAUGGAGAAUUUUGAUGCAGCCUAAUUUGCUGAUGAGUAGAGUAAUGAAAGCGAGAUACUUUGGUGGGAAAUCCAUAUGGGAUGUACAACCGAAAGGAAUAGCUCAGGGGAACUGGUAGGUUCAUCAGCGAGGCCAACUGAAGGCUGUGCUGAGGCACAGGUGGAGGAAGCUCUGGCAAUAAGAGAAGCUAUGGUACUAGCGAAACGAAUGGGAUGGAGAAAAGUGGAGCUGGAAUCGGACUGUAAGCUAGUAGUGGACAAAAUCAAUGCAAGGGAGGAGGAAGUCAGCAUAGCCGUAAUUCAGUUGGAUAUUUGGAGGCUGAUGAAAGAAUUUGAUAAAUGUUGUUUUUCCUAUACUAGAAGGAGCAACAACUAUGUAAGUCACUAUUUAGCAAAGUUUGCUAUAACACUGAUUGAUGUAGUUGAAUGGAAGCUUAGCUUCCCAGCGUGGCUGCUUGAGUUAACUCGGGCAGAUUUACAGGAGCAGUUGCUCUGACUUUGUACCCGUUUAUGCUUAAUACAAUGUUAUCGUUUGAAAAAAAAAAAGAAGUGGGAAAGAUUUUCUUAGGAUCUGUUUGGAUGAGGGAUUUGAGUGGAUUUGGAUUUGAAAUCCACCCAUCAAUUGGAGGAAUUUCAAAGCUCAAAAUUGUACAGUGGAGAGAAUGACAUAAAAUAUGCAUCCGUAAUUUAUCUCAAGGAGGAAGCAUGUUUAGCCAAAAGACUCAUUGGCUCGGUUUAAAUUGACAAUACUGUAGAAUAAAUAGUCCUAAUGUUCCAAGUUAUAUGAGCAUAUAAUUAAAUUUAGGGUAAAAAUACACUUUAUCCCCUGUGGUUUGGCACUUUUUCGCAUAACCCCUUGAGGUUUGAAAAGUUAUAUAUAACCCUUUUAUAAUUUGGACAAUAGUGUCAAAAUGGCAGAAUUUGUAUUCCAUAAUAAAAUCAACUAAAAUGUUAAAAGUUCUCAUUUAUAAAGUUGAAAACUAUUAAUUACCAACAGGGGGUUAUGCAUAAAUUUUAACAAUCAAAAUGAGAUUAUAUGGUAAAGUACUAAAUCGUAAGGGAGUUAUGUGGUAAAAUACAAAACUAUAAAGGGUUAAAAUGUCAUACAUAUUACGUUUAUAUAUUUUACUUAUUUCAACUAUUUUAGUUUUUAAAUAAGGGUAUUUUUUACAUUUUUUGGAUUCUGUUAUAUAGGAUAUUUUUGUCAAUUUGACACUUCAAUUCAAACUAUAAAGGGACUGUGAAUAACUUUUAAAACUUUAGAAAAAUUAUGUAAAAAAUUAUUAAAUCACUUGGGAGUAAAGUAUAUUUUACCCUUAAAUUUAUUAAAGAUGACAAGACAAAUCAAGUACGAUGUUAUCUAAGAGUACAUCGCACAGUUUGUGCACCACCAACCCUUUCAUCCCAAAUGUCAUUCGGAAUUGUGUUCUUUGUGGUCAUGCAAGUGAAAUUAUUGCCACCUACCCGUAAUCAUCCAAGUGAAGUUGCUACCACCAACUAUCCUUUCAUUCAGCCAUCUUAUCCCAAAAUCUUAUCCGGAACGUGUUUUUUGUGUUCAUGCAAGUGUAAAUGUACUGAGAUAAUCCACAUCGGAGAUCAGAAGAACAAAGAAAUGAAAUAUAAGUUUUGAUCCGUUGAAUUAUUAAGGGUUAAUCACAUUUUAUCCCGUUAAAGAAUACCCCAUUUCUCAGUUUACCCCCUAACAUUUAAUUUUGCUCACUUAACCCCCUUUAGGAUAAAAUUGCCUUUGCAUUAUUUUGACUUUUCAUUUACCUUGUUUUCCUUUCUUUUAUUUCUUUUUCUCUUUCUUCUUUAUUUAAUUCUUCCUCUUUCCCACAAAAAUUUUCACCUUAAUGAUUGAAAUUAAAAAAGAGGAAUUACAAAGAUCUAUCUUCUUCUUAAAUGAUCAAAAAAAAUUCAAACCACUUUUCUAAAAUACAGUUUUUUUAGCCUUUCAAUUCUUUUAAUUUUGGGUUUUCCUCUUUCCUUUCUAGUUUCUCAUUUUAUUCUCAAGAAAAUAUCAUAAGAUGAAAUUGUUUUCCUUUCUUUUAUUUCUUUUUCUCUUUCUUCUCUCUAUCAUCCUUCCCAAUAGAAAAUUCGAUUUCCACAAAAAUUUUUGUUUUGAGUUUGUAAUCGCAUAUUUUUGGGCGAAGGUUUAAAAGACAUCAAAAACUAAUUUUGAUUUUUUGUAUGAUGUCACGUGCCACAAAUUUCAAUUGAUAAUUAUUAAUCAGGUCACAAUUUCAUCUUAAGAUAUUUUCUUGGGAAUAAAAUGAGAAAUUAGAAAGGAAAGAGGAAAACCCAAAAUUAAAAGAAUUGAAAGGCUAAAAAAAAUUGUAUUUUAGGAAAGUGAUUUGAAUUUUUUUUAAUCAUUUAAGGAAAAGAUAGAUCUCUACAAUUCCUCUUUUUUAAUUUCAAUCAUUAAGGUGAAGAUUUUUGUGGGAAAAAGGAAGAAUUAAAUAAAGAAGAAAGAGAAAAAGAAAUAAAAGAAAGGAAAAUAAGGUAAAUGAAAAGUCAAAAUAAUGCAAGGGCAAUUUUGUCCUAAAGGGGGUUAAAUGAACAAAAUUAAAGGUUAGGGGGUAAACUGAGAAAUGGGAUAUUUUUCAAUGGGAUAAAAUGUGAUUAACCCAAUUAUUAAUUAUUUUGAAUACACAGUUUCAGUUCAAAAAAUUAUUCGGCCAAUCUAGUAGACUCGGAGCGUUAUAAAUGGUAUCAAAGCAAUUCUUUUAUGGUCUCUUAUCGGAAUUCUCUAGAAUCCACAUAUGACUGAGUGGUGAGUGGAUAGUUAUGAUCAAAUUUUGCAAGAACGUAAAGUUUCAAAGGGGAGGAUUGAGUGAGAUGUCGCACAUUGGAAAUCGGAAAAAGAACUAAAUGAAUUAUAAGUUUCGCCCCAUCCAAUUACUAAUAAAUUUGGAUUAAUCAUUUUAAAUACAUAGUUUUAAUUCAAAAAGUUAAUGGGUCACACCAAUGGACCCAAGGCGUUAUAUCUUCCGUUUCAUUCAGUACUAUAUAUAUAUACACACACAUGUGUGUGUGUGCAAAAGUUUUUUUCUGAUUGGGUAGCAUUAUUAUAUAAGAAAAAUGUUUUAAAAAUAGUUUGCAACAGCUACCCUUAAUUCAUCUUGUCAAUGAACACUCCACUUGUACUUAGAUACUAAACUAAUAUUUGACAUUGCAAAAAAAAAAAAAAACAAAAUCCCUCAAAACUAGGAUUCUCUCCAUGUAGUAUUAUAUUCUGAAUUAAUUUAGAUGAAGACAUCGUUACUCGCCUAUUUUGAAUUAUUUGCAAUUCUUUUGAGGAUAUAAUAGGAUGUUAUUUUGAUUAACAACAAAAUAAUUGUUUGAUAUAAAAGCUUAAAGUAGCUUUAGAAAUGUAUAUAUCUACACAGAUAAAACUUAAUUGUCAAAUCGACUAUUGAAACUACUUGUGUCAUUCUUUUGAACAAUAAUAGAGAUAAGUUGAAACUUUGUUUAACUAUGUCUUUCAUUUUUGUUACAUUUCAUGUAAAGCGCUAACAUAACAUGGGUUCGAUUUAGAGAACGGCUCGUCCAAAGUUGGCAUUCUUGGAGAACUGGAUUUUGGCAAAUUUGUUUUGUCAAUUUUUCUUAGCAUUGAAACUUGCAAUAUCUGUGAAAACUCCAGCACAAGGCUGUCAAAAAUGGCAGUCUUGAUUGAAUAACUUUGUCUGAAUUCUUAAAAAAAAAAAAAAAAAAAAAUUUUUUGUUUGAUUGUUUUAUUCCCUGAAUUUCUCGAACUAAGAUUAUUUUGAUGUACGCUGGUCUUUACUCCUUAUGGUGGAGUAAUUUCAUCAUCAAACUUCGGAUGUGUAAGAACGUGUAUGAUUAUAUGGUAUAUUGACAUGUUCAUAGAUAAUCUACAACCAUUCUAUGCUUCUUGAGAUUAUUCAGAAUAAUCAGCUUUUUCGAACUUAUGGACAAUUAAUAUUACGGUAGACAUAUUUUGGCAUGUAGUCAAAAAAUAAAUAAAUAAAUUUGGAAGACUUUUUGCCCCUAAAGAGUCAUUUAGCUAUAAAUGAACGUUUGCACCUUUAACCGUUGGUACAUACAACAUACUACUGUCUGAUUCUUUUGCCUUUUACGGGUAAAAGAAGGAAAAGAAAAUAUUAAAGAUGUACUAAAAUUUUUCUAGUUAAGCAAUGAACUGGAUAUUUAUAUUGAAUGCGAUAAUUUACAUGAGAAACACAGACUCUUGUUACCACGGGAUAACAAGUUCAACACAACUAAAUGCAGCAGAGAAGGGGAAAAUGAUGGGAUUUGUAUCUCAGGGAAAAGGGAAAAAAAAAAAAUCCAAAACCAAACACUUGGUAGUAGUUUUUAUGUUACAAGCAACAAAAUGUUCCUUAACUUAGGGAUAAACCUCAAUGAGACACCUCAUGCCCAAGACUGGAUAUACUUUAUAGCUACUAAAUCCAGCAUCUGAAAACAAUUUUGACCAUUCCUUCCCAGUUCUUCCUUUGGCAGGGCCGAGCAUAACCAACAUCUGCAUGUCCAAGCUAAAUUCUGUUUCAAAUGAUGUCUCAUCUUGUAUCUGGCUUCCCAUUACACUGUCUAUAAUGAUCACCUUCCCCCCACUGUCUAUUUCUGUUAAGUUUAACGGAUUCCGUCACCUUUAUAAUUUAGUUCAAAAUAUGAGUGGUCGUGUUGUAUAUUUUAAAAUCAUGAAGGGCUUUUCUAUGUAUUAGGUUUAUCACAGGAAACUUUUUUAUUUUUUUACCCUAAAGAAAAUCAGAAUUCAGUGACAGGAUGUCUUUAGUUACCUUGAGCAAGAUUGCAUUAGCACGGGGUACACUUCGAAACAUAUCUCCAGCUAAAAAUUCCAAGUUCUCAGCUCCUUCUUGAUUGGCAACGACAUGUGCGAGAUCAUAUACAGUACAUUUUAUGCUAGGAAAGUUUUGGGCAACGGCCUUAGCAACUUUGCCAGUACCACCCCCAACAUCAGCAAAAGUUGUCAAGCCUUCAAACACAAACUUGCAUUUGGUCAUCAGCACUUCUACAGACAACUGACUAUCACUAGCCACGGCCUCGUUAAACAUGUUUCCAAAUCGAACUUCUCGCGCGCUGUAAUCCCAGAGAUUAUUCCCAUAUGCAGUAUCAAAUGGAGAGGGACCAUCAUUCUGGAACCACUCGGUCAAGAGAUUCCAGGGCUUCAACAGUGCAGGAUCACAUGAUAGAAAAAUGUGUGCCCGUACAUUGAAUGGCUCGUCUUUCAAAAGAAGCUGACCUGCAGAGGUGAGUGCAUAGCCUUGAGGGUUUUCAACAAAGAAUCCAGAGUUAGCCAUGAAUCGCAUUAAGCGAAAAAUGUGGGCAGAUUUAAAAGGGUGGAUUGGGAGGACAGAAAUCAGGUCAGAAAGUGUGAUGGGCUUCCCAUGAUUACUGAUCACAUCUGGGAUUCCCAACUCAACUGCACACUUUAGACAUGCAGAUUUCUUGAAGUGGAACAUUGCAUUCCACACAUGAGUUUGAGCUUCAAUAAGCUCAACUAAAUUCUCAGCUUUUUCCAUCUUUUGUUCAAAUUCAAUGGCAUUAAUUCAGUAGCCUAAUUAAACAAUAAAUGGUUAAGCAGGACUGCAUUUAUAUGGUAGUAAAUUAUGGGUAGCAGUGCAUAUCUGGUACUAAAUUAUGGCAGUAGAUCCCUCUUGUGCCUGCUAUGAGGCUAUAUUUGAUUGGUUUCCACGAUUUCAAAGUAUCUAAAUAGGUUUGGCAGAUCUAGAGGUGUCAAACUUCACCAAACCAAAUAAAUACGCCCAAGCAAUUCGAUUAAAAUAUCUAAUUUCUGACGCAAUUGCAAUUAUGAGUUAGUAACUGAGAAAAUUCAAAACGAAUGAACCACGAGCAAGACUGAGAGUAAAUUGAAGCUGCCACCAUUGAUGGUGACAUAAAAGUUGAAACAAAUGGUUAUGGGGGUUUGACUAGCUUUUCGAGGAUCGACCGGGUAGCAAUUGUUUUGCCGUAUUCUUGAUGGCAGACCUCUUCCAUGUUACAAGCAUUUACAGAAAAGGUAAUCCAAAAAAAUGUUAUCAUCUUCCUUGUUCACUACAAUGGUGGUCUGGAAAUUUUUUAUUGGAAAAUCUCAAAUAAGAGUCGGGAUGCUUUUUAAUUUUGAAUGGGCUCACAAAAGGUCGAUUCUCUAAUUUUGACUCGUCAAGGAAAUUUUGUUUAAUGUGGCCUCUCACAUAAAAUAGUAGAAGGCUAAAGCCUAUAAGCUGUAUGCAAAAGAUGAUAUUGUAUUACUCAAGUAAUUUUUGUUGUGAUCACUAGAUUAUGUAGGGAUAACGUUAAAAACAACUUCUAGAAUUCUAAACAAAAAGAAAAAAUCUAGAAUUCUAACAGGUGGUUUGAAAGAUUCAACUUUAUACGGCUGGACUAAGACAAUCUAGUAGUUAGAACGCAAAAUGAGAUAGGAUUUGCCUAAUGAAGUGCUGAGAUACUGAUUUGUGGCAGAUAGCUUUGGGAUGGGGAUUGUAUUUUGAAUGUUUUCCAAGUUGAUUUUAUUUGUGUCUCUUGUGUAUAGUACAGGUUUUCUUAUGUGUACUUGAGGGCUUUUUCUCUUGAAAAAAUGUUGUUGCAAAUAUUAGCAUAAGUUUUACCGUUUGGGGUAAAAAUAAAUUAUUGAUUAAUUUGGGCCCAAAUGCAUUAAAUUUGAAAUUUUCAAGUUGGGCAAAUAGGCAUGCAGAUUUUGCAACCUGCGACAUGGAGACACUAACAAGUGGUUUUAGGCAAAGUUAUUAAAACCAACAUGGGCAUCAACCCGACAGGAGGAUCGGGUUGGCGGGUUAAUGGUUCAACUGGCGGAUCACUGGUUGAACUGUCGAAUCACACUAUAUAAUAAAAAAAAAUAUAUAAUAUAAUUAAAUAAACAUAUAAAUUAUAAUAUAAGUAUAGAAAUUCUUAAAUGUUAAGAAAUCAUAACCUAUUUAUAUUUCAUAUUUUAUACACACAAGCCAUACCCAUACGUGUUUUUUAAUUCGUGAAUUUAUAUUGAUAUUAUACACAAAUAUAAAUAAUAAAUCUAAAUAUCAAAGAAAGAAAAAAAAACCUAAUUCUCAAAUUUCUUUUCAAUUUUUCUCAUCUAAUUGUCAAAAAGACGAUAAUGCCAAUGUUGGUAUGGCUGGUCAAGUAAAAAAAAUUGAGUAAAAAGGUAAUUUCAGAAAAAUUUUCAAAACCAGCCAGGUUUAACCGGCCAUAGGUUCAACCGUUCGAGUCAAAUGAUUCAAAGCGAGUUAUUUGCAACUCCGAUCCAAUUGCCAAAUCGCUUGGUUCCAUGGCCUAUCUACUGAUUUGACCGAUUCAAUAUUGGGCAGGGCCGAAUUUAAUAACUUUGGCAAAAAAGUGUGGCAUGGAUCUUCAGAAAUUAAUUCAUUUACAGAAAGAGCUCUCUUUUUCUUUGUUUCUGUUUUAUUUUUUUCAAAGCUUCACUAGUCAAUAGUUAGUGACGCCCUAUUUUUUUCAUCUUCGGUUUCCAUGUACAUUACGCAAAGUGGAACUGAGUAUAGCCGACAUGUAAGCACAUAUGACGGUUAGCAACAAGGAAUAAAGAUUACGAACAAGCCAUGAGUUUCAAUCCUGGUCAUGUAUAUCUAUGAAAUAAAAACUGAAUUUAGAAAUCUUCAACUUUGGCCUGUGAAUUUAGAAAUAUAGUGAGAAUAAUCCAACUAGAAACGAUUGCCCAUCUCUUUUUAAAGUAAAAAUUUACCUCGAAUAUAUGUUAAGAGUUUGACAUGAGCUCCUACAAGUGAUGUUUUCAUAUUGGAUGAAGGGAAGCUGCAAAUCUGGCUAGGUGAUACUAGUGCGAUUGAUGUUUGCUUGAGCUCUAAAAGCUUUCUUUUGAAGAAAAUUAAGAAGUUGUUUGAAUUGCAUUUUGAGGAAGAGAUUUUGGGAAAGAAAUUGCUGUUAUACUUUUUGGAUGUAAUUUUCAUGAAAUAAAAUGCAAUUUUGAACAUCAAUGGUGGCAAUUUUGAAAUUACUGUUAUACUUUUUAUCACUGUCCUACAUUUUCAAUCGGUAGAAUCUUGAACAUCAACCUAUUUGGUUGCACCUACAACUUUGGGUAUUUGUCCAGCUACUCUAUUGAUUUUUCCCCCUUCCAAUUUCUGAAUUAAUCGGGUUGUGUAAAUAGUUUUGUUUAUGUGCUAUUUCUUUGCUUGUUUGAAAAAAAAAAGUGAAAGGAAAAAGUAACAAAAAGGUCAGACGUGCUGUAAUUUCAUUAUUGAGUUGUGUAAAAGCUUUUUCUUUUUGACAGUUGAGCAUACAUAUAGAAUUUAUGAUACAUUAGUUUAUGUCAUAUACACACAAAUAAUACCUAGGGUUUUUUCUCUCCUUGCCGCUGCCUUCUUCGUCUAGGGUUAGUGGUGCUUCAUGGCUGGCCGUCAGCCAUUGGCUGAGGGGCUAGGCGGCUCUCCUUCACGGAGAUCCUUCUCUCAGUUGUUCUCUCAACCUUCAUCCUCACCCAUACAACUCCGGCCAGUGACUUCCUACAAGGGCGAGGCUGCUGUAAUUUUCUCCAGGGAAGAUGCAGACAGAUUGGCAUCUCCUUUUCGCUGGGCGUUGGUGGGAAAGUUUUCGCAUGGUAGGCCAUCUUUGGAAGAUAUUCGGAAGUUCUUAGCAACAUUGAAUCUGAGGGACCAUGUCUCAGUUAGAUUGCUGGAUUAUCGCCAUGUUCUUAUCAAAUGCUCGGCAGAAGUGGAUUUCAAUAGAUUAUGGACACGAGGGAUUUGGCAAUUGGGUAGGUUUCCCAUGAGAGUGUUUCGAUGGACAAGGGAUUUUCACGUUCAGAAAGAAUCCUCUCUCGCUCCAGUUUGGGUAACAUUACCAGCCUUACCAGUACACUUCUUUGAUAAACAUUCUCUGUUCUCCAUCCUUUCUCCAGUAGGGAAGCCGUUAUUCUUGGAUGCGGCAACGGCAGCGGGUACACGGCCUAGUGUGGCCAGGGUAUGUGUGGAAGUGGAUUUGGUGAAGCCCAUAUGCUCCAGAGUUUGGGUUGCAGUGGAGGGUGAGACAGGUUUCUGGCAGUAGAUUGUCAUAGAAGAUCUCCCCUCGUAUUGUUCAAAGUGUUGACGGUUGGGUCAUGCGGGUGGUGACUGUAAGAGGGAGGGAUUUGCGAGUCGUCAAGUCCCCAAGCGCCUUGCGGUGGCUUCGCAAGUGCCCCAGGCAGCGGCAGACAACAAGCAAACGGAGGAGGUCUCGGUUAAGGAGACCCAGGGAGAUUCAAAGAUACGGGAGGAGGACCCGUUACUCGUGAUAAUGCCAACGCUGGCGGGGGAGAGCUCCAUGAAGGGGCUGUGCCUGAGUGAGGGGGGAGAGGCUGCGGCUUCACAGGAUGGACAGGGACCUGGGCAGCACGAAGUUGAGGGGAGUAUGGUAAGCGUAGAGGGCAGGCCCGAGGAGCAGGAGUGUAGGGACUCGGGGAAGGGGGAUGCAGAUGGGAGUUCGGUUGAUAAGGAACCAGGACAAGGCAGCGAGGAGCAGCGGCACACUGGCGACGGGCAGGCGACACUUGCGAAGGACACCAGCCUGGGUGACAUGCAGUAUCUGUGCUUGGACAGGGACGAGAGGGCUGAGGAGGGGGAGAUUGCAGAGGUGUACAUUGAGUUACCUAUUGCGGCUGGGAGUUUGUCCCCAAGAAUGGUUGUGCGACAGGACAACGUCAUGGAGUCAUCGGUCCAGGCAUUAAACAUCGACCAGGUCACUAAUGGGGUGCAAGGUAUCAAACAAGGGCGAGGGAAAGGUGGCCGUGUGCGUAUCCCCUCUGAUCGCCAGUUGAGGUCUGCAACACCAACCUAUAACUCCUUCCAGGUUUUGCCUCAUGAUUAACGCAAUUUUCUGGAAUAUUCGCGGGGUCUCUAAAGCCCCCAAUCUUAGGAGAUUGAUAAAAUUAAUAAGGUUGUAUGCGGUCAAGUUUGCUGUUAUUUGUGAGCCCAAAUCUGAUGUGUCUAAGGUUGACUUCAUUCGUAUGCGUCUGGCAUUCGAUUCAGCUAUUACAAAUUUGUCGAAUGACAUCUGGAUUUUUUAUUGCAAUCCCUUCAGUUGUACGGUUAUAGGUAAUUCUACACAGCAUAUUUCCUUAUCUAUUCAGCAUCCACAAUUGCCCAAUUCUAUCAUUUUUUCUUUUGUGCAUGCCAAGUGCUCUUUGGAGAAGCGAAGAGAACUUUGGCAGAACCUACUUGAUGAUAAACCUAGUUCCCUUCCGUGGUGUAUUGGGGGGAUCUUAAUGUUGUUAUGGCUCCCCAUGAAAAGCGGAGGGGUCGGCCGGUUGGGGUCCAUGAGGGGUUGGAGCUCAUGUCUUUUAUGGAGGUAGCUGGCGUCUUUGACGUGGGCUAUUCGGGUGCUAACUUUAAUUGGUGCAACAAUCGGAGAGGUAGAGCUAAAAUUUGGAAGCGAUUGGACAGAGUGUUAAUAAAUGGGGAAUGUGCGGAGGUCUCUUCCACCAUCUCCGUAGAGCAUUUAGCGUGACACCCAUCCGAUCAUGCUCCUCUACGGAUUUCGUUUGCUACUCGACUAGACAACAAACCGAGGCCGUUUCGAUUCUUGAACGUUUGGACUUCUCAGGCUACCCUGAUAGAGGUCAUUAGAGCUGCUUGGGAUAGAUCGGUGAUUGGGGCUCUGCUACGGGUCUUGUGUUUGAAACUGUUGGCAACAAGGAAAGCUAUCCAGGAGUGGAACAAGCAAUCCUUUGCUAACGUUUUCGACAUGGUUAGGGUGGCAGAGGAGACGGUUCGACGGGCUGAGGUGGAGGUGGAGGGCAAUGAGGUUGAGCAGGCACAUGAUGGCCUUGAAAGGGCUCAGGCGGACCUAAGUCGGGCCCUGGCUCUUGAGGAGCAAUUUUGGAGGCAAAAGGCCCGAGUCCGGUGGCUUCAAAGUGGAGAUCGGAAUUCCAAGUUUUUCCAUGUGGUGGUGAAGCAACGAAGGGUGCAGAGCGCUAUCCAUCGGAUCAAGAACUCACAGGGUUCCUGGGUGGAAAAGGAUGACGAAAUAGCAUCUGAGGCGAUCACGUUCUUCUUGGACCUGUUUUCUGAGCCUAUUGCCCCUGUACAGGAGCUGUUGCACUUAAUUCCCCCAUUAAUCACGGAGGAGGAUAAUAAGCUCUUGGAGCAGGUCCCGACCAUGGAGGAGGUUCGACGAGUGGUUUUUACAAUGGACGGGGAAAGUGCUGCAGGACCGGAUGGAUUCACGGGUAAGUUCUUUACAUUUUCCUGGGAUGUCAUUGCCCAAGAUGUCUAUAAUGCGGUGCUAAGCUUUUUCUGUGGGGCUGAAUUACCUAAAUUCAUUACUUCCACCUCUAUUGUGCUCAUCCCUAAGGUGUCAAAUCCUCAAGACUUUUCAAUGUUUAGACCGAUCAGUCUCUGCAAUUUUUUUAACAAACUGUUGUCUAGACUUUUGGCCGACAGGCUAUCCUCUAUUUUGCCGAAGAUAAUCUCCCCCCAGCAGACGGGUUUUGUUAAGGGGCAGAAUAUAACGGAAAAUUAUUUGUUGGCCCAAGAAUUGAUGUCGGGUAUUGGCAAGUCCGCUAGAGGGGGAAAUGUUGCCCUUAAGUUGGACAUGUCUAAGGCAUAUGAUAGGGUGUCCUGGUUUCACAUUGUUAAUGUGUUGCGGAGAUUUGGGUUUGGAGAGCAGUUCAUAGACAGGGUUUGGCGUCUACUCUCUAAUGUGUAGUUCUCAGUCAUUGUCAAUGGUGCAUUGCAUGGAUUUUUUAAGUCGGCUAGGGGGUUGCGUCAGGGUGACCCUUUGUCACCGGCGCUAUUUGUUAUAGGUGCUGAGGUGCUGUCGAGAGGUCUUAAUGACAUGGCUCUCCAGCCAGGGUUUGUCGGCUUUAAAGUUCCCCAUGGGUGUCCUACUAUCUCCCACUUGGCUUUUACGGAUGAUGUUCUUAUAUUUGCAAAUGGUUCGUCCAAUUCUUUGCGGCGCAUCAUGCGGGUUUUGGAGUUGUACCAGCAUUCCUCGGGGCAGUUGGUGAAUGCUCAAAAAAGCGGAUAUAUGACUCACCCAUCACUGCCUCCGUCUCGACGAAGGUUGAUUGAGCGGGUCACGAAGUUUACUAGGCAGGCUCUUCCAUUUCGCUACUUGGGAUUCCCGCUGUAUUUGGGCAGGUGUCGGUCGUCGUAUUUUGGGGGAGUGAGCCGAGCUAUUUUGGGAAGGGUGAUGUCAUGGAAAUCAAGGCUUCUAUCUCCAGGUGGGAAGUUAAUCCUUAUUAAACAUGUUCUUGCAGCUAUACCUGUCCAUUUGCUCUCGGCAGCAGUGUUGCCGAGCUCGGUAUUCGCAAUGAUUGAAAAGGUUUGUGCAAACUUCUUGUGGGGAUCACUGGAUGAGAAAGCGAAGUUCCAUUUGAUACGAUGGCCUCAUUUAUGCUACCCGGUGGAGGAGGGAGGCGCAGGAUUUCGUAGGCUUCGGGAUGUCUACCGAGCUUUUUCGUGCAAACUAUGGUGGCUGUUUCGGACGGGAUCUUCGCUUUGGGCAACCUUUUUGCACGCUAAAUAUUGUAGAGGGGCUCAUCCGUGCGAAGUCCCAUUGAGGUUGUCCGCUAUGGCUACUUGGAGACGAAUGUGGAAUGUUAGUCGACAGGUGGAGUUGUCAAUGCUAUGGCAGGUUAACGAGGGUUCGUGUAACUUCUGGUAUGACAAUUGGUUAGGCAGUGGUGCUUUAGUGCUGCGGUCUACCGUCGCCCCGGAUCUCACUUUUGGGGACUUCAUCAGCAAUGGGGAAUGAGAUGUACAGUUGCUUUCUCGAGCUGUACCACAAGACAUUAUCCCGGCCAUCUUACAACAGCCGGUACCUGGUGGGGGUUGUGCGGAUGAGGCGGUAUGGAUGGCGUCGACAUCUGGUAAAUUCACCCUGGCCUCGGCUUUUGGAGAAGUUCGUCAGGCCCGCAACAUCUCGGCUGUUCUAUCUCGUGUCUGGCAUCAUCGAAUUCCAUUGAAGAUUUCCUUUUUCAUGCUACGAUUAUUGAUGGGCCGGUUGCCUCUGGCAGAGACGCUAUGUAAGCUUGGCUUUCAUAUGCCUUCAAAGUGCCUUUGUUGUCAAAGUCCAUCCUGUGAAUCCAUUGAGCAUCUGUUCUCUAUGGGGCAGGUGGCCCUGGAAGUAUGGAGUUACUUUGGGAGUAUGUGUGGGGUAAUCUGUACAAGGUCCUUAUUGCGUGCUCGAAUGGGUGCGUGGUGGUUCGUUGAGCAGAAAUUGGAAAGGAGGCGAUUCAUUUUUACUAUCCUUCCUAGCCUUAUUUGCUGGCAUAUUUGGAAGGCUAGGAAUAAAGGCGUCUUUGAAGGCAAACCAAUGCGUCCAGCAGUUGUUAUUCAGGCCAUAUUCAGAGAAGCUAAGAUGCUUUUGGAGAUUCAGUUUAAGGGCCAAGUUGGGGCACACACGUUUCAGCAGUUAUAUGAUUGGUCGGGUGUCCCAGUGGGUGGCUUUGGUUUUCAGUUGGUGCGUUGGAUAGGGCCAGAAUUAUGGGUGUUAACGCUCAAUACAGAUGGGUGCUCAAAGGGGAACCCUGGUACGGGUGGUAGCGGUGGUGUCCUGCGCGACUCUUCCGGAAGGUUGCUAUUGGCAUUCUCGGCCUAUCUUGGGGAAACUACCAGUCUACAUGCGGAAACUUCAGCCCUUCUGAUUGGGCUUCGCGAGUGUGCUCAGAGGGGAUUCGGCAAUGUAGGAGUCCAGUUAGAUUCCUUGGUCCUGGUGGGGAUUCUGCAGAAGACGUUCCAGUGUCCUUGGCACAUCCGGAGGGCAGUUUGGCAGAUAUGGCAAUUGCUUGGUGACUCCCCUCGGGUAGCUCAUUGCUACAGGGAGGCGAACAAAGUUGCGGAUAUUUUGUCUAAUGUGGGAGUUUCACACCCUGGACAUCAGGUUAGGGUUUAUGAACACGUAGGACUGAUACCUCAGUUGGUUCGGGGCGCCCUUCGUUUAGAUAGGUUAGGCUUGCCGUCAGUUAGGAAGGUCCGGAUGGCGUAGCUUCUGUGUUGGGAUAAGGCAGUGAGCAUGGUUGUAACUUUCAGUUCGAAUUCAUAAUAAAUGAUGAAUUUAAUAAAAAAAAUAGAAUUUAUGAUACCUUACUCUUGAAAUUCUUGCCUCCUCGUGUGAAGGUGAAAAGAAAUUACUGCAUAGUUAUAUUUUCAUAAGUUGUAUAAAAGAAUCAAAAAAGAAAAAAGAAUAAGGUUUUGAUGAGGAAAAUUCAAAAAUUGAAACAGCACGAUUAGAGUUGAAAGAUGAACUAAUUUAUAUGAUAUUUGAAUUGAGUUUAAGAGUUCAUUCGAAUUUGAUUCGAUAACUAGUCAAACCAAACUCGAAUAACAUUUUAUAUUCGAUAGCAUUCAAAUUCGAUAAAAACUCGUUCAAGUUCGAUUGGACAAAUAAACAAAUCAAACUUAAAUAAAAUUUUAAAAUCAUUAAAAUAAUCAAACAAAUUUAAAUACUAGAAUGUUCGUCUUGAUUAAGUUCAAUGACAUCCCUACGCACAAUGGCUAAAUGUUGGGUCUCCUUUUUGGCUAAGUUAUCUGCCCUGUAGUCUGUCUCUUGGGGUUAACGAAUGAUUCCUCAAAUUCUUUCCCUGGGACGGGCCAUGAAAAGAAAUAAAUACUCAAGAAAUAAAAUCAUUCCUCAUCAUUCCAAUCGUGCAAUAUCCACUGUUUAAAUUAACAUUCAUAUCACAAAGAAUUCAAAUUAGUCAAGAAUACCACAUCAAAAAGACAUGGUUGUAAUGAAUCAGCAGCAUAUAUAGAUGUGUUUAGAAUCAAUACUAAGCUGCCUUUUAACAACAAAAAGGUGAAUAGGGAUCUGUUGCAUCUUCUUGGAAAGGUGAUCUUACCUUCAUUGUAACAUCAUCUGCAGGAGGAAUAGCUACAAACAUACUUCCUCCAACAAAGGCUAAACUCUUGUUAUUCGCUACCAAGCCGUCAACCACAUGAGGAAGAUCGAGAACAAUACAGUUCAAGUCAGGAAAAGCAUCAGCAAUUUCCGUAGCCAAAGUUCCAGUUCCACCUCCAACAUCCACCAAAGAAUUCAACAUUGAAAGAACAUCCUUGCAAUCCCUGAUCAGAAUACUGCCAACUAGCCUAGAAUCGCUAGCCAUUCCUUCAUUAAAAAAAUUAUUAAGCCUCAGAUCCUGGCCUGCAAGCUCCCACACUACCUUGUCAUGACAAGUCUUGAAGGGAUUCACAUCACUGUUGUUUUGCAACCACCGGCUAAGGUGGUACCAUGGAUCCAUCAAGGUAGGAUCAAGCAUGGUGUCACGCUAAAAGGCUCAUCUUUUAAUAAAAGUUUAGAAGAAGUAGUGAGCAUAUAACCUUCCUCUUCAUCGUGCUGGGUAACUUUUGCCUCGAUGAAGAAGCCUGAGUGGAUUAGAAUCCUCAUCAGAUGAUAGACAAAGGGGGCUUUUGCAUUGCCAAUUGGAAAAGCAUUGGUGAGUUCAUCCAGACUCAUUGGCUUAACAUGCUUGUGAUUAAUGUCUGGUAUGCCGAGUUGAAUUGCACAUUUGAGGGAAAUGGAGUUUAUGAAGUUGAAUAUGUGAUUCCAUAUGUGAGCUUGAGCUUGAAGUAGCUUAUUAGCAUCACCAUUUCUACCCAAGUCCAUCUUUCGCUGUUGAUUUUGUUUUCCUCUUUGGGUAUAACAGGUAGGCAUCCAAUCUUAUAGUUAAAGAGCAUAUAAGGCCCAUACCAAUGGAUAGGCAUGAUGAUUAGUAACUGGUGCCAUGAGUGGCUAUAACAAUUCAAUUUAGUUCUUCUGCGCACUCUUUUUGUUGAUUAAUAUAUUUGCAAGAUCCAGAAAGGUGUAUUUGUACUUGGGACUUCCCCUGGUGAUAACAGCAUCAAAAAAGCAAGUUUUCGCCUACAUUGUUGAUAAAGCAAAAUAAAAAAUGCAGGGAUGGAAGCACAACUUACUCAGCUAUGCAGGAAAAGAGGUACUUCUUAAGUCAGUCAUAAUGGCAUUACCAAAUUACACAAUGUCAUGCUGUAGGUUGCCUAAAGGACUUUGUUAUGAAAUAUGUGGUCAAAUGGCAAAAUUUUGGAGAGGCCAAAAUGAAGAGGAUAGGAAGAUGCAAUGGGUAAGUUGGGAGAAAAUUACACAGGUGAAGGAAAAUGGAGGUCUGGGUUUUAGGGAUCUAGAGCACUUUAAUAGUGCUUUGUUAGCAAAGCAACUAUGGAGGAUAUUGAUGCAACCAGACCUAUUAGUGAGCAGAGUGCUAGGAGCAAAGUACAAAAUAGCGUAAACAGGCUGGGAUGGAGAAGCUCCAAAGAACGCAACAUGGGUGUGGAAAAGUAUAUACAGCUCUGGACUGGUGCUAAAAAAAGGAAUGUGGAAGAGAGUGGGAGAUGGGACUACUAUCAACAUAUGGAGGGACAAAUGGAUCAUGGCACCACCAACCGGGAGAAUAGCAACUCAGAAACCUCCAGCUUGUAACUUGCAAACUGUGGCAGACUUGUUGAUAGAGAAGGAAUGGAAUACAAAGCUGAUUGAGGAGACGUUCUUAAAGCAGGAAGCUUCACAAAUAUUACAGGUGCCAUUAAGUUUGUUUCCCAGAAAGGAUGCGGUUUAUUGGAAAUACUCAAAAUCAGGAAAUUACACUGUGAAAUCGGGAUAUGCAGUAGAAAAGGAAGAGGUCAACCAAAGACACAAGAAAAAUCAUGGAGAGGAAGGAACCAGCUACGCACAGCAUAAAGGAAAAGUGUGGAAGAGCUUGUGGGGAUUAAGGAUGAAGCCAAAGAUAAAACAUUUCAUAUGGAGAUGCCUACACAACAGCAUUCCUGUAAAUGAGUUGAUACACAAAAGAACAGGAAAAGGCUCUCCAUUAUGCAAAUGUUGUGGGGAGGGGGAGGAGACAGUGGAACAUAUGAUUUUCUUUUGCAAUAAUGCUGACCCUAUAUGGAAGCUGGCCCCAAUACAGUGGGACAGAUUAUUGCAAUGGAGAUCAAAUUUCUGGAGAUGGUGGGAAGGUAUAUUAGAGGCAAGGAGCAGACAAAGAGGAGAAGACCACAUCACUUUAACAGCAAACAUCAUCUGGCAAAUUUGGAAGGCAAGAAAUGCUCGACAGUUUGAAGGGAAAUGUGGAGAGCACAUGGCCAUACUAGAAACGGCAAAAAAUGAAUGGCUGGAGUUCCAAGAGGAGCAGGUGGAAAAUGAAAAAAAGCAUAGGACAGGAACGAGUCACCAAAUGCAAAACUAUCUAUGGAGCCCACCAGACGCAGGGGUAAUAAAGAUAAACACUGAUGCCACGAUUCCUACUAAAUCAGCAGGAGCUGGGUUAGGAAUGAUAGCGAGAGAUAGUGAUGGAAACAUUGUCCAAGCAAGAGGCAUCAGGAAGUAUAGUAGGGGUGGUGCGGAAAUGGAAGAGGCAGAUGCACUCAGACAAGGCCUGCUAAUGGCUAGAGAAGCUGGAUGGCGAAGAAUUGAAAUGCAAACUAAUUGCAAAGCUGCCAUUGAAACAAUAUGCAAGACAGGCUUGGGUGAAACACCAAUUGGCACGAUCAUAGAAGAUAUUAGACAUUUGAGUGACAUGUUCCAAGACUGUACUUUUUCUUUUGUGUAUCGAGAUGGAAAUAGAAGUGCUCAUAAAAUGGCACAAUUUGCAACUAAACUUGUUUCCAAGGUAAUAUGGAAACAAAGUUCCCCCCUGUGGCUCAAAGAGAGUAUACAGGAGGAUAAUAGGACCAAUGCCCUUUUAUGUAACUAAAAUCUUUUAUUAUCAAGUUCAUAUAUGUAUAAGAAGAAUACCGUUUGAGAAAAAAAAAAAAAAAGAAGAAAGGUGUAUUUGUGGAGAAUGGGCUGGGACGGUUGUCAGGUGCCACCGUCCCAAAUGAUGUAUGGGAAAGGUUUUCUCAACAAGGCAAAUUUUGAUAACGUGCAGCCAAAAGCAAGUCACAUAACUUUGAAAUUACAAACAUAUAUGGAUCUACACGAAUAUUAAUUAGAUACAAUGUCAUUGUUCGAAAUUGAAUAAGUAAUUUACAUUUUGUUUAGAAAGUGUUGUACAACUUAGGCAAGUUAAGAACUGAAAAUCUUUUUCAGUUUUUUGCCCCUCAUGUUUAUCCGUUCUUUCUUCAACUUACAUUCAGCUGUAAUGGCUGAAUUUAAAGCGGAAGCGAUGCAUCUACUUCAACUUCAACAAUGUUGGAAACAGUUAUUGUCCUUAGCUACCUCAACUCCACACCAUUUAUACAUAAUGUGCUUGCGGUGUAUUCCAGGCUGGGAUUUGGACACAUUCCAGUGUUGGAUUGUGGUGGGGUUUAAUACCAAAUCAAUGGAUUUUAAUUGGUGAAUUUUAAUCUUAUGAACUCAGGCAAUAAGGAUAAAAAUCUAAAUAACACUACUAUAAAAAAAAUUGUCAACUAGAAAACGUGCAACAUCGAUUUCAUACCUUCAUUAAAACAGCAUCUGCAGGAGGAAUGGCUUCAAACAUGUUACCUCCAACAUAGGCCAAGUUCUUACUACUCUCCAAGCCAUCAACAACAUGAGGAAGAUCAAGCACAGUGCAUUUCAGGCGAGGGAAAGCAUCAGCAAUUGCCUUAGCAAAGGUUCCAGUUCCACCUCCAACAUCCACCAAUGAAUUCAAACUCUCAAAAACAUGCUUACAAUCUUUGGUCACCACACUACUAACCAUCCGGGUAUCACUAGCCAUUGCUUCGUUAAAGAAUUGAUUAAGCCACGGCGCAUGACUUGCAAAAGCAUAAAUUGACCUCCCAUGGCAAGUAUAAAAUGGGGUUUCGUCACUAUUCUGAAACCACUGGCUGAGAUGGUGCCAUGGAUCAGUCAAGGUGGGAUCGAGCAUGGCUAGUAAAAACGGCGUCAUGCUAAAAGGGUUACUCUUUAAAAGGAGUUCAGAAGCAGAAGUGAGCAGAUAACCCUUUUGAUUAUCAUUCUCAUUUCCAGGAAUCUUUGCUUCAAUGAAGAAGCCUGAGUGGAUCAAAAUCUGCAUGAGACGAUAAACGAAAGGGGCUUUUGCAUUCUUGAUGGGAAGAGCAUCGAUCAAUUGAUCAAGAGUCAUCGGCUGGCCAUGUUUGUGAAUAGCGUCUGGAAUGCCUAAUUGAAUUGCACAUUUGACGGACAUAGAAUUUAUGAAGUUGAAUAUAUGGUUCCAUAUGUGAGCUUGUGCUUGAAAAAGCUCACCAGUAUGAUCACCAAUAUUUCUAGCCGAAUCCAUUUUUUUGUUUGAAAUUCUAGGAUUUUUUUUUUCGCUUUUUGGUUGGGAAUUACAAGUAGAACUCGCAUUUUAUAGGCCGGGUAUGGGAUUCACAGGAAUAACGUUGCAAUAGUUUCUUCUAAUAGUCUGACAAGAACCUGUUAGCAAAAAAAACAAUGAAAUCAACUCAGAAACAAGGAUCCAAAGGCAGCUAACAUCAGUUUCCUUUUCUUGACCAAUUCAUAUAUGAGUAUAUGGGUUAGUCUAGUCUCCUUCUUGGUGUAACUACACAUAAUUCAGUGUUUCUGGAGACGUGCUUAAAUUAAAGUGUAUAAUCAGCACUUAUUAAUUAAUUGUUCUUUGUGUCGACUCGUAUUAUCACUUGAGAAAAUCGCAUAAUGCACGCUGCUGGUGGUGCUUCUUGUUUGGAAGACGAAGAAAAAGAAAUUUAAAUUGUCACAACUUUUGAGCCGUGGUUGAGUAAAAUUUUACGUUGGUGCAUCAUUCUUGAGCAAAUUCUCUUUUCACAACGAUCUGGUGUAUUGCAAUGCUUAAGAAACAUUAUUCUUGUCCUAAAUAUAGUGAUCGAUUUCUUAAUUGGAACGUUAAGCCUUGUUUUCUUCCUACUAUGAGAGAUUUACAACUCUAAUGGAUUCGAAAAUUAGUACUAGCCAUUAUUGUUAAUCAAUAUCAAAUACUAGAAUUUGAUGAAAUGUGGAACCAAUGUUAUUUUGGGCUAUUCUUUUAUUCAUAAUGUAUAUAUGCCUAAUUUGCAGCUCUUAGAUUUAGAGUCUUCGACCAAUAAAAUAUGGGGUAAUUGAACAUGGCAUGAUGCUAAAGUAAAUGAAGUGGUCUUUAAUUUAGGGUCUUAUCUAAAAAGUGUCCAUUAGGCAUUCAUUGCUAAGAUGAAGUUCACAUGUAAAUAUCUUAGAAAUGUAAAGUUAAAUAAAGAAAAUUUAUAGAAUGUAAAGCAAUGAUCAAUUUAGCAAGGCUGAUUGGCUGGCCAUACCAAUUUCUGCUUAUGAAGUUAAACUGCACAUGUGAGCAAUAGAGAGUUUAUGAAGUUGAAUAUUUGUUGGCUUGAGCUUUGAUUAGUUUAGCAGUUUUUUUUUUUUUACUCUUAAAUGAUUUCAAUUGCAAGCCAAAUAGAAAUUGGACAAACAAUGUCCUAUCAAAAUGAGCAUAUUGAGAAAAACAUAUAUGUAAAAAAAUGAAUUAAAAAAUACAAUGAGAUCAAUUAAAAAACACAUUAAAUUUGACAAAGUUCAAUUAACCUGUGUCACAGCAUCUCCAGAAACUGACUGUUUACUAUUAAUUCAACAUAAACAAAACUUAAUGCAAUGACGAAGUAAUAACCAGUUCCUCUCAAUUAGUCAUAAUUCAUCAAAUUAUGCGAGUAAAUCAACAUGGGUUAUCUGCAGAAAUGAAAAACAGAUAAAAAUCAUACUGUAAAACUCCAAAUAAAUAUUUUUUUAAAAAUUGUAAAGCUCCACUUGUUACUUAGCUUAAACUAGCACUUCAUGAUAUUAUCCCAUUCUUUGCGUUUGCAGAAAUGUUAGAGAUGGUGUUGCACAUCUCAUUAUGCAUUAGGUUAGAAAGGUCAUGAUAGACUUGUCCUUGCACCUUAAAGAUUGGAAUUAGCUAGCCAGUUUCAUGAAUAACCAUACAUACGUGCACGAAAAAAUCUGGUCAAAGCAAAACUGAUUGAAACCAUACAUAGGUUUGGCCAUCCAUGCAGUACAUAGGGUAGGAUUUCUAAUUGCCAAAAGUAUGCAAGUCAUGAAUAGUAAUAGAACAUCAAUCAGCAGCCAUUAUGAUUUUAAAAAAUAUAUAUAUUUUGGUGGGUUUUCUAGCCGUAGCUCAAAGAAACUAUAAUUUGAAAACGGUAAGAAAAUCAUUUCAAAUUGUAAACAUCCCAUGACUCUACUAACUUGACCAAGACUUAUUGAAAACAAGCAUGUGUUCAAUUUCACCAAUAUUUCAUUUGAAAAUAGUACAUAAAAACAACUCAAUUAAAUACAAAUUGAAUGAGAUCUUAAAGUCUAUUAAAAACUGAUAGGUUAUUAACCAUUUGAGAUAUAGACCCUAAUCCAAGGAUGUUAAGCAACCUAAAUGUGUUGUUUUAUGGUGUGUGAACUGAUAGCUGCAUCCAAAAUGGCUACAGUCUUCCAUUUCGCCUACCUGAUCUGCUGAUUACCACCUAAUUUCUUACAUCUUUUUAAUUUUCGAGUAAUUUUGCCACUGCUUAAGUUGUAUUAGUAAGAUUUGAAUACGACAUGAUUUUUUUUCAUAUGUUCAUCAGAACAUUUUAGAUAUAAUUAAACUAUGUUAUGCAAUUAACUUGGAAUGAAGUUACAAAUUUCUUGUUAUCAAUUUUAUAUGCCAGAUGUUGAGGAUUUAACUAUUAUUAGCUUCUUUGCUCCUUAGUGGUAUUCUAACUGAAUUUUAGCUUUAUAAUUUUUGAGCAAGUACUAAUAUAAAAUUCAGUUUAAUAACAAUGAAUGCAUAAAUGCAGUGAGACAAUAGAGCAAUCCAUAUCAUAUGGCCAUUUGUAGGCAGAUAGAUCAUUGAUAGUACUAAUCUACUGGCUAAUUGCAUGAGCAUUAUAACUAACACUCUAAGGUGGAAAAUGAACCUAUAAAUUUUUUUUACCGUGUAUAUUGCUGCUGCACAAAACAAGAAUAAUAUUAACAAAACAGCCUCCAUUGAUCUCACAUAGAUAAGCAGACAUAGACUAAUAUCUCCAAAAUACCUAUCUUGUACAGACAUCCGUCACUAAGAGAAUCAUCAGACUUCACUCUUAUUAUGUUUUUGUCUAAAUUUAACAUCCCAAAUUUAUUUUCAUUAAAAAUUUCCUCUCUUAUAUGGUUAAAUGGGACAUAAAAUCGUCACAAAAAAAAAAGAAAUAAUUCUUUUCUAUCUUAAAAUGGGACCUAAAAUUGUUAUAACAAAAAAAAUUAAUUCUUUUGAAUUUAUCUAUUAAAAUUUGAGGUAUCCAAAUGAAUAACACCAAAGAUUGACAAUAUGUAUAAUCGUCAUUAGAAAAUUAAAAAAUAUAUAUCCAAUUCAAAUAGAAAAUUUUGAACUUUACUGAAUCAUCAUCAUCAUCAAGUAACAUAACACAAUAUACCAAAAAAAAAAAAGGGAGAAAAAUCCAAAACAGAAUAUGAAAAAAAAAGAAAAAACAACAAAUCAAUAAAAAAUUAAAAAUAAAUGGAAAUUAAAGUAAAAAAUGUAAAUAUGGACAAUGAGCUCAUGCAAAGGUGAUCGGACGUUAGCAAUUGUGAAGACGUCUGAAAAGUACACCUCGGAUGGUACAUCCGGACUAUACCUUAAAAAAGAUAAAAAGAAAACAUAUUAUGUAUAAAAAGUCUACAAUUCCAACUAUCAAUUACCUGAUUUCUAGUUUCACCUAAAGAUUUCAUGGAAUCACUGUCCAAUAAGGUUUGUAAUUUUGCAUGUAUGCAUCAUUAAUUCCAAUAGUCGAAAUAACCAGGGCAUCUGGUAUACAUUAAAGUUUAUGUUCACUAUGUGUAUCUAAAGUUAAUGCCUUGGGUUUGGUUAAACUUUCUUUGAUUGUUAGUGUUUAUUAUUUGGCUAUUUGAUGCGAUUAUUUUGAGCAAGUUAUUUGGCACUUUAGCUCUUUAAAUCAUGAUUAACUUGGUACCAUUAAUUGUGAUUGCUAAAUGUGUUGUUUCUUCAAUGAAAAUUGAGAUUUAACACUAGUUCAAAAAGUGCUAAACCUAUGGUGUACACUCACGAGAGUAGAAGUGUGUCUAUGUGGCUUUAGUGAUUCAUUUCAUGUAAUUUCAUAGAAGAAAUGAACUUGUAGCUAAUUUAAUAACCACGAGAGUAGGUAUAGAUUAGUUAUAAGUAUAGUUGAUUCAUUACGAGAAUAGGUUUCACAUGCAUAAGAAAAUUACGCCAUAACUAGCUAAGAUAGUAGUAAUCAAUGAUCCAAAAAUAGCAUUUGCAUGAAUGGUUAGGAAUACCAUAAUCUAAGGAGCUUUCAUUUGUUUUUAUCUUGCAUAAGUUUAACAUAGUUUUAUCUCUUUUAAUUCAUUGAUCGUCUAAAUAAUAGAGAAGUUUUAGCAGUGCCGGUAUUUGUCCAAUCUUUCUCAUGGGAUUGACCCGAUAUUUGUCAUAAACUACUAAUUUGACCUAUAUACUUGCAGUCAAAAAGGGUAUAUUUCGGAAUUAAACUUGUACUUAUAUCAAAAGCCCAUCAGUAGCUCAAAGAAACUAUAUUUUGAAAACGAUACGAUGAAAAUCACUUCAAAUUAUAAACAUCACUUGACUCUAUUAAUUUGAUCAGAACUCACCAAAAAUGAGUGUGUGUGUCCAAUUUGACCUGUAUUUCAUUUAAAAAUAUACAUAAAAACAAGUUAGUUGAACACAAACCGAAUGAGAUCUGGAAGUCUAAUACAAAUUGGUAAGUUGCUAACCAUUUGAGGUAUAGACCCUAAUCCAAGGAUUUAAUCAGCCAAAAUAUCUUAUUCUAGGUUCUGUGAACUGGUAGUUGCAUUUAAAUUGGCUACAAUCUCCCAUCUCACCUACCUAAUCUACUGAUUACCAUCUAAUCCCUUACUCUUUUUUUUUAAAUUUUCAAUUAAUUUUGCUAAUGCUUAAGUGGUAUUAAUAAGAUAUGAAAGCGACAUGGAUUUUUUCAUAUGUUUGUCAAAACUUUUUAGAUAUAACUAAACUAUGUUAUGUAGUUAACAUGGAACGACCUUACUAUUUCAUAUUAUCAAUUUUACCUACCAGAUGUUGUGGUCUUAACUAUUAUUAGUUUCUUUGCACCUUAGUGGUUUUCUAACCAAAUUUUAUGUUUAGAAUUUUUGAGCACGUACUAACGUAAAAUUCAGCUCCACAACAACAAAUGCAUUAAUGCUAUGAGAUAAUAGAGAAAUCCAUAUCAAAAUGCUCAAUUGAAAAAAAAAAAGUGAAAGAAAAAAGGAACGAAUAUGUCAGAUGUGCUGUAAUUUCAUUAUUGGGUUGUGUAAAAACAUUUUCAUUUUGACAAUUGAACAUACAUAUAGACUUUGUAAUACCUUACUCUUGAAAUUCUUGUCUCUUCGUUUGAAGGUGAAAAGAAAUUACGGCAUAGUUAUUUCCAUAAGUCGUAGAAAACAAUCAAUAAAGGAAAAAGAAUAAGGUUUUGAUGGGGAAAAUUCAGAAAUUGGAACGGAACAAUGGGCUAUAUUUUUGUUAAGAACUGAAAAUCUUUUUCUUCAUUAUCCGUUCCUUCUUCAACUUACAUUCAGCUGUAAUGGCUGAAUUUAAAGUGGAAGCGAUGCAUCUACUUCAACAAUGUUGGAAACAGUUAUUGUCCUUAGCUACCUCAACUCCACACCAUUUAUACAUAAUGUGCUUGCUGUGCAUUCCAGGCUGGGAUUUGGACGCAUUCCAAUGUUGGAUUGUGGUGGGGUUUAAUACCAAAUCAAUGAAUUAAAUCCUUUAUAUAAAGGAGCUAAACAAACAAUUUUAUUACACUCAAAAUAUAUAUAAUAACAACAGACAAAAUACAUUUAUAUUAGACACUAAUAAUUGAGCCUCACUGUUGAGAUAUCUGCUCAAACACUCACUCCACAAUUGAACUCGUUCAUUUCCUAUCUUUCACUUGAGCUUUGGUGCCCUUCAACUGAGGAAAUGGCAUUUAUUUAUACUAGUAAGGAUCCUACAAGCGGCUGUAAUUUUCUCUUCUCAUUCAAUGCCCAAUUGCCAGAAAAUCUGGUGAACUUUGCAAGUAAAUCUGGUUCAAGAUACAAGCACGAACCAAAUUGAUCAGCCGCCCACGUUCAGCUUCAAGAUGGACUUUGGCAAUUUGUCUAUUGCCAAUAAAUGAGUAAAACAAACACUCCAAAGCCAUAAAACUCAUUCUGAACAUCCUGACUAAAGAUUCAUCGUUCUUUAGCACAAACAACAUUUUCAAAAGACAUAUUAAUUAAUUAAUAAUAAACCUCAAUGAUAGAUCUCAAUCCCAAUACUGCAGUUAUCUUAUAGUCACAGAAGCCUGCCUCAGAGAAAAGUUUCGCCCAAUCUUUCUCAUUUCUUUGCCUUCCUUUGACUAGAACCAUCGCCCCCAUAUCAUAGAACAGUUGGGUCUCAAUCGCCUCAUGAUCAUCAUCCCCUUUCUGCUGGCUUUUGCAGAACGUGUCAACAAUAAUCACUUUGCCUCCUUUUUCCUUGCUAGGAAUUGCUUCUUUACAUUUUUUUAGUAUUUGUACACACUCAUCAUCGUUCCAAUCAAUCAAUAUCCACUGCUCGAUUGCAAAUUGUAUCACAAUGAAAGAAAAUUUUUGUUAGAAACAUUACACCCCAUCUAAAGCUUUUUGCGUCAAAAAGAAAAAACAAAACUAUUCUCCUAUAGUACCAAACACAUGCCAUCAAUUUGACGUUUAAAACUUUGUUCUUUUUCUGUCCCUCUUCAUGAUGCAGUUCUUAGAUUAAGCAUAGCCUCAAUUUCUUCUGCUCAAUCUUACUUUUGAAGUUGACACUUCCCAUAAUUGGUGAAUUUUAAUCCUAUGAUCUCAGGCAGUUAGGAUGAAAAUCUAAAUAAAACUUCUAUAAAAGAAAAUGGUCAACUAGAAAACGUGCAACAUCGAUUUCAUACCUUCAUUAAAACAGCAUCUGCAGGAGGAAUGGCUUCAAACAUGUUACCUCCAACAUAGGCCAAGUUCUUACUACUCUCCAAGCCAUCAACAACAUGAGGAAGAUCAAGCACAGUGCAUUUCAGGCGAGGGAAAGCAUCAGCAAUUGCCUUAGCAAAGGUUCCAGUUCCACCUCCAAUAUCUACCAAUGAAUUCAAACCCUCAAAAACGUGCUUACAAUCUUUGGUCACCACGCUACUAACCAUCCGGGCAUCACUAGCCAUUGCUUCGUUAAAGAAUUGAUUAAGCUGAGACUCAUGGCUCGCAAAAUCAUAAAGUGACCUCCCAUGGCAAGUAUAAAAGGGGCUUUCAUCGCUGUUCUGAAACCACUGGCUGAGAUGGUGCCAUGGAUCAGUCAAGGCGGGAUCGAGCAUGGCCAGUAAAAAUGGCGUCACGCUAAAAGGGUUGCUCUUUAAAAGAAGUUCAGAAGCAGAAGUAAGCAGAUAACCCUUUUGAUUAUCAUUCUCAUUUCCAGGAAUCUUUGCUUCAAUGAAGAAGCCUGAGUGGAUCAAAAUCUGCAUGAGACGAUAAACGAAUGGGGUUUUUUCAUUCUUGAUGGGAAGAGCAUCGAUCAAUUGAUCGAGGGUCAUCGGCUGGCCAUGCUUGUGAAUAACAUCUGGAAUGUCUAAUUGAAUUGCACAUUUGAGGGACAUAGAAUUUAUGAAGUUGAAUAUAUGGUUCCAUAUGUGAGCUUGUGCUUGAAAAAGCUCAUCAGUAUGAUCACCAAUAUUUCUAGCCAAAUCCAUUUUUUGUUUGAAAUUCUAGGAUUUUUUGUGCUUUUUGGUGGUGUGAAUUACAAGUAGAACUCGCAUUUUAUAGGCGGAUUAUGGGAUUCACAGGAAUAAUGUUGCAAUAAUUUCUUCUAAUAGCCUGCCAAGAACCUGUUAAAAAAAUAAACAAUGAAAUCAACUCAGAAAAAAGGAUCCAAAGGCAGCUGACAUCAAUUUCCUUUUCUUGACUGACAGGUGUCGUGCCUGUGCAAUAAUAAAAACCUGCUCAACUAAAAUUAAUUUUUGUAGUAGUGGUAAGCAGGAUCGAAUCCACAGAGACUGGGUGUAACUGUUUCUUUUCAAAUUCACAGUAAUCAGGGGGUGUUUUUACCUAGAAGGUGACAAUCAAAUAAAUGCAAAUAAAAUUCAAGAAACUACUAAAAAUUAAAUAACAAUUUACUAAAGUCAAAUGAAUGAUAACUAACGAGCUAGCCAAGAAAUAACUUCAGCAAUGAUUCACCUAAUUGAUCAUCGAAACAAAGGCAAUUCCAAAUAUUUACUAAUAAAUAGGUUACAACUGCUAAACAAGCGAUGACAGUCAACCCUUCCUUACUGUAUCGGUGACUAAGGUACGCCCGUUAAUCACUGUUCUAAUUGAAAAAUAAUCCUAGAUACGCUCGUAAGAUUUAAUUCCCCAAUUGCCUUACGUAUUAGAGGGGCUCUAUUUUAACAAAAUAACGCACUACCUGGAUUAUUUUAGGUUAGCUCGCGUAUCUCCCUGACACAAAUCUAAUCAUGUCAGUUGUCACUAUUUUGAGACAAUUAAACAAUUACGGAUUUAACGUCCCAAUUGACAAUAGAUUAUCAAAUUAACUAAUUAUCCGGAUCCAAGACAAUCAAUUAAUUGAAUAAUCACAAAUAUUGAAACCAGGGAAUAUGCGAAUACUAAUAAAUAAAAGAAAGAGAUAAAAUUAAAUCGAUUUCACACUUUUAGGCGACUCAAACCAUCCAUUGUUCCUUGACUAGAGGAGGGGAUUUAAUUCAUAUUUGAUGAACAAAACUCACAGAAAAUUGUAAAGGAAACAGCGGCCAUUGUCCCUUGAAAUCGGGGAAAUUCAAUUCGUAGUAAUCAAGAAGAAAGACAAGCUACAGGAAGGAAUUCAAUGUUUCCACUUGGCCUUUACAUACGCAUAAGAGAAACCACAAGAAGAUGACAUGGAAAAAGUCCAAAACUAAACUAAGCUAGAGGUCCUACUAUCUGAAGAAAGAAAAGCUACUCCAGAAAAGUCAAAAGAAAAACUAUCUAAUAUCUGGUUCCUCCUACUCUUGUGCGGCGUCCGCGGCUAUCAAGAAAACCGAAGACUUCCCUUUUUUCUUUCUUCGGCCAAAUUACCAAAAAGGGCUGCACCUCCUUUGUUCCAAAAAUGCCCUUGAGUGCCUUCUUUUUUAAUUCUUUCCCGAUGAUCGUAAAAUUAGCGCUUGUUAUCAUAUUUUCGUUCUAUUCCCUGAAAUAAAUACAAAUUACGAAAAAUAAAUAGAAUUUAAUAAUUAAUCCACAUCAGAUCAGGUAAUAGGAAAAAUUAAUAAUAAAAUAAAUGAUAAAAUUGUAACCCAUCAUUGACCAAUUCAUAUAUGAGUAUAUGGGUUACUCAGUCUCCUUCUUGGUGUGACUACACAUAAUUCAUUGUUUCUGGAGACGUGCUUAAAUUAAAGUGUAUAAUCAGCGCUUGUUAAUUAAUUGUUCUUUGUGUCAACUCGUAUUAUCACUUGAGAAAAUCACAUAAUGCACGCUGCAGGUGGUGCUUCUUGUUUGGAAGGUGAAGAAAAAGAAAUUUAAAUAGUCACAACUUUUGAGUCAUGGUUGAGUUAAAGUUUACGUCGAUGCGUCAUUCUUGAGCAAAUUGUCUUUUCACAACGAUCUGAUGUAUUGCAAUGCUUAAGAAACUUUAUUUCUUGUCCUAAAUAUAGGGAUCGAUUUUUUAAUUGAAACGUUAAGACUUGUUUUCAUCCUGCUAUGAGAGACUGACAACUCUGAUGGAUUCGAAAAUUAGAACUCGCCAUUAUUGUUAAUCAAUAUCAAAUUAGUACUCACCUUCGACCUGUAAAAUAUGGGGUAAUUGAGCACGGCAUGAUGCUAAAGUAAAUGAAGUAAUCUUUAAUUUAGGGUCCUAUCUAAUAAGUGUCCAUUAAGCACUUGUUGUUAAGAUGAAGUUCACAUGUAAAUAUCUUAGAAAUGUAAAGUUAAAUAAAGAAAUUUUAUAAAAAUAAGGUAUAGUAGUAAUUGUUAGGAUGUAUAUUUAUACGGUGAGUUUGGUAUGAUUUACAAGUCUUAAUGGCCACAAGAUAACACAAUUCUUAAUUUAAAAGUUCUUUAUUUUGAAAAUUCAACACAGGCAGACAUUUUCUAACACAUGUAAAUUUGGAAAGCUUUCCUUGUUAUUGUUCAGAUGGAGAAAGGAAAGCCUAAUUUUUAAAAAAUAUUUUAAAAGGUUAUCUAAAACUUAAUUUAAAUUUUUUUAAAAUUUUUAAAAAAUAUUUUAAAAUAUAUUCUAGAAAUUCUUCAAUUCUUAAAUAUUUCAAAAUAUUUUUUAAAAAUAUCUCAAAAUAUACUUUAAAAAUUCUGUUACAGUAAAUUUUUUUAAAAACAUCUCAAAAAACAGUUAAUCCAAAUGGAGUGAAUCACUCCAUUAAGUUUGUACAUUUCCACUUCAAUAGUCAACUAGUUUUGUACCCGUUCGUUGAAUGGGAAUCGUCGAAAAAUAACAAACUUUAGUCAAUUUAUAAAAAUGUCGAUAUAAAAUACAUAUUUAAUGUAUAAUCUAUUAUAAUUUGUCUUAAGUAUAUUACCAUGUGCGCAUUGUAAUGUAAAGUAUUCUUAUAAUAUAAAUUUGAACAUCUAAUUCAGUGAAUAAUAAUUCAAAAAUAGAAAAAAUAACAUUCAACAAUACCAUAACAUUCAAAAACUUGAAAAUAAAUAAAAAGUGCAGUAAAUAGUAUCAAAUAAUAUUCUACUAUUCAAAACUUUUUUUUUGUUUUUUUCUGUUUGAACAUUCUCCUCGAUUUGUCCGUGCAAAUCAGCAUUUAUUGAUUUUCUAUUAUCACUGCAUGAUAGCAAAGUAGGAUAACUAAAUAUUAAAAAAAAUAAAUGAUUUAUUGCAUUGAAGUUUGUGUAUAACAAUACAUAAAGAUUAUAAUUAAGUAAAUGGCCAGAGUCUUUUAAUUAACUAAUUAAUGAAUUUGCAGAUAUAUCUAAUAGAGAUAUUUAUGUUGUAUUUAUAUCGCAUUACUUUCCAGUGCCUUUUGUUUUUGGUUGUUUUUCCUUAAGGCAAAUUAACAAACAUCGUAGUAUAUGAUCACAAAAAUCAAUUAACAAACAUGUUAGAAAAAAUCCUACAAAAAUAACGAUGAAAGUACUUGUUUAAAUCCUAUGUCUUCAUACAAAACAAAUAGAAAAUAAAACAAAAAAAAUUCAAGAUAUGUUACUAAGCUCUUACAAUUGAAGAUCAACAUGCCUUUUUAAAAUAUAUAUAUAUAUAUAUAUUGAAAAAAGAUGUACCUGAUAAUCAAGAGGAGUGAAAACCCAAAAUCGAUACUUUAAUAUGCCAACCGCUUGCACUGGAAAUACCUAACCAUGAAUUUGAUACUUGAAAUCAAUAUAUUAGAGGCCCAAUCAAGGAACAUAUAAAUACCAAUAAAUGAAGAAAAUAAUUAAAACAGAUUCGAUCUCACAGUAGUUGUCGAACCAAAUCGUCAGUUGUCCCCUUGACUAGAAACACUUAACCACGCCUCAUGAGAACUCUCCCCGUUGGGGAAUAUUGUCGAACACCUGGCGUGUGUCAGAGGCCAGUCUAAGGAAAGAAAGAAAAGAAACUAAAACUAAACUAAGAACUAUUGAUUCCCUAUCUCCCGUACGUUUCUUCCUUUUUAAAGCCAAAAGGAAGUCUAAUGCUAUCUCUAGUGGUCCCCACACCAAAUUCAAAGUCUUGUACGUUUCUUUUCCUAGAGUCCAAAUGACUCAUGCUUCUUAUCCGUGGUCCCCGCACAUGUGGACACAACCUCCAAAGUACUUCUUGCUCCAAGUCUCUUACGUAGCUUUCUUUGAAAAGCCCACAUGACUAAAUGCCUUGCACUAGCUUGUGGUCCCCACCAAUUCAAGAGUCCAAGGUCCUUAGAAGUCUCCAUUUUCCCAUAAAAGUCCCUCCUUUUUGGUAAUUUUCUGCUUUGUUCCUGAAAUUAAACCCCAAUACCAAAUAUAAGUAAAUAUUAAUAAUUAAAACAAUAUUUGGCAAUAAUAAAAGGGGAAAUUAACAAUAAAAUUACUAACAAUUAACACCCUAUCACAUAAUCAUCCAAAUAACUUUGGGUAGGAAAUAAGACCUUAUGUGACUCGUACUAUGCACAUAUAUAAACCUGUACGUAAUAAAUUUACAAAUGCGUUAUCAAGAUAGAUUUUAUCGAUCUUAAAAGACCACCUCCACUAUAUCGAGUCCUUUAAGUGCAUGGACUCCUAUGAUGUGGGUCCAUACACGAAAUACUCCCUACCAUCUGGGCAAAGAUGUAUUGUGAUUAAGGAAUUAUUAGCAGAAAUAUAUUAAAAAAAAGACGGGCGGAGGACACGACGGACGGAGGGUUGGGUAGGGGCUUUCGGGGUGCAAAACUUCAAUAAAUAUCUAAUGUUUUAUCUCAUCUUUCUUUAGCUAUGAUAAUGGGAUUUUAUUUCUUUGGUUGAUGACACUCCAUUUUUUUUAUGGACUUUUCUAGAAUUUUUCAAUCAGAUGAAGUGCCAUUUCUCUUUGUACAUCAAUUAUGCAUGGGGAUUGUGAGUCUUGUAAAAACUUUCUCGGGCUAACUUUAUUUAAUUUCCAUGUCUAGAUUGUUUGUAUGUUGUUCUAUAUAUGGGUAAAUUAUCUUAAAAUAAAAAGGAUCUAUGAUGAAGCUGUUAAAAAAAAAAAAGAAUAGGACACUAUAAAAAAAUAUAUUAUCAUUUAUUCCUAUAUAUCUAAUAGAGGAGAUUUAUGUCUCUUUUAUUUUUAUCGCAUUACUUUCCAGUUCCUUUUUUGGGUAAGAAAUAAGAAUCAUAUAAUAUUAAGAAUUUUUAUAGAAAAUAAGAAUUGAUAUAUAUCCAAACAAAAAAGGAGUAAGCCAUGUAGGAAACUACUUUUUUUUUUUUUUUUUGUAAGCGGAAGGACUCGAACCCGAGACCUCUUGCUUACACUCCCUCCCCCCGUACCACCCAAUCCAACCCUCGUAGGAAACUACUUGCCAUCUCGUUAAGCCACGUAGAAAAGAGAAAAUAUGAAGAGAUAAGUAUGAUAAUACGACUUUAUUAUAUAUAUAUAUAUAUAUAUAUAUAUAUAUAUAUAUAUAUAUAUAUAUAUAUAUGAUUACUUUGGAUUGCUCUUCCUACCUUAUUCAUACCUCAGCCGUCCUUCUAGUUUCUUCUUCUACUCCUCAUUUUUUCCCUUUUAUCAUUUUUUUAAUUUUAUUAUUUAGACGGUGAAAAUGAUGAUAAAGUUAGUAAAGAUGUACAUUACAAACUUUUUUUUUUUACCAUAGAAGGCCAUUUGGUAGUGAAGAAGAUGAUAAUAGCCAAUAUAAAUAUCAAUUAUAAAGGACGCAUAUAUCUUCAGUACAUGGUUGUUCUACUUUUCUUUCUUUUUUGUUAAUUUUCAAUAUUGGAGUUGAUUUUACAAACCUUAUUUGAUUUGUUCUUGACUUGGGAGAGUCAGAAUCUUCUUUUUCCAUUAAUUUGAGAUAUUCGGUAGAUAAAUUUAUAUUUGUUUUGAUCUUUAAUAUUGCUAAACGAAAAACAUUUCAUUUCUUUGGUUGAUGAAUUGAAAAUUGCUAGACAUUGUGUAAAAGAUAUUUCAGAAUUCAGGGUUUUUGCCUUUAUUUCAUACUUCCUCAUUAUUAGCUAUUUUUUUAUUAUUAAAAAAGUUUUAAAAAAAUCAUCGAGCCGAUGAACUGACUGGUUAAACCGAUUUUUUUUUUUUUAAAAAAAGAACCGAACAUCCACCCAAUUUGUUUGGAAAAAAAAAAAUCCACCUAAUUCAUUUACCUGUCCGACUUUGAAAACAUCGAGGACAGCACAGAUAACAGAAAGGACAACAAUUCUUCGACAAAAUUAAUGGGCUGCCCAACAAGCAAUCAAGUACACAGAAGAUAACAAUUUGAAAUUGACUACUUCCUAACAAAUUUAUAUCUAUUUGAAAGAACAAUUAAAAAGUGAAUUAAAGAAUGAUUAAUGGUACAAAUAAGUCACUACCAGCCAAUAAAUACUGCAAGUUGUCAUGUGAAAAGGUUCUUCCGUUUAUUUAAGUGUAAUUAAAGGCAACGGGAUUGCCGGCCUGCCGCUUAAGCUUCUCAAUCACAACAUGUACUUAGCUGUACGUGUCUUUUGAGGUGGACAUAAGGUGUAAACUAUUUAGCCAAACCUGCUUUUUUUUAUUUAAUAUUUUCGGGUUCAUUCAUUCAAGAUGCAUUUGGUAAAAUUAAAAUCUGACAUCGUUAAGUUAUUAAAUUAUAAAUACUGAAAUCUAAUAUUUGAGCAUAUUCUGCAUUCAAUGAAAUCCUACACCGUUCGAACCCAUUUAAUUAAUUAAAAUGCUCAAUUUCUCGUUAUCAAACAUAUCUAAACAUGUUAAAGAUCUGAAUAUAUUAAAUAAGUUUAAGUAUUGAAUUGAAUUAUCAAACAGGGUUUUAGUUUAAGAAGCUUAAAAUUGCAUUCAAGUGUACAUUUUUAUUUAUCAGACUAGUUUUUCACCCUCGCAUGAGGAUGCCCUUGGUCUGUGUUUUGUUUAUCAGUAGCAAUCUUUAUUGUGAUUUGUUAAACACGUUUAUUGGGUAUUUCAGUUGCAAGGGGAUACGAUUCUUGCUGUUGUUUAUUUACCCAAUGCUAGUGGCAUUGCUGAUCAUGUUCAAUUGCAUUCGACAUAUUGCGCUGAGAAUGCAGUUAUUCGUCCUGUGAUGAUGCAAGAUUGCUUUCAAAUUGGCUCUAGUCCAUACGAUAAUUGUAGGGAGGAGAAAUGUACAAAUGCAAGAAUUCGUCGUUACGAAUGAAGAAUAGUAUAUCCUAAUAAGCGGAAGAUGUGUUUGAUAGGGAUAUUGGGUAUUAAUUUGAUUUGCUACUCACUAUUGUUGUUCCCUGGGUUGCAAACGAAUUUAAUCGCUUGCGAAUCGAUCGUGAGAGACUCGAGUCCAGCUAGGUCAACAUUGAGCUCGAGUCAAGUUCGAUCUCGAACUCGAAUUCAAAAAUAUUAAACCCAUUAGCUCGCGAGUCUACUCGAACUCGAUUAUAUAUAUUAUUUUUUAUUUUAAUAAUAAAAUUAAAUAUAUAUUCUUAAUAUUUUAUUAUUUGUUAAGGAAAAUUAUUAUUUUAUUUAUUUUUUAAAAAUUAAAUAAUUUUUUUUAUUUUUUAAACUCGAGUUCAAGAUCGAGUUUUACAUUUUGAGCUCAUCGAGCUCAAGUUCAAAUUUCAUAAACUUAGGUUGAGACUGAAUUUAAUUAGUUCAAAACUCGACUCAUCUUAACUCAUUUGUACCCGUAAUUGUUCCCAUGCUGGUACGAAUGAACAAAAAAUCGGACCUCAAUAUGGAAGGAAAAUCGAGAGCAGCACAACUAGCAAUUCAUGUCAAUAUAGCAAUCACAUGGUGUGCUUAACACUAAUCAAUAUGGCAUAAACAUAAAAAAAUGGUCUUGUCUUUCCGAAGGAAGUCUAGAAUCCAAAAUAGAGAAAGGAAAGGUGGGGGGCUGUUUGUGUUUUUAAACUCGGAUCAAACUGACUGGUUCGACUGGUUGAACCGAGAAUCAGCUAGGCUUUCAGUCCGAGUUCAUUCAAAAAACCGCCUAAAUAAAAAUCAGUCAAAAUCGGGUCUGACCGGGAAUUGAAAAUAACCAUAAGGACCGGUUUGUUUCAUUUGUUUGGUAUUCUGCUUUUUCUUCUUCACUUUUUGACUGUUCCUAUCCCUAAGAGAUGAUCACUAACCUUUAACUACCCUAUGUUCUCUCACGGAUACUUCCAUGGUGGUAAUCUAGCAAGAGCCUUUCAUGGUUGCCAUCAUAGUUGCUAGAUCUAGAACUUAAAAAAAAAAGGAUGGCUAGUUCUGAAAUAAAAAAAAAAAGGAAAAGAUGAAUCAGCAAGAUGAUGAAAAGAAAACAAGGAUUGAAACUUACGAGCUAACGAGUUAAGUAUCUUUAAACUCGAGUUUGCUCGAGCUCGGUCACUUCAAUUGCGAGUAACUCGACUCAUUUGGACCUCUAGGAUUGAUUGAAGCUCUGAUGUGGUAUGAUUUUUCUAAUUAUUUAUUUAUUUGACUUGUACUUUUUUUUUUCAAUGCUCCAUUGAUUUGUUAACCAUUCUUUUCCCUUUCUGGUAUUAGGACUGCAUGGUUAUUAUUAUGUUUGGGAUUUUAAGAAUGCAAAGUUCAAGACCAUACCACUUUACUGAAAUAUUUCUUGAAAUUUUCUUUUACAAUAAAAUGCCUAAUAUUAGAACACUUGUAAAUGCCUCUAAAGCCUAUUUUGUGUUCGUAUCGCCCACAUUCUUUUAAAACCGGCCUGAUAUUAGUUAAAAAUAGUAAAGAUCGUAGACUCAAUAUAAUUUGCCUGAAAUUUAAUAGGACCAAAUUGAUUAAUUUUCUAAAUAUCAAGGACUAAAUUUUCUUCCUUGAAACAAAAAAACCAUUUUACCCACAUCCUAAUUGUUGAGGACCAAAAUCUAAUUAGUUUAAGACUGAGGCGGAGGACAACCACCAGAAGAGAGGUAAAUGGAGUUCUGGAGGGUGGUUGCCCCUCUCUUCUGCUUCUGUUCCUCUGCCGAUGAACUCCAAAAAAAACAAAAAAUGCAAUUCCUUCUUUCUAAAUCCAAAUCAGAUAUAUAUAUAUAUAUAUAUAUAUAUAUAUAUAUAUAUAUAUAAAAUAAAGUCGUAUCCUCAUACUUAUCCCUUCAUAUUUUUUCUUUCCUACGUGACUUAACGAGACGGCAAGUAGUUUCCUACGUGGCUUACUCCUUUUUUGUUUGGAUAUAUAUCAAUUCUUAUUUUCUAUAAAAAUUCUUAAUAUUAUAUGAUUCUUAUUUCUUACCCAAAAAAGGAACUAAAAAGUAAUGCGAUAUAAAUAAAAGAGACAUAAAUCUCCUCUAUUAGAUAUAUAGGAAUAAAUGAUAAUAUAUUUUUUUAUAGUGUCCUAUUUUUUUUUUAACAGCUUCAUCAUAGAUCCUUUUUAUUUUAAGAUAAUUUACCCAUAUAUAGAACAACAUACAUACAAUCUAGACAUGGAAAUUAAAGAAAGUUAGCCCGAGAAAGUUUUACAAGACUCACAAUCCCCAUGCAUAAUUGAUGUACAAAGAGAAAUGGCACUUCAUCUGAUUGAAAAAUUCUGAAAAAGUCCAUACAAAGAAAUGGAGUGUCAUCAACCAAAGAAAUAAAAUCCCAUUAUCAUAGCUAAAGAAAAAUGAGAUAAAACAUUAGAUAUUUAUUGAAGUUUUGCACCCCAAAAGCCCCUACCCGACCCUUCGUCCGUCGUGUGCUCCGCCCGUCUUUUUUUUUAAUAUAUUUCUGCUAAUAAUUCCUUAAUCACAAUACAUCUUUGCCCAGAUGGUGGGGAGUAUUUCGUGUGUGGACGCACAUCAUAGGAGUCCAUGCACUUAAAGGACUCGAUAUAGUGGAGGUGGUCUUUUAAGGUCGAUAAAAUCUAUCUUGAUAACGCAUUUGUAAAUUUAUUACGUACAGGUUUAUAUACGUGCAUAGUACGAGUCACAUAAGGUCUUAUUUCCUACCCAAAGUUAUUUGGACGAUUAUGGUUUUAUUUCUUAUAAGAAUUCUUAAUAUUAUAAGAUUCUUAUUUCCUACCCAAAGUUACGUACUUUAAGCAACUUAAAUUAAGAUAAACAUACUUUUAAUGUUCUUAUCAAUAUCUCUUUGUAUUCUUAUCAAUUCUUAUUUUCUAUGUCUAUACUACAUAUAGCCUCUAAUAUAUUGAUUCAAGUAUCCAAUUCAUGGUUAGGUAUUUCCAGUGCAAGCGGUUGGCAUAUUAAAGUAUCGAUUUUGGGUUUUCACUCCUCUUGAUUAUCAGGUACAUCUUUUUUCAAUAUAUAUAUAUAUAUUUUUUAAAAAGGCAUGUUGAUCUUCAAUUGUAAGAGCUUAGUAACAUAUCUUGAAUUUUUUUUGUUUUAUUUUCUAUUUGAUUUGUAUGAAGACAUAGGAUUUAAACAAGUACUUUCAUCGUUAUUUUUGUAGAAUUUUUUCUAACAUGUUUGUUAAUUGAUUUUUGUGAUCAUAUACUACGAUGUUUGUUAAUUUGUUUUCAGGAAAAACAACCAAAAACAAAAGGCACUGGAAAGUAAUGCGAUAUAAAUACAAGAAACAUAAAUAUCUCUAUUAGAUAUAUCUGCAAAUUCAUUAGUUAAUUAAAAGACUCUGGCCAUUUAUUUAAUUAUAAUCUUUACGUAUUGUUAUACACAAACUUGAAUGGGAUAAAUCAUUUAUUUUUUUUAUAUUUAGUUAUCCUACUUUGCUAUCAUGCAGUGAUAAUAGAAAAUCAAUAAAUGCUGAUUUGCACGGACAAAUCGAGGAGAAUGUUCAAACAGAAAAAAACAAAAAAAAAGUUUUGAAUAGUAGAAUAUUAUUUGAUACUAUUUACUGCACUUUUUAUUUAUUUUCAAGUUUUUGAAUGUUAUUUUUUCUAUUUUUGAAUCAUUAUUCACUGAAUUAGAUGUUCAAAUUUAUAUUAUAAGAAUACUUUACAUUACAAUGCGCACAUGGUAAUAUACUUAAGACAAAUUAUAAUAGAUUAUACAUUAAAUAUGUAUUUUAUAUUGACAUUUUUAUAAAUUGACUAAAGUUUGUUAUUUUUCGACGAUUCCCAUUCGACGAACGGGUACAAAACUAGUUCUAUAUAUUUUCGAUGUGAAAUACGAAGGGGCAAAAGGUAGUUUUGGAUGACAAUCAUUUUCUUGCACAGUUGCGCGUACCUAUUACGCGUUAAUUUACAACAAACUCAAAGAAGUCAUUGCAGUUGGUGGAGUCAGUGACCCAUCUUAAUGUGAUAACUUAUCUUUUUGGAAGAAUAAUUAAAAAGUGAAUUAAAGAAUGAUUAGUGGUACAAAUCAGUCACUACCACCCAAUAAAUACUGCAAGUUGUCAUGUGAAAAGGAUCUUCCGUUUAUCUACCUAUAUAGUAAAAGCGCGAAUGAGGUUGUCAAGUGUGGUGGUUUUGUGCUGACGUGGCUCGUUUUUAUUGGCUGAAAUUUGGUCGUCAAUCACGUGGAACUCGCGUGCUUUCGCUGGAAGGAGAAGUGCCAUUCUUGCUGUUGUCCGACGAGAAGAAAGCUGGACCUUCGGUUUUUAAGAAGAAACAUUUCUCUGUAGCAUGGCCAUCAUUUCUUUUUUUUCUUUUCUUUUCUCUGGUCGGCAGAUUGCCAGCUGAGUCAUCUUGUCUACCUAUAUAGUAAAAGCGCGAAUGAGGUUGUCAAGUGUGGUGGUUUUGUGCUGACGUGGCUCGUUUUUAUUGGCUGAAAUUUGGUCGUCAAUCACGUGGAACUCGCGUGCUUUCGCUGGAAGGAGAAGUGCCAUUCUUGCUGUUGUCCGACGAGAAGAAAGCUGGACCUUCGGUUUUUAAGAAGAAACAUUUCUCUGUAGCAUGGCCAUCAUUUCUUUUUUUUCUUUUCUUUUCUCUGGUCGGCAGAUUGCCAGCUGAGUCAUCUUGGGAAAUGUAAUUCUUCUUCUCUUGCUUUUGUUUGUCCGAGAGAGAAGAAGAAGGACCUUCAGUUUUUUGGCUGAGAUUUGGCCGUCAAUCGCGUGGGGCUUGUGUGCUCUUGCUGGGAAGUGCAAUUCUUCUUGUCUUGCUUUUGUCCGAGAGAGAAGCAGAAGGACCUCCGGUUUUGACGAUAAACGUUGCCAGCUUAGUGAGAUUGGCGGCUGGUGAUGGUUUGAUUGAUGAUGAUAGCUGUUUGGUGAUGGGCUCAAUGUGGUUGGUGUGCUUUGACGAUACUGCCCUUCUUUUAAAAUCAGAUUCACCGUUGCAUCUGACUAAGUUUCUUCCUUCUCUUUGCGCUUUGGUGAGAAAAGAAACUACAGCUCUGCUCUAUAGGGCUGCCGAAAAAGCACAUUUCCCUCUUUUCUUCUUUGAUGAUGAUGAUGAUGAUUGACAAGACUGGAAGCUCUUUGUUAGUCCGAUGUAUGCAGGGGUUUCUAACCUCCAAAUUUCGCCUUUUCCAGCUUUCGUCAUCAUGCACCGUGGUAAUUGUGCCUCAUUUCCAUUGCUCCCUUUUCCUUGCCCUUCAGCUGCUUGCUUCUUCAUUCUCAACUAUUGUCUUCUUUCUUUCCCCCACUUUUCCCAGCCUUUCUGAGAGCUACUGUCUUGCUGCCUUCUUGCAUAAGGUUUAAUUCUGUUGUUAUUGUUUGAUUUUAGCUCCUUCUGAGACCGUUGUGUGCACUGUUGUGGUUAUUUGUUUUUUUUAGCGGCUAAAUUUUAUUCUCUCUUCAGUUGUUACUGUUUAAUUGCCUUUUUGGUUUGCUUUUCAUCUCAUUUUGCUUCUUCCCUUUUCCCUCAUUUAUCCUAUUUAAAUUUGUUAUUUUCCUUGCCGGAUCCUUUUCCCCUGCUUUUCCCGUGUCCCCCCUAUGAACAAUUCUUGCAUUGCUGUGCUUUCUUCACAUUUUGUCCUACUACUCUUACUGCCUACAAAUUAUCCUUCCCCGCCUUCUACCUUUUUUGGAGUUCUUAGUAAGCAUUCCUUAUAUUAUACCCUAUAUAUUUUCAGACACCAUUCUGGAGUGUACCCCUCCCUCUCUUACAGGAGGGAACUAUUUUGUGAGGAAUGCUUGUAAGGAUAACUGUUUCAGAGAUACUUAUUAAGAGGUUAUCUUCCCCCCCCUUAAAAAAUGCUUGCAAAAAAUAAACCUGCCACCCAACUUAUUAAGAGCUUUCAGAAUUGCCUGCAAGAAAUGCUUGUUCUACCGCAUUUUACUCUUUGGAAUUGUAUCUUCUUACCCUUUUUUCCUCUUGUUGGUUUGUUAGGUGCUGAAGCAGGUUCUGUCCUCUUCUUUGUUGCUUUGCUUUGCUGUUGGCUGAUAGAGGCUUAAGGUUAAGGUGACAUUACUUAUCCUCCCUUCCGUAUGUGCUUUUACCUUGCUCCUGUCCAAUAAUCAUUUGCCCCGUGGUUUUAUUGCUUCACUUUUAAAUGUUACCAGCUUGGCUCGAACUUUUAUCUGCUUUUCCUUGUGUGCUCUGUUCCAUGCUCCUGUCUGAGGCCUGUGCUUUAACUUUGCUUCGCUCUUUUCCUUUUAAAUAAUUAUACUUACUGGAUUCCAUGGUUCUGUAUAAGGACUGCACUUAUCUUUCUUUUUUUAUGUCUGCUGAGUUUCGUUCUCCUGUGUGAGAGCUGCACUUUAGCUUUUCUUCCUCUGUUUUUAUGCGUCAAUCUUGGUAGAGCUUUGCCCUACUUCUUACUUAUUUAGUUACCGCUGUAGUCGUGUAUUAGACGCGUACGUUUGGCUUUCUUUUCGCCUACUCAAGUGUGCACCAAUCAGAUGGAUAGGAAUGCUGUGCGCCGCAAAAAAUAUGCAGAAAUGCCGCCUCUGAAGAAAGCAGAGCUUCUGCGCUCUCGAAGGCAGGCUCGGGCCUCCAAGAAAGCUGGAAAAGCUCCAGCUCCUCGUGUUCGCAGGGUCCCAUUAGGAUAUGUUGAAACUGGUGUGUCAUUCCCAAAUGCUCAUCAUAUGCCAUGUCGUAGUGAGGAUCCUACGGCUGCUCAUUCUCAGCCGUUGGGGAAUACACAUGUUGUGUUUCCAGCUGAUGAUGACUUUGCGAUUAGAGAGGGAUUAGAUUUCAUGUCGUGUCAGUCCCCUGGUUCAUUUACUGGUCAUCCUAUCCCCUCCUUUGGACCACAACUCAGUGAUGACCCAGGUAGAGAGAAACAUAAGCACGUAUUCUCCCUUCCGCCUGAAAAUGAACAACCUGUUAACCUUUCACAUCCUGAAGUUAUGCUAGGCUUAUUUCCUUUGAAUUCAUCUCUUAAGAACUCUGAACAGUCGAUUCCAAAAGAAAAUGCUCCUGCGAGUCAUUCUUUCCCUGCUGGAAUCCCAGAUUCUCCUUUAGAACAACCUUGCGAAGGUACUGUCUUGCCUUACGAUAUACGCUGUGUUUGCAAACCUCCUGGUCUGUUUCGGCCAGACUGUAAAUAUUGAAUAACCAACUUUAUAUCCUGGCCUUCCGGAAGCCUUCUUCCUUUGUUUGCCGGUGUUCCUUUAAGGGAAUUGGCACUCUUUUGCCUACCUUAUUCGCUUGUGCAAUUCGCAGCCAACUUUCCUGCUCACACAGAGGAGGUGUCCAGGUGUGAGCCAACAUCUGGUCACUUGAAGAAAAAAACCAGAAAAGUAGCUCCUUCUUCUGAUCCAUCUAUUGUUCGCUCCCGUUACAAAAAACGCACCGCCCCUGCAUCUGUAAACAACCCCAGCUCAGGUUUGGAUUUGCUCCUGAUCCUCUUUAACCGUUUGUUGCCUUCCAUCCUGAUUUAUCCAGCUCACCAGUCAUAAUUAAUAAACUCGUUUGUGCGUGCAAUAAAACUGCAGCGAAAAAACAAGCUCGUGCACAUUCAACCAUGUCUCGUCUUGCCAAUAUUCCCAAUGCAUCUCUGGUUCUGCCUCGUGUUCCUGAUUGUCAGCAUUGUGGAGCGAAAAGGUUCCAUUUGGAACCUCCUUCCUUUUGCUGCUCAGGAGGAGAGAUCUCUAUCGUUGCUCCUCCAAUGCCUUACGAUUUGAAACGCUUAUUCAUUGGCAACGAUGAAGAGAGUGCUCACUUUAGAACCAUUGUUCGCACUUAUAACAACAACCUUGGCUUCACAUCUUUUGCUGCAAAGUAUGACUCUGAAUUAACAAAAAACACAAAAGGUGUCUAUACCUUCCGUGUUCAAGGUCAGGUUUACCACUUUCUUGAUGGUCUCGUUCACUUAGGUGAUCGACCAUCUGGAAUCCAAUUAUAUUUUUUUGACACUGCUGAGGAAUUAACAAAGAGGCUUGGUAACUCAGAUAAACUACGCGAAAGCACUUUAAGACUGCUUAUGCGCGUACUUUCUGACAAUCCUUAUGCUCGGUUCUUUAAAGGCCUUAGGGAUGUUCCACACCUUGACAACCUGAACAUUAUCCUUAAUUGUUAUCCUUCACUUGACCAGCGAGUAUAUAACCUUCCCUCAGCCUCGCAAGUAGCAGCUAUAUGGACUGAAAGUGAAGAUCAGUCGUCCGAUAGGCGCGCUCAUAUUCAGGUUUAUUCUCGCUCGGCUGGUAGCCAUAGGAUUCAACAUUACUAUGGCUGUUACGACCCUUUACAGUACCCUCUCCUUUUCCCUCGUGGUGAGUGUGGCUGGCACCAUGGGAUUAAAAGGCUUUGCAAGAGGAAAAGAGGAGGGGACGCUUGUGAGAAUGAUAUUAACAUUGAUCCAACUUCAGUUAACUCCUCAUCGGAGUUAAUCGAUUUAGAACAAAGAGGCGAGCACAUUUCUCUCUUCUUAUAAACUGCUGAACCUGCCCAUUGCGUUACAUUAUUUAACCAUGUACAGCAUCUUUUCCCUUCUUUAUAGCUGCUGACCAAGGAAAAACAGAGGAAAGUACUGUAUCUGCUAGGGAGUACUACUGUUAUAGGUUCCAAAUAAGGGACGAUGAUGAGUCAAUGCUGUUACACACUCUUAGGCUGCUACAGCAGUUUUCAGUUGAUGCUUAUGUCAAGAUUGAAACAUGUAGGCUUGACUUUCAUAGGCAUCGGCAAAACAAUAUACGUUCCGAAAUUCUGCAAGGGGUUCUUGACAGUGUUUCUGUUGGCCACACUGCUGCUUCUAAGGUUGGUCGUAAGGUCAUUCUUCCAGCUUCCUUUAUAGGUGGUCCGAGGGAUAUGAGGCGUCGUUACCUAGAUGCGAUGGCACUCGUACAGAAAUAUGGAAAACCAGACAUUUUUCUUACAAUGACGUGUAAUCCAGCAUGGAAAGAAAUUCAGGAAAAUUUGAAAUACCAUGAAAAACCUCAGGAUCGGCCAGACCUUCUCGCUAGAGUUUUUAGAGCCAAGUUUGAAAUGCUUAAAGCAGAAAUUCUGAAUAAGCAGAUCUUCGGCGAGGUUUCAGCAUGUGUUUACGUGAUUGAGUUUCAGAAACGCGGCUUUCCUCAUGCCCAUUUAUUAUUGAUCUUAAAACCUGGUCAUAAGCUGCUUAAUCCAGAGUCAUACGACAAAGUUGUUUGUGCUGAGUUGCCCGACAAAGAUAGAUAUCCUCACUUGUAUUCUCUUGUUGUGAAACAUAUGAUCCAUGGUCCUUGCGGAGCCAUGGAUACAUCUUGUCCUUGUAUGAGAGAUGGGACCUGCAAAAAUCGCUAUCCAAAGAGCUUUUGUUCUCAGACAACUCAUGGUGAGGAUACCUAUCCGUGUUAUAGGAGAAGAGAUGAUGGCAAAAGAGUGAAGGUUCGUAGAUUUACUCUUGAUAAUAGGUGGGUUGUGCCUUACAACCCUUACCUGCUUGCUUUAUUUGAUUGCCACAUCAAUGUCGAAAUUUGUUCUACUCUUAAGCUCGUGAAGUACUUGUAUAAGUAUGUUUUCAAAGGACACGAUCAAGUGAGCUUUAAGAUUAUUUCCUGUGCAUCAGCGGAUGCUAUUGAUGAAAUAAAAGACUUCCAGAAAGGUAGAUGGGUUUCACCUCCAGAAGCUUUUUGGCGCAUUUAUGAAUUUAAGCUGAGCGAAAUGACCCCUGCAGUUUACACCCUUCAGAUUCACCUUCCAGAUCAGCAAUUCAUUUCCUUUGACAAGAACUCUGACUUGCUGCAAUUGCUGAGUAAAAUUGACUUUUCAAAGACUAUGUUAACUCAGUUUUUUCGCAUGAACAAAACCAAUCCUAGAGCACAGAAUCUGAAAUGCUUGUACAGAAAUUUUCCUGAGCAUUUUGUUUGGUCUGGUAAAUAUAAAGAGUGGACUGAAAGAAAGCGUCGAAAGGUGAUUGGUCGCAUGGUCACUGUUAGUCCAAAGGAAGGAGAAAGAUAUUAUUUGCGGUUGCUAUUAACGCACAUUGCUGGCCCGACCUCUUUUGAAGACCUUUUGACUGUUAAUGCACAGAAAUUAGGUUCUUUUAGAGAAGCUGCUUUAGCUCUUGGCCUUCUACAAUCCGAUGCUUAUAUAGAGGAGACACUUCAGGAAGCGAAAUGCCAUCUUCAUUGAGGCUGUUGUUUGCCACUCUCCUUGUGUACUGUUCUCCAACAAAUCCUAAAUCGCUUUGGGAAAAAUUUGAACAUGACCUUUCUGCUGACUAUCAUCACCAGCAACCACUCCAUGGCUUUUCUUCAGCUGAAAUUAGACAGAAAGUUUUGCAAGCUAUUAACAGUUCACUUGAACAAAUGGGGAAAAACAUUACUGAUUUUCACUUUGUCUCUGACGAUUUUACAUGCAAUUAUACUGAACGAUUAACAAAGGAGAUUGAAAGUGAGAAAAGCUUAGCAGUGACACCUGAGGAUCUGCUUUUGCCUCAGAUGCUAAAUCCUGAGCAGAAACAUGCCUAUGAUCUAAUCCUAGCAGCAUGUUUUUCCUUAGAAGGCCAGGCUUUUUUUGUUGAUGGCCCCGGCGGCACCGGUAAAACGUUCCUGUAUCGGUCGCUUCUCGCGACCUUACGAUCACAGAACCAUAUUGCAAUUGCAGUGGCAACAUCUGGAAUUGCAGCAUCAAUCCUUCCUGGUGGAAGGACAGCUCACUCAAGAUUCAAGAUACCACUUGAUUUCCAGAAAGGUAAGAGUUGCCAGCUUAGUAAACAAAGUUCUGCUGCAAAACUCAUUUCAGAAUCUAAGCUUAUUUUGUGGGAUGAGGCUUCAAUGGCUAAACGGGACACAAUUGAAGCCUUCGACGAAUUGCUGAAGGAUUUAAUGGACUCAGAUUUACCUUUUGGAGGAAAGGUAAUAGUUUUUGGAGGAGAUUUUCGACAGACUCUUCCUGUGAUUGAACAAGCAACUAAACAAGUUCUCGUCCAGUCGACCUUUCCCAUGUCUCCUCUGUGGCCUAAACUGCAUAAAAUCCGACUCGUACAAAAUAUGCGAGCUAUGUUUGAUCCUGAAUUUUCACGAUUCCUUCUAAGAGUAGGAGAAGGAAGAGAACCUAUUGAUGAUGAGGGCGAAAUAACUUUAUCAUCAGAUAUAGUUAUUCCUUAUUACGAUAAAGAGAAAUCCUUAGACAGGUUAGAUGGGUACAUACAAUCAAAUUUAGUUUUUGUUUAGCAACUAUUCCUCCUGCUUCCCAUUAUCAAUGCAGCUUCUUUUACGCAGGUUACUAGAAAGUGUCUUUCCAGAUUUGAACACCUAUUCGCAAGAUCCUUAUAACCUAAUAAAUAGGUGCAUCCUUGCGCCUAAAAAUAGCUCAGUUGAUGAACUCAAUGAAAUAAUGAUUAGGAGAUUUCCUGGAAGCCUUCACACUUAUAUUAGCUCCGACAAGACUGUUGAUCAGCGGCACCAAGAUGACUACGAAGACUUCCUCAAUUCUCAAAAUCCUAAAGGUCUUCCUCCUCAUAAGUUGCUGUUGAAGGAAAACUGUCCACUGAUGCUUCUAAGAAAUCUAAAUCCAGCUGAAGGCCUUUGCAAUGGCACAAGGUUAAUAUGUAGGGAACUUGGCCAGCACACAAUUUCUGCUGAAAUUGUUUUUGGCCAUCAUCGAGGAAAAAGAGUUUUCGUUCCAAGGAUACCUCUUCAAACGCCCGACAAUGACAAGAAUGGGAUUCCAUUCAUAAGAACACAAUUUCCUGUCCGCCUUUGCUUCGCUUUAACUAUCAAUAAAUCGCAGGGCCAAACUCUUGACUACGUCGGCAUCUAUCUACGGGAACCAGUUUUUUCUCAUGGCCAGCUGUAUGUUGCUCUGUCCAGAGCUAAAACCGCUGCCAAAGUUAAAGUUCUUCUUGUUCCUGGAACAUUUGAUGACACAAAAGUAGAUUGCAAAACUCGAAAUGUUGUCUUUGAUGAAAUUUUUAGAUUAGCUCAAGCCUAAGCAAUUUUCUGCUUGACUUAUCCUAAAGUAAGCUCGUCAUACAUAUUUUUCAAAUAUGGUUUACUGUGUUUUUUUUAUCUUUUAGUUCCUGUUCAUAUAUCCAUCGACUUGUGUUUUUGUAGGAUGGCUAACUUGCUGCCAAUGCGAGAUAUCAUACCUCACAUGAAAAAUUGGAGCUGCAUCGUCACUGUUCAGGAAAAGCAACAGAUCACAAGCUCAAUGGGAACGCCAACAAGAAAGCAGAAAUUUGUUUUCUACGAUUCAGAGGUUAGUUGAAGCCACUGCUCAAGUUUAGAUUCUAGCAUUUAAGUCAGCUAUUGUUUUGAUUUCUUUAUGCAGCAUUAACUUCACCUCUUUACGUAGGGAUCAAGAGUCGAAGGAAUCAUCUUCAAUGAUGACAUUCCUAGAAUGAGCAGCAUUUUGCAGGUCUAUAAAAAAUAUAAAAUAUCCAAUGCUGAGGUCAGAACCAUACCACCAAAGUUCCAGACAUCUGAGCUCACCGUUCAAUGGGUUAUCAGCACCAAGACUGUCAUUGAUGAAAUUGCUGAUGAUGAUGAAGUCAUGCCUGUAAAAUUCUGCUAUUCAAAGUUUACUGACUUAGUUCAAUACAUGGAUGACAGAACUAAAUCAGUCGGUAAGCCUUUCAAUGCUUUGCUCUUAAUAUGUUUACGUUCUGGCCAAAGUUUUCAUAAUCCCAUUCUCUGUAUUGUUCAUAGACGUGCUGGGAGUUGUGAUUAGUGCGCUUGAGAAGAAAACUGUUACCAAAAACUCAAAGCAAUCAGAUGUUCAGAAAUUUGUCCUUCUUAAUGAACAGCGAGAGCUUCAAUUCUCAGUUUAUGCAAAACUUCCCACUACCUUUAUUUCUUUUUCUCUACAACCAUUUUUUUCAGUUUGUAACUGUUAACUCUUAUCACGAGCACAGAUCACAGACGGUGCUCCUGUCUCUAUGGGAUAGUUUUCUGGAUAAUGAAGGACAGGAAAUAUUAUCUAAACUUCACAGCUAUCCUGUCAUCAUUGCUCGCAGAGUUAGAGUGAACAACUAUAAUGGUCUGUUCCAGUUUUAGCUUUUAACGUUUUUACUCUUUAGCUUUUUCUUCCUGCCUGCAACGCCUGUAAAGAAAUGUGUACUUUACUUUCGCCAUACAGGAGUCGCACUUGGUACUUGGUUUGAUUCAGCGAUUCUUGUUGAUCCACCUGUACAAGAGGCAAGAGAACUCAAGAACUGGUGCGAUAUAUUUUGAAUCACCGACCUCUAUACAGUUUAGCUCCAAAUUCUGUCCACACUUUCAGUCUUAAUACUUUUUAUGUCUCCUUUCACCCAGGGCAUUGAGGAACACUAAGUUGCUUAAAGAAGCUGCCGAAAAAAAGGACUAUAUUAAAUAUAAUCCACAGCUGUCAUUAAAAGCAGAUCAGAAAACUACCUGGAUUUGUAACAUAACUUCGUCACAAAAGGUUUGGGACUCGAACAUGUUACCUGUUUUCAUUCUCUUUUCAUGUGCACUCGUCUUUUUGUACUCAUGCUUGCUCGUCUUUAAGACUAUAUGGGUGAAGGCACAGUUCUCUUUUGAGCAUAUCUUCCAGAAAUAUUGGUACAUGAGCUGUAAGAACUGUUGCCGAGCCACAGCAGCAGCCUAUCAAGUUGAGUUUACCUGUAACUCGUGCAAAGAAAAACAUCCUGCAGUACCUAGGUGCUAAAAAAAUACACUUGCAAUAUAUUGGUUUGUAUUUGCUGCUAUCUAAUGCUGUUUCAGAUAAAAAAAUAUGAAUUCCUGCAUAUUGUGUCCCUAUUUUUAGAUGCCGCUUUGAUGUUGAUUUGAUCGAUAGCACCGGCGUGAUACCAGCUUCAAUAUUUGGCGAAUUAGCAGAGAACUUACUGACGUUUAAUGCACUGGAAGCAAUGCAACAUUUUAAUGAGGUUCUUGCUCCCUAAAUCUUGAUGAUCAGGGUAUUCUAUACUUUUUAUUCUCACUUUUCAUUCCCUUAACAGAAUGUUGCACUUCCCCUAGAGUUUGUCCACAAGGAGCUCAGUUCAAAGACGUUUCUGCUUCACAUCAAACCUGUGCAAGCGCAACUGGCAGACGCAAGGCAGCGCUACACAAUUAUAUACUACUCUGAAGUCAAUGCUGGUGCCGAUUCUGCGCAGUUAACAAGUGAAGCAGAGGAUGCCCCUCCUUUUCCUAGCACAGAAUCUGACACUAUACAGCUCGGGGCUCCAGGUAACUCACAAGCACUACACAGUUUAGCUUCCAGCAUUUAUAUUUUACUUCAACUGAAUCAUGUGACAUAUCAAACAAAUAUGGUCGCAGGAGAGAGUAGCGCUCGUUCAAAAGUUUGUGUUCGCCUUUCUAAAAGGUUUGAUGAACCACAGAGCACUGAAGCUGAGGAAGAUGAAAAUGCAGAAUGCAGCUCUAGCAAAAAACAAAGACUCAAUUGACUGUUUCUUUUGCCCCUUUUGUCGACCAAAUCUCUGCUUUCUAUGCCUCCCAUGCUAUCCUAUAUUUUUGCAAAGUUGCUUUUGUGUUCCUCAAAGAGUCAUUGAUGUAUUAGUUAAACCUGUCUUUUGUUCAUGAAUGCCCCUUAAACUGCUUUUGAUGUUAAACCUUUUACGUUAGCUGAUAAUCUGCAAUCAGCACCAGCUAUGUAUUUUGAAUAGAUGUUUUACAGCUGUUAUGUACUGGUCACAGGGUCCUUUGAAUUCACCUUCUGCUCUAUUUAGCUUAUUAACUGACCUUGUGGUGAAUGUACUAUCUGUUAUUCGCCAGCUUUUACUGAAUGCUUUUAUCAAAGCUAUUCAAAUUUUCUCCUUCACAUAAAUCUCCUAUUAAAUAUCGCACCUACUAUUGUUAGCUCCACUCACUCUGCUCAGCAUCUCAGACUUAGUAUAUCUAUUAGCCUUAGAUUGUGUAGUUGUGCAGACUUCGGUUCUUUUACAGAAACUCUACUUUUUUCGUCACCAUAACUGUGUUAUACAAUAGAUAUUACCCUGCUCUGCAUUCACUUCUUAGCUGUAACCUUACCAGUCACUUCUUUUAAUAUUAACCUGUUCUACUUCUUUGAUGUGACGAAGCAUUAAAGCACUCAGCUCUGAGAAGAACUAAAGCAAGCCUGACCAUAAACAAAUUUACUAAAAAACUCUUUUACCCAUUCAUUGUUUAUAUAUAGCUGCCUCUUGAAUGGCUCAUACAUCCGAAGCAAAACACUUCAAGUUAACCUUUCUACUUGCUUCCCUCAGAUUAUCCCUAAGGUUCACUUGUUCCCUUUGCCUUCAUAUGACUGCAUCUUUCCCACUUUUUUAAAAUUAGCUUCCCCGGUCACAUCAAUGGCAGAAGGUCCAUCUACCUAUGGACUAACAAAUAGUAGCUCAAUGGCCUGUUGUUUUCUACUGAAAUGCAAUCAUAGAGGAGAGGUCUAAUUUUCUUCUAUGCAAUAGAAAUUACUUGUUAGCAAUGUGCAGUGUAGAUAUAUAUGUUCAUUUGACAUUUCCUAUUUUUAUCUCCUAAAAUGCAGAUUCUACCUGCUCAAUUCAAGGUAUUACUUACCCAGCACCAGCAUAAUACAAUUAUUCUCAAGCACGGAACUUAUAAAUGGCCUGUUGUAGUCGGUGAUCGUUCAUUUCAAGAAGGCUGGGAUGAAUAUUACCAAGAAAAUAUUGCAAACAAACAUGAUAUGUUGCUUCUACGACAUGCUGGCAAUCUCAUCUUUGAUGUCAUACACUUUUCCGAGCUACAAAAAUAGGUUUACCUAUCUUGGACAGUCCCAUUACCAAAUUUAUUGCAGCCUGUUGGUGCUCAUGCACAAGGUCAGUUUAUACUAACCUUUAUAUCAUGCAGUUAGUUGUAGUAAAAUCUUCUCUAAUUCAUUAUCUGCUAAAUAACUUCAGAUAGUGCCGCUUCUAUAAAAAUUCAGCAGUUAGUUGCUUCAUCAAUAAACCCAGAUUUAAACCAGAAUCUCGUUGAUUCAGUUUGCUUCUAUCAAACCUUCAAUACAGCAACCCCAAACACAUUGGUAAUCUAUCCAUACACUGUUUCUUUUUCCAUCUCUUACUGCAUUACUUUGAACAAAAAAUAUAUAUUAUGUUCUCGCAUCUGACUUUCAUUCCUUUUGUAUCAGAAAAUUCCAAGAUUCGUCGAUCGCUUUAUUAAUGAACAAAGAACUCCAACACUUCUUAUUAGGACUGGAGAGAUAAUUACAUCAAUAGGUGUAAAAGGGAAAAAGCUAAAAACAAAUUGGAGAAGCUUCGUUCUUCAACAUCAGUUACAGCACAAUGAAGUCCUUGUCUUCAUUCCAGAAUCAUCAACUACCUUCACGCUUGUAGUCUUUGACGAUAAUGGAGUCGAGAGAGUCUUUCCAUGGUCUUGCACCUUCAAAAUUUAUUCUAAUUGUCCUACUUGUACCUAACUUCUGCACUAUGUUUUCUCUGUAACCGAAGUUCCCUGUUACCUUCAACCUCUCCAUCGCAUAUGUUUCAGUUUUUUAUUUCGUUGAACCGCAUUCUUCAUUCCUCCUAAAUAUAACUGCAUUGCAAUGAAAUUAAACAUGUAGCAAAUAUAUUAUGAAUGCCUAACAUCUAUUAUCAGCUUCAAUUUUAUUCACCAAAAAUGUUUUCUUUUCAAUCUUUUCCUUGAUGCCGUGUUGAAUGCAAACCUUUAUUUACUCGCAUUUUCCUGCAACCUGGCUUAUUUAAAAAUUUAAUCAUUUCAUAGCCAAAGAACUUAAAUAUACCUCAUGCGGUUUGUGAUAUCUUCACUUGAAAAUUGGGCAUUUUCUGGGCAGCAUGGAACCAACACCGCGCAUCGCGCGGUGAACCCCUCCUAGUUUAUUUAAAGAAUGUAUAUAAAGUGGGAAUGGAGAUUGCCAAAACAUGGUCGUCCUCCCAUGUGCAGUGCACAUGCAUAUUUUGUAAGAAUUUGGUUUUUUUAGGUAAAAUUCUUUUGUGUCUUGGAACUCAAAGGGAAAAAAAUAUAUAAAAAAGCUCUUUUUUGUGUCUUGGAACCCAAAAGAAAUCAAGUAUGUCUAUAUGAAAAGCAUAAAAAAGGAACGAUGCUUUAGCUUUAAGGGGCCCGAGGCAAAAGCCUCGUUUUAUUCACCUCCUUCACGUCUGAUAGGUUGCAAUUUUAUCAUUUAUUUUAUUAUUAAUUUUCCCUAUUACCUGACCUAAUGUGGAUUAAUUGCUAGAUUCUACUCACUUUUGAUAUUUUGCAUUUAUUUCAGGGAGUAGAACGAAAAUAUAAUAACAGGUGCUAAUUUGGCAAGAAAAGAGUUCAGAUGAUAGAGUUUGUCCUAGGGGCAUUUUUGGAACAACAAAACAUGAGCCCUUGUUGGGCAAAUUGGGCCGAAGUCUUCAUUUUCCCGCACAGGAGCCGCCGCAAGGGCACUACUUUAUAUAGAAAACUUGCGCAGGAAAAGAGGGAGCUGCUUCCUCUCUGGAAGGGGGCCGCCGCACAAGGCCAGACAGUAGCAAUAGGCCAUUAGGAUAGGAACUAUUAGAUUGCAGAGAACAAGCACUAUCUUUUUCUAGCUUCACUUUGACUUUUCUUCCUAGCUUUUCAUUGCUUUUCUCCACGCAUGUCAGGAGGAAGCAAUUCUUAGUUUUAGCUUGUGACUUUUCCUUUUUCGUCUUUUAGUGGUUUGCUUCCUGCGGAUGUCCAGACCGAAGGAAAACUAUGAAGUACCUUUUGUAGCUUUCUUUCUUUAUUGAAUAGACGAAUUGAAUUCGCCCAACUUCCGAAUUGAUGGCCGCAGCUUUUGCUUCAAUUUCUUGUGGAUUUUGUUCAUCAACUAUGAACUAAUUUCCUCACCCUAGUCAAGGGACAACGGAUGCUUUGGGUCGCCUAAAAUUGUGAGAUCGAUUUAAUUUUAUCUUUUUCUUUUAUUUAUUGGUAUUCGCAUAUUUUCUGAUUACAGUGCUUAUGAUUGUUUAAUUAAUUGGUUGUCUUGGAUCCGGAUAAUUAGUUAAUUUGAUAAUCUAUUAUCAAUUGGGACGUUAAAUCCGUAAUUGUUUAAUUGUCUCAAAAUAGUGAUAACUGGCAUGAUUGGGUUUGUGUCAGGGGAAUACGCGGGCUAAUCUAAAAUAACCCUGGUAGUGCGUUAUUUGGUUAGAAUAGGGCUCCUCUAAUACAUAAGGCAAUUGGGGAAUUAAAUCUUACGGGCGUACCUAGGAUUAUUUCUCAAUUAGAGCAGUGAUUAACGGGCGUACCUUAAUCACCGACACAGUAAGGAGGGGUUGACUGCCAUCGCUUGUUUGGUAGUUAUAACCUAUUUAUUGAUGAAUAAUUGGAAUUGCCUUUGCUUAUCGAUGAUCAAUUAGGUGAACCAUUGUUGAAAUUAUUUCUUGGCUAGAUCCUUAAUUACCACUUAUUAGAUUUUAGUAAAUUGUUAUUUAAUUUCUAGUUGGCUAUUUUAUUUUUAUCAUUUUAUUUUUAGUUGGAUUGGUUAAAUUGUCACUCCUGAUAUAAAACACCCUCUUUGUCACUGUGAACUUGAAAAGAAACAAUUACUCCCAGUCCCUGUGGAUUCGACCCUGCUCACCACUAUCUACAGAAAUUAUUUUUAGUUUGAGCAAGUAUUUAUGAUUGCACAGGCUUCGACAACCUGUCAACACCUCUCCAUUUUUCCCUCUCUAAAAACCCCAGACAAUUGUUAUGACCCACUGCCAUGAUCAUCAUCUCUAAGGAUCCUUUGCAACGGUUUCCUUUUGGAAUUAGUUUACUUGGAGAAUUAACGAAAGCGAGUGGAACUGGUGGAAUGUGUCAGCAGUGGUCUCAGCAAAUUAAUACAGUCCGGAUUUGGGUAUUGCUGUACUUAUUAACUUGGUGGCACGUGGGAUUGAUGUGAUUGUUUUGGCAAGCUUAUAGUGGUUAUGGCGAAAAGGUUUGAAGGUAAAUCCUGCCUAGAGCCGGUGAAAAUGGAGGCAACUACGGCAACAGUACCAAUGGCUCAAUUGUGUUAUUUAGAAUGAUCCAUUGAACGUUACAGGGCAAGUUAAUUCAGAUGGGAAUGAUUUGUCACUCUUGCUACAUUUGAUUCACAUGUAUUUAGAUUAGAUUAGCUUCUUGUUUUUUUUUUUUUUUUUUAACUUUCUCAGAGUUGAGCGAGGGUAAAAAGCAAUUGUAACGGAGCAAGCAUGAGUUUUGCUCAAUUUCCAAAGAUUGUGGCCAACUUGCAAGUAGGAUAGACUGAUCAGCUUGCCAGUGUAAAAUUAGUUGUCAUGUUAGCUACUAUUUAAGUUAAGGAUAAAUGAUGCUUUUCUUAUCAAGAUAGAUAAAAUAAAGUUUAGAAUUAUUUGCUUUAGACAAGUUUCAUUCUUGUUAAUCGUUUGCCUAUACCACCAUUUACCCAUUUGUUGGCUUCCAGGUUGCAUCCAUCUUUUGCUAAGAUGCUUCAUUAUAGUACCGCUUCAUUCUUUCCGAACGCCUAAAACAUGUAUGCAAUUUAUUUUCAACUACUGAAUUAUACUAUUAAAAAGUAUUCUCCUUAAGAAAUUAACAACUAAUUAAGCACAAUUUUUUAUCAUUAUUAACUUUUAAUGGGCAUAUUCAAAAAUAUUUUUCCACCGUGCGCAAGCACGGUCAUAUUUUGCUAGUUUAAAUGUAAUUAAAGGCAAGGGGAUUGCCGCUUAAGCUACUCAAUCACAACAUGUACUAGUAAUAAGCAUUUAGCUGUACAUGUCUUUCGAGGUGGACAUAAGGUGUAAACUAUUUAGCCAAACCUGCUUUUUUUUUUAUUUAAUAUUUUCAGGUUCAUUCAUUUAAGAUACGUUUGACAAAAUUGAAAUUUCAAAUCUGACGUUUGAAAACCGACAUCUGAAUCCGUUAAAUUAUUAAAUUAUAAAUACUGAAAUCAUAAUAUUUGAGCUUAUUUUGCAUUAAAUGAAAUCCAACAUAAUUUGGAACCAUUUAAUUAAUUAAAAUGCUCAAUUUCUUGUUAUCAAACAUGUCUAGAAAUGUUAAAGAUCUGAAUAUAUUAAGCAAGUUUAAGUGCUGAAGUGAGUUAUCAAAUAGGGUUUUAUUUUGAUCUGCUACUUUUUUUUUUCCGGAGACGACAAUUGUAGUAUAUCCUAAUCUAUUCUACACUAGGGGGAGGGGGUGGAUCUAACGAGGUCCAGGGAUAAUCCGGAAAGGACUGAACUACCACCGGACCAAAUGGGUGCACUACGUACUCGUCUGGGUUUUUUGAAACAAAUCCACAUUUAAUUGUGGUGAUUGGUGGGAUGGUGGCCACAAGCCCAAAGGCUGAUGGUUCCUUAAUUUCGGAGUUCUGAUGGCAUCCGCUGCAUCAGUGCUGGUAUGAUCGCAACCAAGAAGGAAGAUUUGCUACUCACUAUUAUUGUUCCCAAUGUCUGGUACGAAUGAACGAAAAAUCGGACCUCGAUAUGGAAGGAAAAUCGAGAACAGCACAACUAGCAAUUCAUGUCAAUAGCAAUCACAUGGUGUGCUUAACUCUAAUCGAUAUGGCACAAACAUAAAAAGUAGUCUUGUCUUUCCGGAGGAAGUCCAGGAUCCAAAAUAUAUAGAAGGGAAAGGUGGGGGGAUGUAGGAGGAAUGAAAAUUUUGUGCAAAGAGAGGGAGAUGGAGAGGGCCUAGUCCUUGGAUAAACACCAAAGCCGCGAAGAGGAAGGGAGGAGAAGUGAAGAAAGAGGAAAGACAUUUGUAGAGGGUGUAAAUGAGUCUAAUAAAAUCAAAUGUCAUAGUAUUUAAACUUGUUUAGUUAUUUUAACGAGUUUGAAAUUUUAUUAAAAUUUAAAUAAUUUAUUUGUCAAAUCGAAAUUAAAUAAUUUUUUUCAACGAAUAUAAAAUAUUAUUCAAUUUUAAAUUAAUUAAUUGAUGAAUCAAAAUUGAAUGAACUUUUAUCAAAUAAAACUCGAUUCGAAUAUUGAAUAGUUUGACUCCUCUUCCAAUCCUAUACAUUUGUUUGGCACUUCGGAUGGUGGUGAGUGAAAAAGGCUUUUUUUUUCUCAGGCCUAUGGCCGUAGAUAUAGGAGAGAGAAGGAAACGGCAGCGGCGAUACAGUGAUAAGGGAAAGGCUACUAGGGUUUGAUUUGAAGCAGGAGGUCAAACCCAGACGACAACUAAUGAAACGCCACUGGAUUUGUUGAAAUUUACAGCAUAACUGCUUUCAUGAAAAUGCAACUGAAGUUGCUCGAAAUUACGUUAGGCAACUCAUACUUUAGUGUAGUGAAAAUAUGAUAUGAUUUGAGGUACAAAAUUCAAAAGGACAAACCACUCUUACCGCAAAAUUCAAUCGGAUUACUCUUACAGACCACUAUACUUUUUCUUAUAACCUAAAUGACAAACUGUAGGCACACAAGAAGUAGAACUGCAGAAGAAGAACCAAAGAGAGUAAAAGUCAAUCAGGUAAUGAUGUUCAAUCCUAUGUCAGUCAUGUUUCCUAAUUCUUCUGAUUGUUGCUAGCAUUUGACAUUGACUCACUGCUUGUUCAGAAGUAUAAAGUGCAAUUUUUGUACUUUCAUAUGCAAGUUCCCCCCCCCCUCCUCCCCCUUUCUUUCUUGAGGAUACCAACUAGACAGCAGAAAAAAUUACACAUAUACCUUUAAACCUUGGUGUUGCUGAAUUGUCAGAUGAUAUAUAUAUAUAUAUAUAUAUAUAUAUAUAUAUAUAUAUAUUUGAAAAUGGAUGCUCAAAUGCCUGAGAGUUGAAUCAGAUGAUGAAUUUGAUUUUUGCGCUAUAAAAUGGUAAAAUCGUGCAAACCACGAAUGCAAGGUUGCCAUGCACAUUUUGAUAGACCUAUUUUGAGCUGACACUAGCUUAUAGAAGCCUCUAAAACUCGACAAUCCUUUAGAGGAUCCUGAAUUUGGAUGUUAACCACUUCCGUUUACCCCAGACCUUCAUAAUGGAGUUAGUCCGUUUUGAAGUAUUUACAGAUGCUUCUACAUGAUUGAAGGUUUUGGAUGAUAACAGACAACUAAAGUCCAGAAAGGCUUGAAGAAAAAUACUGCUAGAAAUCUCAUUGUGGAUGUGUAGGAAAACUUUUGGUUUGUAUUGACACAAUUUACGGUGUAAUAAGGUCUUUAGGUCAAUCAUUUAUGUUGUGUGCCUGGCGCUCCAUUUGAUACCCUCAUUUUAAAGACAAUGCAUCCAUGUUUCUGUUAGAAGUCUCAAAUGGGGUGGGGUUCUUAUACAGAUUUUCACCUUUUUUCACCUGUUGUUCUUGAGAAAUUUUGUAUAUGACGAAAGCCUAAUCCAUCUUGUGCCAUCGUCUAUGUCUUUGAUGCUGGAAUUUGUCCUUGCUUCCUGUCCAGUUUCUCUUCUUUACAGCUGGAUUGCUAUUGUGAAUAAAGAGAGGAAAGGAGAGGAAAGAACAAAAAAGUUGCAUGGCCUUCCCCAUUCCAGACAGAGUAAAGAGGCUAUGGGAUGAGUGGAAUCUUCGUGCUGCUGUUCUCAUCAGUCUUUUUUUCCAAGUGGUGUUAAUAUGCUGUGCGGCAUCACGUAAAAGAACAGGAAACAUGACAGUGACUGCUACCAUCUGGUUAUUUUAUCUGCUUGCUGAUUGGUUUGCAGCUUUUGCUGUUGGACUCAUCUCCAACGGUCAAAGUAAUAAUUGUCCUGAGAGAUUUGCAGUAAAUCAAGACCUUGCAGCAUUUUGGGCUCCAUUUCUAUUGCCACAUCUUGGUGGCCCUGAUAAUAUUACCGCCAUCUCGCUUAAAGACAAUGAGCUGUGGAUUAGGCAUCUGCUUGGGCUUAUCACUCAGUUUUCUGCUGUUGCUUAUGUUUUUUCACAAUCCCUGCGUAACGUAUUCUAUGUCCCCACAAUACUCUUGAUUUUUUCUGGAACUAUUAAAUAUGCUGAGCGAACACGGGCUUUAUAUUUAGCUUGUUUGGGUAAUAUUAAGGAUUCUAUGCUUCCACUGCCAGAUGCUGGACCAAACUAUGCAGCUUAUGGUGGAGUACUCAUCUAAGGAAGCUGCUCAAGUUCCAGUUGAGAUAGAGAUAGUGAAGGAACAUGACAGAGGCACUCAGACUUCUGCAAAUCCAGAAGAAGAGAAUUUGAGUCCUGAAGACAUCAGUGAUAUAGAUAUUGUGCAAAAUGGGUAUGAAUUGUUUACCACUUUUAGGGGCCUGAUUGUUGACCAUAUGUUUAGCUUUCAUGAGCGCAGUAAGAACAGAAAAUUUUUCUUCCAAAGGUCUGCAUUUGAUGCUUUCAGAGUAAUGGAGGUGGAGCUCAAUUUCAUAUAUGAUACUCUCUACACUAAGAUGGCUGUGGUACACAGUAAAAAAGGUUAUUGUCUUCGAUUGAUCUGCUCUAUACUUAUAGUGCUUUCUUUUGAGAGAUUUGCAUCACAUCAUAAACCCGAUAUUAACCAUUUUGAUGUUGCUACUACCUACAUUUUGCUUUCGGGUGCUGUUCUCUUGAAUUUUGUAGCCUUUACUAAGCUCAUUUUCUCAGACUGGACCAUAGUCAAGCUUAAGAAUCUCACAGUCAAAACAACUGUAUAUGCAGUCCGUGAAAAGCUGUCAUGUUCCAAAAGGUGGUCUAAUACCCUUUGGCAAUGUAACUUGAUAAACUUUUGUGUGAAUCAGCGUUGGAGAUGGUUAGAUAUUGCAGCUGAAACCGUUGGAAUCAAGGAUGUUCUUGAUGAAAUGUACUACAAGGAGGACAUUGUCAUUCCAGAGGACUUAAAGGAUUUCAUCUUUAUUGAGCUCAAGGUUAAAGCUACCAAAGCAAAAACCACAAAUGUUGCUAAAGAGAUAUACUCAGCAAGAGGUGAUUUGGUACUGUUGGAUUACACCAAUCACUACCCAUAUCCCAUCAUUUCAUCAAGUGUAGGUGACGAAGUUGAAUACGAUGAGAGCCUGUUGCUGUGGCAUAUUGCCACUGAGCUAUGCUAUUGCACGAGUCCUGAUGAUGGCAAUUCCAAUCGCAAUUAUUGUAAGCUUAUAUCUGAUUAUAUGUUGUAUCUUUUGGUUAUGAGGCCUAAUUUGAUGUCUGCAGUUUCUGGCAUUGGACAAAUUCAAUUUCGGGACACAUGUGAAGAAGCUAAGAUGUUCUUCAGCAGGUGGAAAUCAGAACUAAUUAUAAGAACCCCAGACUUGGGAAUUUGCAGAAAAUUAAUCACCUGCUGCAUAGCCCAGAAUGGAUUAACUGGAAGAGAAUCAAGUUCAGCAAAUCGAAAAAGAAAUGCAUGCGAAAAGCUACUUAAUGUAAAUGCUCUUGUUAAAGCCAUUGAGGUGAAGGGAGAUAGAAGCAAAUCAAUAUUGUUCGAUGCCUGUAGGCUUGCAAAGGAUUUGAAAAAGUUGAAUGAUAAGAAAAGGUGGGAGAUAAUGAGUAAAGUGUGGGUGGAACUGUUGUCCUAUGCUGCCAGUCACUGCCGAGCAAAUGCUCAUGCUCAGCAGCUCAGUAAAGGUGGUGAGCUCAUUACUUUUGUCUGGAUACUGAUGGCUCAUUUUGGAUUGGGAGAGCAAUUCCGAAUUGAGGCGGGACAUGCAAGAGCAAAACUGAUUGUCGGAAAAUAGCAACUAAGAGUGACCAUUUUCAUUCUAGCUGUAAAAUGAAAGAGUCCUCCAACUUGGAUGUACUCCUUGACUUAGGUGAGAUUUGUGCGUUGCAAAAGACUUCCCUUAUCCCUUUUUUUCUUUUGAGUUUCAAUUUCCGAGCCACAAUUCACACUAGUGCUUUUUAUAAGAUGUGCUGAUUUAUCUUAUGUUUCCUGUGGCUUUGGUAUCACGUGAGCAUUAUGUGAAGUUUUUUCAUAUGUCAUUCACACACAUUAGGAUGUGUGUUCCAAUAUGUUGCCUGUGCUUUUCUUUCUCUGUUUGAAAUACGAAAAUACUUUUAUGACAAAAACAUGAAAAGCUGGAUUACCAAUAUUUCAUGGGGAGAAGGAAUUGCUGACUGAAUCUCAUCUCUCCAACCAAAUAACUUGUGAAAGGCAUAACAGGUGUAAGUAGUACAGUAGUAUCCGUCUUGUGAAACACAGUCACCUCAGUUCAUCUUCCUCAUUUGAUACUGAUACUGACAUCUUUUGUAGAACUUAAAACUUACACUUUUCCUCUUUUAGCGAAUCAACAAUCAGUUAUUCCAUUUUUCCGAACGAAUAUUCACAUCAUUUGAGCUGAUUUCAUCGCUUUUCUCAGCUCCAUGUUAGCUAAGGACGGAGGUAAAAUAGAAUUCAACUGAGGAGGUUCUCUUAUAAAACAAAGAAUAAACAAAAUGAAGUUUCUAAUUCUUAUAAUCUUAUUAUGAUUAUCAUUAUUUUGUUUUUUCGGUUUUUCGGUUUCGACCCUUUCUUUAGUGAGUGCAGACUGCAGACCAUAAUACACGUCAAGGCAACUGCAAUGCUAGUGGUAAAAAGUAAGAUAAUGUUAUUUUUCCAGGCCAAACCAUUUUUUUUAACCUCCCACCCUUCCCACUCCCAAUUGUUGAGUCCAAUAUUUGAACCCUCAACCAAAUAGCGGGGGAAGUCCCUGACUACUUGGCCAACUUAGAUUCUUCUGUCUGAGAAAACAAGUUUCAUCGGCUAAAAGACUCGCAUCUGAAAAGUGUAACAUGUUGUUUUCAUAGGUAUCACGAACUAUGUCUUCUGGAAUUGUGCAGAUGUCAAAAUGUCAAUUCUUUUGGGCUGAAGAAACAAAUGACCAUUUCUUGUCUUCCAGCAUCAUGAUUUACACAUUUGCGAUUUUUUCCCUCUUCUAGUAGUGCAGGAUCUAGUUUGACAUUGACUGAUGGCGAUUGUACUAUGAUGCAUUGACAGCAAAGGGGGGAGGUGGUGCGUGUCAUUUCCAGCAGAAUUUGCUGGGAUGAUAUUAAAUGUGCAUAUAAGACCAGGCGAAUAUCAACCCUCCUUUUACUAUGUUAGGCUGCCUGAUUUAUGCUAUCUGUUCAUUUACCAUUGACCAAGCGCGGCUCCAUGGUAGACGAACGGUUUAUUUUCAUCAAUGGUGUGCCAUUGUCAUGUUCUCAAUUUGCUCCAUCAGAUUGCCUAUUGCUUGUCUCGCUUGCGACAUGGAUUUUUUCAUAUGUUUGUCAAAACUUUUUAGAUAUAAGUCAUAUAACUAAACUUUUUCGCUAAUGCCCAAAUCCAACUUUUUCGCUGUUGAUUUUGUUUUCCUUUUUGGGUAUAACAGGUAGGCAUCCAAUCUUAUGGUUAAAGAGCAUAUAAGACCCACACGAAUGGAUAGGCAUGAUGAUUAGUAACUGGAGCCAUGAGUGGCUAUAACAAUUCAAUUUAGUUCUUCUGCGUACUCUUUUUGUUGACUAAUAUAUUUGCAAGAUCCAGAAAGGUGUAUUUGUGGAGAAUGGGCUGGGACGGUUGUCAGGUGCCACCGUCCCAAAUGAUGUAUGGGAAAGAUUUUCUCAACAAGGCAAAUUUUGAUAAUGUGCAGCCAAAAGCAAGUCACAUAACUUUGAAAUUACAAACAUAUAUGGAUCUACACGAAUAUUAAUUAGAUACAAUGUCAUUGUUUCAAAAUUGAAUAAGUAAUUUACAUUGAGUUACAUUUUGUUUAGAAAGUGUUGUACAACUUAGGCAAGUUAAGAACUGAAAAUCUUUUAAACUUACAUUUUGUUUAUCCGUUCUUCUUUCAACUUACAUUCAGCUGUAAUGGCUGAAUUUAAAGUGGAAGCGAUGCCUCUACUUCAACUUCAACAAUGUUGGAAACAGUUAUUGUCGUUAGCUACCUCAACUCCACACCAUUUAUACAUAAUGUGCUUGCUGUGUAUUCCAGGCUGGGAUUUGGACACAUUGCAGUGUUGGAUUGUGGUGGGGUUUAUUACCAAAUCAAUGGAUUAAAUCCUUUAUAUAAAGGAGGCAAACGAACAAUUUUAUUACACUCAAAAUAUAUUUAAUAACAACACACAAAAUAAAUUUAUAUUGGACACUAAUAAUUGAGCCUCACUCUUGAGAAUAGUUGCUCUAAUAUAUCAGUGCCUCACUCUUGAGAUAUCUGCUCAAACACUCACUCAACAAUUGAACUCGUUCAUUUCCUAUCUUUCACUUGAGCUUUGGUGCCCUUCAACUGAGGAAAUGGCAUUUAUUUAUACUAGUAAGGAUCCUACAAGCGGCUGUAAUUUUUCUCUUCUCAUUCAAUGCCCAAUUGCUAGAAAAUCCGGUGAACUUCGCGAGUAAAUCUGGUUCAAGAUACAAGCACGAACCAAGUUGAUCAGCCGCCCACGUACAGCUUCAAGACUGGACUUUGGCAAUUUGUCUAUUGCCAAUAAAUGAGUAAAACAAACACUCCAAAGCCAUAAAAUUUAUUCUGAACACCCUAACUAAAGGUUCAUCACUUUUUAGCACAAACAACAUUUUCAAAAAGCAUAUUAAUUAAUAAACCUCAAUGAUAGAUCUCAAUCCCAAUACUGCCGUUAUCUUAUAGUCACUGAAGCCUGCCUCCGUGAAAAGUUUCGCCCAAUCUUUCUCAUUUCUUUGCCUUCCUUUGAGUAGAACCAUCACUGCCAUAUCAAAGAACAGUUGGGUCUCAAUCGCCUCAUGAUCAUCUUCCCCUUUCUGCAGACUUUUGCAGAACAUUUCAACAAUUAUCACUUUGCCUCCUUUUUCCUUGCUAGGAAUUGCUUCUUUACAUUUUUUUAGUAUUUGUACACACUCAUCAUCGCUCCAAUCAAUCAAUAUCCACUGCUUGAUUGCAAAACCAAUCAAUUUUUUUGUUAGAAACAUUACAACCCAUUUAAAGCUUUUUGCGUCAAAAAGCAAAAACAAAACUAUUCUCUUAUAGUACCAAACACACGCAAUCAAUUUGACGUUUAAAACUUUGUUCUUUUUUUUCCCCUCUUCAUGAUGCAGUUCUUAGAUUAAGCAUAACCUCAAUUUCUACUACUCAAUCUUACUUUUGAAAUUGACACUUCUUAUAAUUGGUGAAUUUUAAUCUUAUGAUCUCAGGCAAUAAGGAUAAAAAUCUAAAUAACACUACUAUAAAAAAAAUUUGUCAACUAGAAAACGUGCAACAUCGAUUUCAUACCUUCAUUAAAACAGCAUCUGCAGGAGGAAUGGCUUCAAACUUGUUACCUCCAACAUAGGCCAAGUUCUUACUACUCUCCAAGCCAUCAACAACAUGAGGAAGAUCAAACACAGUGCAUUUCAGGCGAGGGAAAGCAUCAGCAAUUGCCUUAGCAAAGGUUCCAGUUCCACCUCCAACAUCUACCAAUGAAUUCAAACCCUCAAAAACAUGCUUACAAUCUUUGGUCACCACGCUACUAACCAGCCGGGUAUCACUAGCCACUGCUUCGUUAAAGAAUUGAUUAAGCCGCGGCUCAUGGCUUGCAAGAUCAUAAAGUGAGCUGCCAUGGCAAGUAUAAAACGGGGUUUCAUCACUAUUCUGAAACCACUGGCUGAGAUGGUGCCAUGGAUCAGUCAAGGUGGGAUCGAGAAUGGCUAGUAAAAACGGCGUCAUGCUAAAAGGGUUACUCUUUAAAAGGAGUUCAGAAGCAGAAGUAAGCAGAUAACCCUUUUGAUUAUCAUUCUCAUUUCCAGGAAUCUUUGCUUCAAUGAAGAAGCCUGAGUGGAUCAAAAUCUGCAUGAGACGAUAAACGAAAGGGGCUUUUGCAUUCUUGAUGGGAAGAGCAUCAAUCAAUUGAUCAAGGGUCAUCGGCUGGCCAUGUUUGUGAAUAACGUCUGGAAUGCCUAAUUGAAUUGCACAUUUGACGGACAUAGAAUUUAUGAAGUUGAAUAUAUGGUUCCAUAUGUGAGCUUGUGCUUGAAAAAGCUCACCAGUAUGAUCACCAAUAUUUCUAGCCAAAUCCAUUUUUUUGUUUGAAAUUCUAGGAUUUUUUUUCGCUUUUUGGUUGGGAAUUACAAGUAGAACUCGCAUUUUAUAGGCCGGGUAUGGGAUUCACAGGAAUAACGUUGCAAUAGUUUCUUCUAAUAAUAUGACAACAACCGGUUAGAAAAAUGAAUAAACUAUGAAAUCAACUCAGAAACAAGGAUCCAAAGGCAAUAAAUGAACUCAAUUAUUAAGUGAAUCUUUGAGCAGAUAUGUCAAGAGUGAAACUCUAAUAAAAUUAGAACAUAUAUUCUCAAGAUCUAGACUCAAUUAUUAGGCGUCUAGUAUAAGUUAAUUUUAUGAGUAUUGUCAUUAUAUACACCUUCAAUGGAAUAAAACUAUUUAUUUGCCUCAAUUAUUAGAAGAUUUAAUCCAUUAAUUUGAUACUAGAGUCCACCACAAUUCAACAGUCUUUUCCUGACACACGUAAUUUUGGAUAGAUUUCGUCCUAAUUGUAUGAAUGGAGAAAGGAAAGUUUAUACAAGUGUUAGACUAACCAAAAUCCUCGCAAGAAAAAAAUAUAAAGUUGUAAAAAAUUUGGAUUUGGAUAUUUGAAGAAUUUAAACUUUGGCCGAUCAUAUUAUUUUGAACGCCAGAAUGGGCUGCUAAAUUUGUUGUGGUGCAAAUAGUCUGUCAUUUCGACUUACAUUGCACCAUUUUGGCCUACAAAACCUACCACUGCUUGGCAAUACUGUCAAAUGCUUUCCUAGGCUUCCUCUAUUAUAGGAACAUUGGGCUUCAAACAUUUUAAAAAGGAAUCACGCCACAGAAUUAAAAAUAUACACAUUUCUUUGGUGUAAAAAAAGAUCUUUAAUUAUAUUUUGUCACUUUUGGUUUUGUUUCCAACAUUACUUGCAUAUGUCUUGAUAUUGGUGUGUGCAGAUAACCCUUUUCAUUUCAUUAUCAGGAAGCUAAUUUGCUUUUAUGAAGAAAUCUGAAUGGAUAAAAUCCACUUAAGACAAUAGACUAAAAAAAAAAAAGGCUGCUGUUUUCUUGAUUGGGAUAGGAGUGAAUUGGCAGGCCAUGUUCAUAUCUGCCUUCGAAGAUAAAUUACACAUGUGAGGAAAAGAGAGUUUAUGAAGUUGAAUAUAUGGUUUCAUUAGCAUUUUUUUUAAAAAAUUUUUUUAUCACUCUAGAAUGGUUUCGAUUGCAAGCGUAGAAGAAAUUGGAAUUUAUAACGCAGGUCACGAGGCUAAAAUAAAUCACGUAGCAAUAAUUUCUGUGAAUAAACUUAACAAAGUCAACAAACAACGCCCUAUCAAGAUGAGCCUAUCGAGAAAAAUAUAUAUGUAAAAAAAUGAAAAACAAAUAACACAAUGAGAUCAACUAAAAACGCAUUAAAUUUGACAAAUUUCAAUUAACCUUUGUCACAACCAUCUGCAACCUACCUCAACUCCAUUUCAAUGAGUUGCAACUCAUCCAAAUUGGCUAGGCAACUUGUCCAAAGAUUGAUUGUUUCAACAUCUUAUUGGAGAUUAAGAAUUAAAAGUAGCAUAAACAAAGCUUAAUGCAAUAAUGGCCUAAUAUCCAUGACAGGUUGUCGAAGCCUGUGCAAUAAUAAAUACCUGCUCAAACUAAAAGUAAUUUCUGUAGAUAGUGGUGAGUAGGGUCGAAUCCACAGGGACUGGGAGUAAUUGUUUCUUUUCAAAUUCACAGUGACAAUGGGGUGUUUUUAUGCAGAAGGUGACAAUAAAAGAAGUUCAAAUAAAAUCUAAGAAACUACUAAAAAUUAAUUAACAAAUUACUAAAAUCAAAUGAAUGAUAAUUAAGGAUCUAGCCAAGGAAUAACUUCAGCAAUGGUUCACCUAAUUGAUCAUCGAUAAGCAAAGACAAUCCCAAUUAUUUACUAAUAAAUAGGUUAUAACUGCCAAACAAGCGAUGACAGUCAACCCCUCCUUACUGUGUCGAUGAUUAAGGUACGCCCGUUAAUCACUGCUCUAAUUGAGAAAUAAUCCUAGGUACGCUCGUAGAAUUUAAUUUUCCAAUUGCCUUACGUAUUAGAGGAGCCCUAUUCUAACCAAAUAACGCACUACCAGGGUUAUUUUAGAUUAGCCCGCGUAUUCCCCUGACACAAAUCUAAUCGUGCCAGUUGUCACUAUUUUGAGGUAAUUAAACAAUUACGGAUUUAAUACCUCAAUUGACAAUAGAUUAUCAAAUCAAUUAAUUAUCUGGAUCCAAGACAAUCAAUUAAUUAAACAACCAUAAGCACUGUAACCAGAGAAUAUGCAAAUACCAAUAAAUAAAAGAAAAAGAUAAAAUUAAAUCGAUCUCACAGUUUUAGGCGACUCAAAGCAUCCGUUGUCCCUUGACUAGAGAAAAUGGAUUUAGCUCAUUGUUGAUGGGAAAACCCCAUACAAAGCUGACGCAACAGUAGCGGCCAUCGUCAAAUUCAAUUCGGAGAAAUCAAGGAGAAAGACAAGCUACAGGAAGGAAUUCAAUGUUUUCACUUGGUCUUCACAUACGGACUAGAGAAACCACAAGAAGACGAAAUGGAAAAGUCAAACGCUAAAACUAGAAAUUGCUUUCUCCUAACAUGCGUGGAGUAAAGCAAUGAAAAGCUAGGAAGAAAAGUCAAAGUGAAGCUAGAAAAAGAAAGUGCUUGUUCUCUGCAAUCUAAUAGUUCCUAUCCUAAUGGCCUAUUGCUACUGUCUGGCCUUGUGCGGCGGCCCCCUUUCGGAGAGGAAGAAGAAGCUCCCCUUGUGCGGCGCUCUAGCCUCCAGUAAAAUAGAGGCCUUUGCCCUGCUCUCUUCUUUUGAAAUUACCAAAAUGGGCAAAAGUCUUCCUUUGCCAAUAAUGCCCCCGGGAUAAGCUCUGUGCCUUGGACUCUUUUUCUAUCAAAUUGGCACUUGUUAUCAUAUUUUCGUUCUACUCCCUGAAAUAAAUGUGAAAUAUCAAAAAUGAGUAGAAUCUAGAAAUUAAUCCACAUCAGGUCAGAUAAUAGGGGAAAUUAAUAAUAAAAUAAAUGAUAAAAUUGCAACCUAUCAAUUCCCCCCACACCUAAACCAUGCUUGUCCUCAAGCAUGAGUGACAGGUUGUCGAAGCCUGUGCAAUAAUAAAACCUGCUCAAACUAAAAGUAAUUUCUGUAGAUAGCAGUAAGCAGGGUCGAAUCCACAGGGACUGGGAGUAAUUGUCCUUUCCAAAUUCACAGUGACAAGGGGGGUGUUUUAUAUCAGGAGUGACAAUCUAAACAAAUCAACUAAAAGUAAAAUAAUAAAAAUAAAAUAGCCAACUAGAAAUUAAAUAACAAUUUACUAAAAUCUAAUGAGUGAUAAUUAAGGAUCUAGCCAAGAAAUAACUUCAGCAAUGGUUCACCUAAUUGAUCAUCGAUAAGCAGAGGCAAUUCCAAUUAUUUAUCAAUAAAUAGGUUAUAACUGCCAAACAAGCGAAGACAGUCAACCCCUCCUUACUGUGUCGAUGAUUAAGGUACGCCCGUUAAUCACUGCUCUAAUUGAGAAAUAAUCCUAGGUACGCCCGUAGAAUUUAAUUCCCCAAUUGCUUUACGUAUUAGAGGAGCCCUAUUCUAACCAAAUAACGCACUACCAGGGUUAUUUUAGAUUAGCCCGCGUAUUCCCCUGACACAAACCCAAUCAUGCCAGUUAUCACUAUUUUGAGACAAUUAAACAAUUACGGAUUUAACACCUCAAUUGAUAAUAGAUUAUUAAAUUAACUAAUUAUCCGGAUCCAAGACAAUCAAUUAAUUAAACAACCAUAAGCACUGCAAUCAGGGAAUAUGCAAAUACUAAUAAAUAAAGGGAAAGAUAAAAUUAAAUCGAUCUCACAAUUUUUAGGCGAUCCAAAGCAUCCGUUGCUCCUUAACUAGAAAAAGGGAUUUAGCUCAUUAUUGAUGAGGAAAACCCAUGCGAAAUCGAUGAACAAAAUCCACGCAAGAGUGAAGCAAGAAUCGCGGCCAUUGUCAGGGAGCAAUACUACUCAGAGCCACGACGGAAAAGUCAAAGAGCACAAAGCAAAGAAAAAGGAAUAGUCCAAUACUUUUCUUUUGCUCCUGACAUUCACGAAGGAAGAAAACAACUACUAAGAGUCUUUACUACAACCGAAGAAGAAAAGUCAAAAGACUAAAAGCUAACUACUGAAGAUUGGGUUUCCCUCUGUACCAUUCGUUCCUCUCUAAUCAUCUCUAAGGCCUUCCUGUGCGGCGGCCCCUUGCGGAGAGGACCUCCUGUGCGGCGCUCCCCCUCCGGAGACGAAGAAGAAGACCCUUGCCUUCAGCCCUUCGUUGCUCCUUUUAAUGCUUUUGUCUUCGGCAAUUACUAAAAUGGGCAUAAGCUUGCCUUUGCCAACAAUGCCCCUGGGGUGAGCUCUGUGCCUUAGACUCCUUUUUUGUCAAAUUAGCACUUGUUAUCAUAUUUUCGUUCUACUCCCUGGAAUAUAUGCAAAACACUAAAAAUGAGUAGAAUCCAGCAAUUAAUCCACAUCGGGUCAAGUAAUAGGGAAAAUUAAUAAUAAAAUAAAUGAUAAAAUUACACCCUAUCAAUGAGAACAGCAGACAAGUACCAAUAUUUGAUAGUGACUAUUGCUCUAUCUCACAAAUUGCCAAGAUACCAAGAAAAACAAUAAUCAAGCAUCAGUGAAUAAGAUCCAAGAAAUAUCACUUUGGUUAGCUUCUAAACCACAAACUCCUCUAAUUUCAGGUUAACUAAUCUAAGAAAAAGGAAUGACGCAUAACAUUUAUCAGCAAAUGGUCCAACUAUUAACCAAAAUCUCAACAUUAAAUCCACAAAUCGGCAAGCUGACUUUUAUUAUACACUAACACAACAUUCACUUUUUUUUCACAUUUUUUUUCUACUUUUCUCUCUUUUUUUUUUUAUUCUUCUUUUCAAUAGUAACAAAAGACUUAGUCGCUAGCCAUUAGAGCCUUUUGACGCGAACUCCAACAUUGGCCAGAUGAAAGAGCCCGGUUACUCAGCUUCUAUCGCCACGUGACCACGUACUCAUAGCAAUUACUACCUUUUGACGCGAGAAUCAACACUUUUGGUGAAAAUUCCCGGUUACUCGGUAGUAAAUACUAGCGGAGUACAGUCAAGUUUAUGCAUAGCUAAAAAUCACAAAAACUCAAUAUAACUCAAGAACAAAAAGAAAACUUGCAUCAGCUAGCCUCAUUUUCAAACAUGGAGAACUAAAGUUAAUAACCGGACCAAUUCACAUGAAAAUGCCAAUAAUCAUUCCCUAUGCCUAGGAAAGUUAACCAAAAAUUAUAAGAGUAAAACAAUCAUCGAUAUUCACCAAAGAGAUGUUUUUGGAUUCAACCACAUUAACUUGAUACCCUUUUAUUAUUAAAAUUGGCAAAAGUAGAAAUAGAGGCAACAAUCCAACAUCAAAUUUUGGCAUGCACUUACGAGCCAAUCACUAAAAAGAAGAAAAUGAAAAUGAACGAAAGAUACUAGCACAGCUGCCCCCCCACACCUAGACCCUACAUUGUCCUCAAUGGAGGAAUUAAAGCAAUUAAAGUGAAGAGGACAACGAAACUUCCCUCUCGAGUGGCUAAGGGUAUUUGGCAGCUGCGGAGGGAAACCAACGUGGUGAAGUACAUGCCCAAGUUCUGAGACAUCAUAACUCAAUUCAACCAGCAAAUGCACAACUCUGUCCAACCAAAAUCUCAACAAAGUCUCCAAGUGGAUAAUUAAUUUUCAACUCAGAAGCGGCAAUUCUAGCAAUAGCAGUAUAGAAAUUAGACAAUAACCACACAAUCACAAGUUUUCCCUUUUUAAUCAGGCAGCCAACCCAUUAGAAAGAACAAAUAUUAGUCAAAACACCCCAACCAGUACCACUGGUGCACUCCACAGAUACUGAAGCAACUUAAAUGGCAAACCCAAUCAACAGAAUGUACAUGUGAGGCACCCAAGGUCUAUACCAAUUUUUCAACAAAGCAACGAUUGCAAUCAAUAAUCAGUAGUGGUCCUAAUUUACUCAAAUGUAGAAUCAAUGCAGCCCAACAAUUCAACUGAAUGCAAAUUUAACUUGUUACUGAUCCAAAUUUAACUUGAUAUCUGUAGCAACUCACUUGAAGAAGAGAUUAGUACCACUCAACCAGCAGCAGGACCACAAUCAGCACCACCAUUGCCAGACCGUCAAAUAAACCAAACCAGAACAAGAGACAAAUAAAGCACUACCAGUAGAAUAGUAGAUAAUGGGGUUGGCUUGUGGAAGGCAGUAACAACGUUAACGAGGAGUAAAAGCCUACUAUACCAAACAAGAAUAGAAUCCAAACUCCAAAGGUCCACCACUAGCACACAUUCUAGACUACUCACAAGUCAUAUUCACCAAUCAGUCCUCAGCAGGCAAGUCUCCAAAAGUUUUCUUUGUUUUUCUUCUUUUAGUCAAGAACCAAAUACCAAUCAAAGGUCUGGUGGGCCUUCAUGAUAUCUAUUCAAUCUUUAUCACAUAAUUAAGAAUCACCAAUCCAUACAAAUCCGUGCACUUGUAUAAUUUUUCAAAUCAAUAGUUUUGUAGAUCAGAGGGAUUGCAUUUUUUGGGAAUUUUCUUUACUAUAACAACUUUUAUGAUGCGAUGUAUGUUAAAUGAAAAAUGAUUCAAAAAUUAUGUACAACAAAUAUUUGAAAAGAUUUUCUAAGAGAAAAUUGUUCAAAAUGUCCCUCACAUCUCAUCAAAUAAAAUUUUCCACCCUUCGCUUUUGAAAUACUAAAUUUAUGUCCCUCACAAAAUCAAAUCGAUAAAAUUUGGUUGCUAUUUAGAUUUUUUACCACGUUUUACCUUGAAUCCAACACGUGACCAAUGCAUGAUCAUUUUUUAGGGGCAAAAACGUUAUAUCCCAUUUAUAAUUAAAUAAAUGACUGGAUCCAUAUUCAUUUUUGUUCCUAGAAAUAGGAUUUGAUCUAAAUCAUAUUUAUUUUUUUCUCUUAAAAAAACGGGAUUUGACCUAAUCUAUAUUCACUUGUGCCAUUGAAGAAAUGGAACCUGACCUUUUUGUAUAUAAAAAAUAACUGUAUGUGGACCAAAUGGUGAUUUUCAGGCUCAAAAGUUAUCAAAAACUUGAUUUGGUACCAAAAUUUAUUAAUUUGAAUUUAUAAAGGAGGUAAAGUUAACAUUUUAAAAGUGAUAGGCAAAAAAAUUCAUUUAACAAAAUAUGAAGGGUAUUUUAAUGAUUUUUCUAUUUUUCUAGAUAAUGCCAAAAUAAUAGGAAUCCAAAUGGCUUUUAAUCAGUCUUUUUUCCUUGUUCUUGUGCUCCUUGCAUCUAGUUAGUCUAUCAGACUUACUUUGUUUUAUCAUUUACAUAAAAUCAUAACUAACACAAUAGUCUCUCUCUCUCUCUCUCUCUCUCUCUCUCUCUCUCUCUCUCUAAGCAUAUUUCAUAUAGAAUUCAAAUUAUUUCGUAUCAUCUAAUAUGAAAGGAAGGAAAUAGUAUUUUUCGAAGGACACCUUCGUGAAACAUAUGGCCUUCCUAUUUCAUUUAUUGCUGCUUUAUACAGUUUCUUAUUUUUUUUAAAAAAAAAACCAGAAUACUUUUUAUAUUAUGUACUUGAAGUCGAGUUUUGAGGAAAAUGCAGUUUUAGUCCUUAAUGUUUCUAUCUGUACAGUUUUAGUUUUUAAAAUUUUAGCAAAAGUAAAUUUGGUUGUUAGUGUUUAAUAUAUGUAUAGUUUUAGUCCUUAAAGUUUUGAUAAGAGCAAAUCUGGUUCCCAGUGUAUCCAAUAAAAAGCAGAUUUAGAACAUUUGAAGAAUUUUUCUCAAAUACUAACAAAAUGUAGUCAUGUUUAAUCAUGUGUCCAUUAAAUUAAAUUUCAAAAUAAAGAAUCAAAAUAGUGGCAAACUUUAAAUAACAAUAAUAAGGACUAAUUGCUUAUGUCCAAAUUAAUUAACUAAGGUUUCGAAGCAUUCAAUUCAUCGAUCUAGAAUUCAUUUUCAUAUUCUAAUCCUAUUACCUUUAAUCAACAAAUCAUAGUACUUAGUUUUUCAUAUAUAUAUUCUUUAAUAAUUAGUUACUAACGUUCUAUCAUGUAAGUUAUUCUUAUUGUUCAACAUUACUAGUUAUUUUGCUUCUUUUUUAAGAAAUUUAAUUCAACAAACAUGUGAUUGUCAUGACUGAUUCCGUCAAUAUUUGAAAAAAUCCAUCAAUUGUCCUAAAUAAUGCUUCCAAUUUGUAAUACUGGGGACCAGAUUUACUAUUGCUAAAAUUUUACGGACUAAAACUACACAUGUGCUAAACAUUGAGAAUCAGAUUUGUUUUUAACAAAAUUUUAAAAACUAAAACUGCAAAGGAGCUAAACAUCAGGGGCCAAAACUAUAUUUUUUCCAACUCGUAAUACUUUACUACUACUUUUUGAUAAUGGCUUAAUGGGGGUUCAAAAUGGAGUACUCACGUAUGUACUCAAAAAUAUCACUUAAACAUUCUGGGUGUAAAAACUUUUGUGGGUGACUCAGCAUAAGAUCAGCAGUUUUUCUUCUUAUUCUCUUUGUUUAAUUUAUGGUAAGAAAAUAUCGUUUCACGUUAAAAACUCUUAUACCUCAAAAAAAGCUCAUAUAUAUAUGUGUGUGUGUGUGGGCGCGCACGUGGGAAGACAGUGGUAGAGUGGGUCCAAAUGUUAGGCCAGCUACUGCUUUGUUGUGUGCUUGUUGAUAGUGAAAUUACUUAAGAAUUUUAGAAAAUAAUACAGAAAAGAAAAAGACAACUUUGUCUCAAAGUUACUUUAAGAAUGAAACAACCUGUUGCUGACAAUGAAAAAAUCCCGAGGAGAAAUAUUGCAUCCACAAUAAGAGAUUUACACAAUACAAAAUAUAGAUCAUGACAACAUCAGGUUUGACAAGCAGCUUCAACAGCAGGAGGACUUUGCUGGACAAGAAAUCCAGCAAUUGCAGUGGAUCUGUGUUCAGCAGGUGCCAUUACACCGUAAACUAUAUCCUCAAAACAGCGUUCAUGGGUAUGGGUACAUGGAUUUUCUCCAUGGCCAUCCUUAAUCCCAAAUAUUUUAAUAAGCAUUUCGUCCUGAAGGAGUUUUCUAGAGGGCUUGGUGUACUUUUUAAUUGACUCCUCAGCUUCAACUUCAGACAGGAAAUCUGCAAGUUAAAAUAACAUUUUGCACCUGAAAUUAAGUUCUUCAUAUCAGUGUCUAUGAAAUCUAAAACAUUGUAUAUAAGCAUGGUUACUACACAAAAAUAUAUUUAAUAUUCUAGAAUCAUUUUUUUAGGCAAAUGUUUGUUCUUUAUUGAUAUGCAGGAAAGCUUUACAAAGGAGAGUCAGAAGUCUCCAUAUACAUGCACGUCACAAGUGUAACUACACUAUAUUGUUAGGGUAUCAGGCCAAUUAUUUGAAAAGGAAAAGACCAACAAUUUAAUAGAAAACAAUAUCUAGCAUGAACGAUGAACAACACACAAGAAUUAACGUGGUUCGGCUUAAUUACCAAACCUAUAUCCACGGAGAGAAAAACUUGUUCUUACUAUGAGAAAAACACCACAAGAUUACAACUUGAUUCCCAAGCCCCAACUCUUGUAUAACCCUCUCACCCACUAAGAACUCUCUCACUUCUUUCUUGUGUGUCUUUGUAGUAUGCCAACCCACCUAUUUAUAGGGAACAUUACUGCCAAAAAACCAAAUAACAAUUGAAAACUAAUACUAUUUCCUAAACUCAUAUAGAGUAGAAAAUAGUAUCUAGCUAAAUAGGAAUUUACUUGACUACUACUUCAAGUAACUAAAUCCAAUUAGGAAACUAGUUCCCACACCAAAUAGGAAUCUUGACUAAAAGAAAUUAAGCCAAUUUCCUAACAUAUAUAAUUCAUUAAUCAUGUAAAGAAAAUGAAAACCAUGACUAGUACUACUACUACAUGCUAAAGAGUCUAAUCCUGCAAACAGGAUUGGGGCAAACCCCAUUCCAAAACUAGUUGCCAAUUUUCUUUGGUGCGAGGAGCUCUUGGCCAUGAAAUAACAGUCAUUUGUACUACUUUGUUGAUAUCAGCAACUAUUUUGUCAGCUGGUGUAGCGGUAUUCUGAAAUGUUCUCUUAUUUCUUUCUUUCCAUAUAAAGCAUAAGGGGAUAUAUGAUAAAAUAUAAAACUAUAUGAGAUUAGAAUGUCGUACAUAUUAUGUUUAUAUAUUUUGGUCAUUUCAACUAUUUUAAUUUUUAAACAAGAAUAAUUUCGAUAUUUUCAUGGGUUAGUUUGACACUUUAGUUCCAACUAUAAGGGAGUUAUAUAUAUAACUUUCGAAACUAUAGUCGGGUUAUAUGAAAAAUCGCUAAAUCACAUGUGAGUAAAAUGUAUUUUACCCUUCUUUUUAUUACUGUAAUGGAUUUCCAUUUUUUCUUCAAUUUUUUUUCUUGCUUUGUAAUGGAAUAGGCUGAUCCCUGGAGCCAAACCAUCACCAAACACCGGCCAGCAACCACAGCCUAUGACAUUAGAACCCAUACUAGUACCCAAAACAUCACAAAUUUAUCUCAAAUACUACAAAUCGUCUCCAUCAAAAUGAGCAAAAUGUCAAUUGAAAUUCAACAAACUAAGUUUUGUUCAAGUUUGUAUAAAUUGGAAAACCCACCACCAAUUGCUACUCAAAAAUUCCAAUUCACCAUGAAUCCCCAGCAUCCCACCAGAACGACAGAAAAUCAACCAAAAAUCCCGAAACCCUCAACCAUCUCAUAUAGAAUCCAGUCAAUGACCAGCGAAAUCAGAAGGAAAGAGAAAAACAAGAAAACUCAACCAUCUCUAGCUUGGCUCCAGUAUAAUUAACCUAUGUUGGAGUAGAGCCUACAAGUGCAGGGCGGUGAGGAUGGGUCUGAGAAAACUGUCGAGAGAGAGACAGAGACAGAGUUGUGCAGAGAAGUUAGGAAUACCUUUUCUUUGAUAUUAUGGCUUGGUGAAUAAUCAAGACAAAAGUGUCGAAUUUUCUCUGGAGUGGUAAUUGAAGACUUUUUGGUCUUCCAUUACCAUAGAGUCACUACCAUUAAAAUCACUGCUUGCUAGAUCAGGCAAAGUAGGGGUUUUGGCGCGGUACAUUUGGAGUCCAAAAUACUACUGGACCUGCUAUAGGGAUUAUUUGCUAAAGCUGAUGUGGUGUCCCUUCCUAUCCUUUUAAAUUAGCAUAAAAUAAAAUUAAAGAAACAUCAACUAGUAUACGCUGUCCGUGUAUAUAAAAUUUACUCUUUUAGUAUUUUCUCUAACACAAUCUUAAUGUCUUACUUUAAUUUAUCUUUUUUUUUGUUCAUUUUUUAAGUGUCAAAAUUUGAGUCAGUGUACAAAAACCAAAGCUACAGGGAUUAAUAGCUAAAUCAGGUGUGGUUGAUAGGGAUAUAAUUAUGCAUUUUAUUUGUGGUUAUUUGGUCUUAAUUUUGGCAGUAUAGUAUGCAAAGUAUUGGAUUUCUGCUCAUAAUUAGUAUUGGUGUUAAUUACAGGCAAUUAGUGUUGAAAGUGACAAAAGGGAGGCAAAAAUCCAGAAGACUCUUGCUUCUCUGGCGUGCCCACGCCAGACAACACAGAGUUGCGUGAAAAAGCCGGAUCACGGGCCCAACCCCUGGAACAACCAUUCUGAUUGGAAGAUACCUUUUUACCAUGCGUGAGAUCAGGAAACCUUAAAAGCAAGAAGUCGUUUGGCAACAAACAACUAAGAAAGUAAGAAAAAGGAAUCCUUUUGGGAAACACAGGAGAAUUGGAAACCAAUUGGAAUUGGAAAGCAAGUGCUGCGAAGACCUUUAAGUAGCAGAGGAAAUAGAAUUCGAAGAGGACUUUUGGCAACAAUCCAAUGAGGGAAAUAAGGAAACAAUCCUUGUGGGAAACAAAUUCCAAUUCAACAAGCAAAGGGAAGCGGCGGCAACACUAUAAAUAAAAGGGCAGCAAUAGACUAGGGCAUCUUCUGUCUUGGACUUGUCUUUUUGUUUUUCUUUUCUCUCUUUUUCCUCUGGAAUGCAAGUAGCAAAUAGCAGCCGACAUCUUUUACUACUUCCUCAAUCGACAAAAACUCCAUGAAAACUCUGAAUUGCUUCAUGAUUAUGCGGCAAGGCUAGUUCUUUUAUCUAGUUGAGGAAUAAAUCAAGGAUUGGAGCACCAUAACUGUGAGAUCGUUUUAAUUGUUUUAUUUUUAAUUUAUAUGUUCAUGGGUAUUUGAUUAUUCUCUAUUUUUCCCUGAGUUAUUAUUGUUUAGAUUUAUUGGAUAAUUAGGCCUGUUAUUCGAUUGUCUAAAUAAUUGAUAGCCAAUUAGGAUGUUGGCACGUAGCCUUUAAACAUCUUGAUUAGUGGCAAACGAGACAACUUCACCGCCUCGCAAGCGGUCUAAUUUGGAUCGUGGGGAUAAUUAAUCUAGCCUAAAUAAACCCGCAUGUGUGUUUGUCAUCUAGAAUUGGGUCUUUCUAAAUCCUAAUGCUGUAGCUACAUUAAAUCCUGUGAGCGUUUCUAGGGUUGUCUAGUCACAAGAGGGUAGUUUAUGAGCGUCUCUUGACUACCAUAAAAUUAAGGAAAGAUUGGUAGUUGGGCGCGUCGCUUGACCACUAUAACCAGUUUAUUCGUGAGUAUAUGAAUUGUCCCGUGUAUCUGUGAUCAGUUGUGUGCUUCGGUGCCAAGAUUAAUUCCUUGACUAGGUUGUUUAAUUAAUUGUUAUUUGUGUAGUUUGGUUCCUGCUAUCUUAAUCAACUUUAAAUUUCAGUUUUUAUUCCUUUUUAAUUAGUUGGUACUACUGCUAAAAAUCCCCCCCCCCAUUUUCCUGUGUGAUUUGCCUACCUGUUCCCUGUGGAGAUGACCCUAUUCACCACUAUACUCAUUCAGUUUUGGUAGUAGGUCUAAUAUAAAUUUUAUUUUUGGUGGUUUGACACCCACCAAAUUUUGGCGCCGUUGCCGGGGAUCUGGUGUUUUAAGUGACUUAUUGCACAGGCUUUAGUUUUUAUUUUUAUUUUUAUUAGUUUUAUUUAUUUUAUGCCUCGAUCUUCUCGUACAGAAGAAUUAGAAUUUGAUCCAGAGAUUGAGAAGACUGCAAGAAGGUUGACCAAGGAGGCAAAGUUGCGUAAGCAACAAGAUUCAACGUCACCUUCAGAAUCUAAGCAAGAGUUUGUUUCCAGUGAUUCAUCAAGUGAAUCUGAAAAAGAAGAAGUGCAUAUUCCCCGAGUAGCAAUGGCAGCCCCAAGAACUUUGAGGGAGUUGGCAACUCCUAAUGUGAACCAGCAGCCAUUAUGCAUUACAUUUCCUAACACGGAAGAGGCAUUUGAGCUUAAAUCUGGUCUUAUUCACUUACUUCCUACUUUUCUUGGUAUUGCAGGUGAAGACCCACAUAAACACUUGAAGGAAUUUCAUGUGGUGUGCUCCACAAUGAAACCUCAAGGAGUCACUGAGGACCACAUCAAAUUGAGAGCCUUCCCUUUCUCUUUGGCAGAUAAGGCUAAAGAUUGGUUAUUUUACCUGCCAUCUGGAUCCAUCACUACGUGGGAAGAAUUGAAGAGAAGAUUCCUCGAGAAAUUUUUCCCUGCCUCUAGAGCCGCCAAUAUAAGGAAAGAAAUAUGUGGAGUUAGGCAGGCAAAUGGGGAAAUUCUAUAUGAGUACUGGGAGCGCUUUAAACAACUGUGUGCCAGCUGCCCGCAUCAUCAAAUCCCUGAUCAGCUCUUAAUACAAUAUUUCUACGAGGGAUUAUGACCCAUGGAUAGGAGCAUGUUAGAUGCAGCCAGUGGCGGUGCUCUGGUUAACAAGACCACAGACGAAUCCACGUUAUUGAUCUCCACCAUGGCUGGAAAUUCCCAACAAUUUGGAGUGAGAGCUGAUGGAGCAAUAAGAAGGGUCAAUGAAGUGAAUCACUCUGACUUAGAGGGUAAACUAUCUGAGCUUACCUCUCUGGUACGUCAAAUGGCAAGAGGGCAAUUACAAUCUGUGAAGACUUGUGGUAUCUGUGCUGCUCCCAGACACAUGACUGACAUGUGCCCAACUCUCCAGGAGGAUUCACCUGAACAAGCCAACAUAGUGGAAGAUUUUUCUGGACCACCUCCACGAAGGAAUGAUCCUUUUGCACCCACUUACAAUCCAGGGUGGCGAAAUCAUCCUAACUUUAGCUAUGCUUCAAAACCCCCUGGCUUUCAACAACAUUUCCAGCCACGGCCACCAGUGCAACAACCAUCCACUUCCAAUUCAAACAUGUCUCUUGAAGAUAUGGUGAAGUCACUGGCCCAAAGCACGAGUCAAUUACAGCAAGAGACUCAAAGAUCUCAGCAGGAGUCUCACAGAUUUCAACAAGAGACUCGUGCUAGUAUUAGGAAUUUGGAAGUACAGAUGUCUCAAUUGGCAACUUCCAUGAGCAACCUGGAAAAUAGUAAUAGAGGAAAGUUACCAUCUUAAGUAAUUCCUAAUCCCAAGGAGAAUGCCAGUGCAAUGCAAUUACGGAGUGGCAAGGAGGUACAGUCUCCUAGGCGUGCCCAUGCCAAAGAAGAAGAAGUACCCAGGAAGGUGGAAGAGGAAGAUGAGAAACAAUCCUCUGAAGUCUCAAAGAAAGUUGACAUUCCUCCUCCUUUUCCUGGCAGGUUUACAAGAGCCAAAAAGGAAGAAUCUGAGCAAGAGAUUUUGGACACCUUCAGGAAAGUGGAGAUCAAUAUUCCUUUAUUGGAUGCUAUUAGGCAAUUGCCUAAAUAUGCUAAAUUUUUUAAGGGUUUAUGCACUAACCGCAAUAAGUUGAGUCUGGAUGACAAGGUGAAGGUGGGGGAGAAUGUCUCAGCGAUGUUUCAAAGGAAGUUGCCCCAGAAAUGCAAGGAUCCAGGUAUGUUUACUAUACCAUGCAUAAUUGGCAAUCAAAGAAUUGAAAAAAGCAUGCUUGACUUAGGUGCUUCAAUAAAUGUCAUGCCUCUCUCAAUUUUUAAAGUUUUGAAUUUAGGACCCCUCAAAGAAACUAGGGUAAUCAUUCAACUAGCUGAUAGGUCGAAUGUCUACCCUGAGGGCCUAGUUGAAGAUGUUCUAGUAAAGGUCAAUGAAUUCAUUUUUCCUGUGGAUUUUUACAUUGUUGAUAUGAAUGAUGCAUACUCUACUGAUUCAGUAGUGAUUCUUUUGGGUAGACCCUUCAUGAGCACAGCAAGGACUAAAAUAGAUGUACAUGAAGGGACUUUAUCUGUGGAAUUUGAUGGAGAGAAGGUCACUUUUAAUAUUUUUGAUGCAAUGAAGCAUCCUGUGGAUACUGAAUCUGUAAAUUUUGUUGGCAUGACUAACACCAUUGUGCAAGAGAAUUUUGAACAGAAUUUCAUGAGGGACAAGUUGGACUUUGUCUUACAACAAGGCAAGACCAAUUUAGAAGUGGACGACAUGGAGGAGGAGGAAGUCAAAGAAGCUAUCAUGUCCUUACAUUCACUACAUCCGCUUCCAGGCAGGUUUGAAAAUUCUUUUCUACCAUUACCCACUUCUAAUGAAAGGAUUCUACCUUCUGUUCAACAGGCACCUAAUGUGGAAUUGAAGGAACUGCCCCAGCAUUUGAAAUAUGCUUACUUGGGAGAUAACAAGACUUUGCCUGUAAUCAUUGCCAAUGAUUUAACUGCGUUGCAAGAAGAGAGGCUCUUACGGGUCUUACGGGUAUUUAAACCAGCAAUUGGAUGGACGUUAGCAGACAUCAAAGGCAUCAAUCCAUUCAUUUGCAUGCAUCACAUCCUUUGGAGUCGGACGUAAAACCCGUGAGAGAGCAUCAACGCAAGCUCAACCCCGCAAUGAAGGAGGUGGUGAUGAAAGAGAUUCUCAAACUCUUAGAAUUAGGAAUUAUUUUUCCUAUUUCUGACAGCCAGUGGGUAAGUCCAGUCCAUGUUGUUCCCAAGAAGACUGGAAUCACGUUGGUGAAAAAUGAAAAGAAUGAGUUAGUGCCAAUGAGAUUGAAAAAUGGGUGGAGAAUGUGCAUUGACUUUAGGAAGUUAAAUGCCGCAACUAGGAAAGACCACUUUCCACUCCCAUUUAUUGAUGAAAUGCUUGAGAGGUUGGUAGGUAAGUGUUUCUUUUGCUUUUUAGAUGGUUACUCUGGAUAUUAUCAAAUUAUUGUUGCUCAAGAGGACCAACAUAAAACCACUUUUACCUGCCCUUUUGGAACUUUUGCAUAUCGUCGUAUGCCUUUUGGUUUGUGUAAUGCUCCUGGAACAUUUCAAAGAUGCAUGAUGAGUAUUUUUUCUGAUAUGAUUGAUAAUUGCAUUGAAAUUUUCAUGGAUGAUUUUACAGUAUACUGUGAUUCUUUUGAUCAGUGCCUAGACCAUUUAACAAAGGUUUUGAAAAGAUGCAUUGAAACAAACUUGGUUCUUAAUUAUGAAAAAUGUCAUUUCAUGGUUAAGGAAGGCAUAGUUUUGGGCCAUGUUGUUUCAUCAAGGGGUAUUGAGGUAGAUAAGGCUAAAAUUGAUUUGAUCACUAGUCUACCUUACCCUACUAAUGUCAAGGAUAUUCGUAGUUUUCCAGGCCAUGCAGGUUUUUACAGGCGUUUCAUAAAAGAUUUUUCAAAAAUUGCUCAACCAUUGUCUCGCUUGCUUCAAAAGGAGGUGCCAUUCAACUUUGGAGAUGAUUGCAAAUUGUCCUUUGACACACUCAAGGGUAUGUUGACCACGGCACCAAUCAUCCAACCCCCAGACUGGAAGCUAUCCUUUGAGCUCAUGUGUGAUGCCAGUCAGUAUGCCGUAGGAGCUGUGCUUGGACAGCGGAGUGGGAAGUGUAGUCACGUGAUAUACUAUGCGUCAAAAACAUUGACACCAGCUCAAUGCAACUACACCACCACGGAGAAGGAGCUUCUAGCCAUUAUUUUCGCUUUUGAGAAAUUUAGAUCAUAUCUAUUGGGGUCAAAAGUAACGGUUUACUCUGAUCAUGCAGCUUUGAAGUAUCUCUUGUCAAAAAGGGAGUCCAAGCCAAGACUCAUUCGUUGAGUGCUCUUGCUGCAAGAAUUUGACUGGGAGAUCAAGGAUCGGAAAGGGGUGGAUAAUUCAGUAGCUGACCAUUUGAGUAGGUUGAUAAGAGAAGAGGAAGCAGUUCCCAUAUCUGAGGUAUUUCCUGAUGAACAUCUUUUCUAUCUCAAAGGUAAGGAACCUUGGUAUGCAGAUAUUGUGAACUUUUUGAUCAGUCAUAAAUUCCCUAUUGGCAUGAGUAAGAGUAAGAGAGAUAAGAUAGUCCAUGAUUCUCGAUACUAUAUUUGGGACGAGCCAUAUCUGUGGAAAAUAGGCUCUGAUCAAAUUAUUCGUAGAUGUGUACCUGAAAGUGAAACUCCUUCUAUCCUUGCUCAUUGUCAUAAUUAUGCAUGUGGUGGCCAUUUUGGACCUAAGAGAACUGCUAGAAAAAUCCUUGAUUGUGGCUUUUAUUGGGAAACAUUGUUUCGUGAUGCUUAUACAUUUUGUAAAAGCUGUGAAAAAUGUCAAAAAUUUGGAAGUUUGUCUCAUAGGGAUGAAAUGCCUCAAGUGCCUAUGUUAUUUUGUGAAGUGUUUGAUGUUUGGGAUAUGGACUUUAUGGGACCUUUUCCUAGCUCUUUUGGAUUUUUGUAUAUUCUGUUAGCAGUUGACUAUGUAUCGAAAUGGGUAGAAGCAAAGGCUACCCGGACUAAUGAUUCUCAAGUUGUUGUAGGAUUUCUCAAAUCUCACAUUUUUAGUAGGUUCGGGGUGCCGAGAGCCAUCAUCAGUGAUCAAGGUACCCAUUUCUGCAAUCGCACCAUUGCAUCUCUCAUGAGAAAAUAUGGAGUGCACCAUCGUGUGAGUACAACAUAUCAUCCUCAGACCAAUGGGCAAGCUGAAGUCUCCAAUCGAGAGAUCAAGAGCGUAUUGGAGAAAACGGUUAACCCCAACCGUAAGGAUUGGAGCUUGCGAUUGGAUGAUGCUUUGUGGGCAUAUCGAACCGCGUAUAAAAUGCCCAUUGGAAUGUCCCCAUAUAGGUUGGUGUUUGGUAAGAUGUGUCAUUUACCUGUGGCUAUUGAGCAUCGUGCAUUCUGGGCAGUCAAGCAAUGCAAUUUCCAUGCGGAUAGAGAUGGCAAUGAGAGAAAGUUCCAACUCCAGGAGUUGGAGGAAAUUCGUCUUGAAGCAUAUGACAAUGCACGUUUGUACAAAGAGCGUACCAAGCAGUUUCAUGACCGUUUAUUGCGUGCGAAACACUUUUUCCCAGGACAACAGGUACUCUUGUUCAAUUCACGGUUGAAAUUCAUGCCAGGUAAGUUAAAAUCUCGUUGGAUUGGACCAUAUGUGGUAGUCAAUGUUUUUCCCAAUGGUGUGGUUGAAAUCCAGAGUUUAGAGACUAAUAAGAGUUUUACAGUUAAUGGUCAUCGUUUAAAAUCGUUUGUUGAUAUUUCAGACAUUGGCACUUUGGAAGAGGUACACUUGAUAGAUCCUAUCUAUGCCUAAUUGCUCACUGUGGAGUCGUCUAGCCAAAGACGUUAAAGAAAGGCGCUUCUUGGGAGGCAACCCAAGGCCUCCAUUUUUUGUUAUAGUUCUCUUUCGUUUUUCGUUGAUUUUGGGUUGUUUUGUUUCAUUGCAAGUGUUGUUUUUGGUGUUGGGCAGGAGACUUGGAUUUACAAGGCAUGCCCACGCCCUAUAAGUGACUCCAUGAAAAGCGUAGAAAUGCUUGGGCAGAAGACUCUGCCUUAUAAGGCGUGGGCACGCCUUACAGCAACUCUGGUCCACUCUGGGGACACAGGCUUGGAUUGAAGACUUCCGCUUCCAUCUGAAGCAACGCUACACCACACCACCGUCAGAGGCUCCACGCUGCCAGUCCCUGAUACCUCCUCUACCAUGGUGUUUUGCUGUAGUUUUUUUUUCAUUCAGGGAAGUUUCUUUUGCUCCCUUCACUUGACUUCAACUUUUCAUUCUUACAUUAAGGACAAUGUAGACUUUAGGUGUGGGGGGAGUAGUCUAGCUUUUCCUUCUUAUUGCUUUUCCUUCUUCAAAAAAAAAAAAAAAAAAAAAAAAAAAAAACUUUACCAUGCCUUUUGGAUUUUUGUGGUUAGCCUUGAUAAGCAAUGGCUUGAUUUUCAAAUUUAACUAUUGUUAUGGUUUUAGAUGAUAAUAUGUUAAGUAGGAGAUGAUAAAGUUUUAGGAUGUCUCUCUGGUAAAUAUUUGAGAUUUUGUGACUCUAGCAAUUUCUUUUGAUUAACUUUUCUAGGCAUUGUAAAUAUUUGUCUGACAUUUUUGUGUGAACUGGUUCAACUAUUAAUCUUAGUUCUCCAUGUUAAGAAAAUGAAGCAGGCUUGCAAGGUUUUAAUUUUACUUGGGUGUUUAUAUGCGAAUAAUAGUCGGCUAUACUCCGUUGGUUAUCAUUGACUAGUAACCGGGGGUCUUCACCUAAAGUGUCGAUUUUCGCCUCAAAAAGCAACGAUAACUAUGAGUAUGUGGUCUUUAAGCGGUUAAAGUUGAGUAACCGGGCUCCUUCAUUGGAGAGAUGUCGGAGUUCGCGUCAAAAGACUUGAAUGGCUCAAGACUAAGCACUUCUUUCAAGAAAGAAAAAAAAAGCAAAAAAAAAAGAAAAAAAAGAAGGAAAAAGAAACAAAAAAAAAGAAAAAAAUGAGAAAGAAAAAAAAAAGAGUGUGUAUGAGCAUGAAGGUAUGUGAAUAAUUGUAUUACCUGCGGAUCCAUGAGUCUUUAUGUUGAGAUUUUGCUUAAUAGUUGGACCAGUUAUUAAAAAAAAUGUUGGUUGGAUAUUUUCUAUUCUUAGAUUAGUUAGUCUGGAUUUGAAAGAGUCAUUGGUUUCAAAAGCUAGUUGGAGAGUUAUCUCGUAAAAUUUGUCAUCAGUACUUGACAGUUAUCUAAAUUAUACAUUGGCAAUAGUUGCUUUGAUUAAUAGCCAUUGUUUUGAAUUCAACUGCUGCAAAAUGUUUGCUCGCUUGGUUGUGUAUUUAAAGUUUGAAAUGCUUGAGGACAAGCAUUGUCUUGGUGUGGGGGAAUUUGAUAGGGAUAUAAUUAUGCAUUUUAUUUGUGGUUAUUUGGUCUUAAUUUUGGCAGUAUAGUAUGCAAAGUAUUGGAUUUCUGCUCAUAAUUAGUAUUGAUGUUAAUUACAGGCAAUUAGUGUUGAAAGUGACAAAAGGGAGGCAAAAAUCCAGAAGACUCUUGCUUCUCUGGCGUGCCCACGCCGGACAACACAGAGUUGCGUGAAAAAGCCGGAUCGCGGGCCCAAGCCCUGGAACAACCAUUCUGAUUGGAAGAUACCUUUUUACCAUGCGUGAGAUCAGGAAACCUUAAAAGCAAGAAGUCGUUUGGCAACAAACAACUAAGAAAGUAAGAAAAAUGAAUCCUUUUGGGAAACACAGGAGAAUUGGAAACCAAUUGGAAUUGGAAAGCAAGUGCUGCGAAGACCUUUAAGUAGCAGAGGAAAUAGAAUUCGAAGAGAACUUUUGGCAACAAUCCAAUGAGGGAAAUAAGGAAACAAUCCUUGUGGGAAACAAAUUCCAAUUCAACAAGCAAAGGGAAGCGGCGGCAACACUAUAAAUAAAAAGGCAGCAAUAGACUAGGGCAUCUUCUGUCUUGGACUUGUCUUUUUGUUUUUCUUUUCUCUCUUUUUCCUCUGGAACGCAAGUAGCAAAUAGCAGCCGACAUCUUUUACUACUUCCUCAAUCGACAAAAACUCCAUGAAAACUCUGAAUUGCUUUAUGAUUAUACGGCAAGGCUAGUUCUUUUAUCUAGUUGAGGAAUAAAUCAAGGAUUGGAGCACCAUAACUGUGAGAUCGUUUUAAUUGUUUUAUUUUUAAUUUAUAUGUUCAUGGGUAUUUGAUUAUUCUCUAUUUUUCCCUGAGUUAUUAUUGUUUAGAUUUAUUGGAUAAUUAGGCCUGUUAUUCGAUUGUCUAAAUAAUUGAUAGCCAAUUAGGAUGUUGGCGCGUAGCCUUUAAACAUCUUGAUUAGUGGCAAACGAGACAACUUCACUGCCUCGCAAGCGGUCUAAUUUGGAUCGUGGGGAUAAUUAAUCUAGCCUAAAUAAACCCGCAUGUGUGUUUGUCAUCUAGAAUUGGGUCUUUCUAAUUCCUAAUGCUGUGGCUACAUUAAAUCCUGUGAGUGUUUCUGGGGUUGUCUAGUCACAAGAGGGUAGUUUAUGAGCGUCUCUUGACUACCAUAAAAUUAAGGAAAGAUUGGUGGUUGGGCGCGUCGCUUGACCACUAUAACCAGUUUAUUCGUGAGUGUAUGAAUUGUCCCAUGUAUCUGUGAUCAGUUGUGUGCUUCGGUGCCAAGAUUAAUUUCUUGACUAGGUUGUUCAAUUAAUUGUUAUUUGUGUAGUUUGGUUCCUGCUAUCUUAAUCAACUUUAAAUUUCAGUUUUUAUUCCUUUUUAAUUAGUUGGUACUACUGCUAAAAAUCCCCCCCAUUUUCCUGUGUGAUUUGCCUACCUGUUCCCUGUGGAGACGACCCUAUUCACCACUAUACUCAUUCAGUUUUGGUAGUAGGUCUAAUAUAAAUUUUAUUUUUGGUGGUUUGACACCCACCAGUGGUGUCCCCUUCAAGCUUUCUAAAUUAGCAUAUCAUAAAACAAAAAAAGUGUCAAUAGGUUUUUUAAUACUACUUUAAUAUACAUGCACAAAUAUGAAAACAAUCCAGUUUGUCAUCAUCCAAUGUGAUGAAAGCUACUUGAAUUUCUAAACAGAUGGUAUGCGGAACACGGCCCUUGGAGAGUACAAUUAUCUCACUUCACUUAUAGAACGACACAUUUUCUUGUAUGACUUUCCCAUCUAACAAAUAGAGCCGAAUAGAUUGACAAUCUGGUAACCGGAUCUUCAGCUGAUUGCCAUGUUAUAAAAUUAACCACAAUGACCAUUUGCCUGCUUUAAUAAUUUUAGUGUUUUUUAUGAAACUAUUUUUCUUUCAUCAAUGGAUAUUAAAAUUAAGGGUUAAUUAUAUUUACCUCCCUGAGGUAUGGCCAAACUCAAACUAAACCCUGAGACCAAACUACUGAAGAACCCUUCGAAUACACAAAAGCUUAACAAACGUUGACUGCUUGAUAUUAAACGAAAAAGUCAGUGAAUGUCCUAAACUGCUCACAAGCUUAUUCCCAUUUAAGUCUUUAACCCUUCUCUUCCUCAGGGAUUGAAACCAACAGAGUUGCAAAAUUGUUAGUUGCACAAUACUUCGUUGUUCGUGUAGAGUGGAUUUAAAUGGGCACACACUCACUAGCUGCUUAUCAAAAAUACUCCUUCUUCUUCUUCUUCUUCUAUUAAAACACUAUUUCUUCACAAAUUGUCAGCCUUAGAUUUAAUCAAAAGUAGGAAAAAGAAAGAAAAAUAAAAAACACGAAUUGCAAUACCUAUCAAAAUAUAGAUCUUGCAAUUUAACUACCAAAACCAAAUCUUUAGUUCAAAUGAUUGUCCCCUUGACGUGAGAUUUGAAUGAUGAACCCUGUUUAUGAGGUAGUGGAGAAGAGAUUCUGUGCAUUGCUCAUGAGUCGUGGCUAAGAUGGGAUAUGGUUUUGCUUGUGAUUUUUGUGGUAUCAAAUUUUGCUGACUUCUUGUUUCUAUUUUGUCAGCUUUGCUUCUCUUGAAUGUGUACAAAGAAUUGGGUUGCCACGAUUUGGUUUUGUAUACGGCAAUUAUAUGUCUAUUUUUUGUGGGUUUUUAAGGGAGAGGAUAGAAAACGUAGGUUAUGGUGUUAAAAGAUGAAUGAAUUUGCAAUAGUUUGAAAUUGGGAGUGUGUUAGAGAUGAGUGAUAACUUGAAGAUAAGAACAGGAGCCAUUAAGGUUUCGAGGAGUUCGAUGAGAUCUAUGGACAGCAGGAAAUCUUUUUCUUUGUUAAUUUUUUUAUUCUUUCCCGUAUCUAACAACGAGUUUACUUGUUUUUUAUGCAAUGAGUUUCAAGUCAGACUAAUUUUUCUUUGUAUGUUAAGUUUCUGAUUAAUUUUUCUUUUGUAUUUGAACUUCCUUUUUAUUAUUUUCUGCAAUUUCCAUAGUUAUAUUUUCAUUUAUCUAUCAAUUUUUAAAGUUUAGGUAUUGGGAUAAAGAUUUAUUUUGCUCAAUUAUCUUUAUGUUUUCUCCAUUAAACUCUCUCAAUUUUUGUUUUUGCAACUUUUUCUUUUUUUUUGUGAAUUUUAUUUAUUGUUGUCAGUAGAGGGUAAAUUUGUCAUUUUAUUUGUUCUAUUUAUUGGCUCUUGAUAGUAUUAUUGACAAGGAAGGCAAAUGUAAUUUAGUUAAACCUCAAGAUUUGAUUCAUAGUUUGGUCAAACCUUAACGGAGACAAAUGUAAUUAACCCCAAAAUUAACCCACAAGGCCCUUUAGCCCAUUUUAAUAACUUAAUUUAUAUUUGACUAGACUAUUUUACUUCGAUCAAAAGAAAGUUUGAAGAGUCCAGUGAUGCACAUGCCAUUGUUAGCCCUAAAUAAAUAAGGGAUAAUUUUAGAAACCUCCCCUGAGGUUUUCAAUAAUUUCACUCGCCCCUCUUGAAAUUUACAUAAUUACAGAAACCUCCCUUGAUGUAAUAAAAAGACAAUAAUGCCCUUUAUUAAUUGUCAACUCAUUGAAAAACUCUAUUAAAUAUUAAAGCUCUUUCAUCUAUUAUCAAUCAAUAAUUCAAACUAUAGUUUUUCUCAUUUAACUAUCUAUCCUCUUUCUCCUACAUCCAUUUUCCUUUUAAAAUCAUUUAUUUAUUAUUAUCAACCAAAUGUGUACUGUCGCCACUAAUAAAAUCAUUUUAUUCACCAAACCACCAAUAUGUACAUAUCUUGGUAUAUAUUUAUAACUACAUUGGUAUAUAUUUAUAUCUUACCAUGAAAACAAAAUGUUCUUGGUAUAUAUAUUUAUAUCAGCAUUGUGUUUCUAUUGUUGAUUUAUAAUUAUUGAUGUUAUUCCUAUAUAGAGAAUUUGAUUGAUUUUAAACUCUGUGCCAAUGGAGAACAAACUACCAUGUAAGACAUGAAACUAUCAAUAAUUAGCAAUUAACUGUGGCAAGAUGUACACUUCUCAAUUUAGCAUUAUUCCAAGUAGAAGAGGCAAAGCCAUAUGAAUUUGAAAAGGGACAUAUAGAUAGCUGGGGGAGAUGGAAAGCAAGUUUUAUAGUGAAUAUUGGGCUAAUAGAUAAUAUGAUAGCACUUAGCAGAGCUGUGGGGAGUACUCAAAAGGAUAAAAAUGGCUUGGAACUCUGGAGAAAGAAGAGUGAUUCUGGACACGAAUUGCAAGGCAGCUUUGGAACUAAUACAAGGAGCAGGACAGGACUCACCACUAUACAAUCUAACAUGUCAGAUCAGGAAUGUUUUAAGCAGGGGUCGGGAAUCCUGGCAACAACAUGUUUGGAGAAAGAAGUAAGUGUGCAGACUAGCUAGCUAAAAGUAGUGUCAACAAAGAAUCUGGGAUGCAGAUUAUAACAGAACCGCCACAGGAACUUAGUGAAUAGCAUGGUGCAAAUAUUUUAGGGGCUGCGACCCUAUGUUUUGUUUCUGUUUAAGAGGUUUGACCUCUCCCUUGUAAACUUAACAAAAGGAACAUACUAGGCAGAGAAGUAAAUGCGGUCAACACAUUUGCAAGCAAAACAUUUUGGCCAAAGCACCUUUGCCCUUAAAAAAUAGUGAAACAUGUGAAAUUCAGCACAAGUAAGGCUAACAAGUAUAUUCUGGAGAAUCAUGGACUCUCAAAACAUACCAUAAGAAGUUGUCCAUGCUGUUCUAAUAACAUUCCUAGUUCAUGAAUUUUUACGGAGGAAGAUCUUUUUUCACAUCAAAACUAAUUGAUGAGUUUUGGUCCUCUUUCCAAGCUCUUCCAAAGUGAUACUAGUACAAGUCCUUAAGUAGACUUGAGAUGCAGCCUUAGAACAAUAUCACCAGAUUUCUCAGUCACCAGAUGCAACACCUUAGACUUGAGAUGCAACCUUAGAGGUUUGUGUUCUAGAAUAAAUUUAUAAGUUAGCAGAAAAAAAAAGUCUACAGUAUCUCAACUUGCAGGACUACAACCAUAGCUAAUAUACAGCUUUUAAGGCAAAGUACAAAUGCAAUGAUUGGAGCAACUUGUCCAGGUUUCUAAAAAAAUAAAUAAAUGGAAACAAAGGAAAUGAGAGUCGAUUUGUGAGUGUGCACAUUUACACAAAGAUAGAGCACUUCCAACAGGAAAACAUUAGGAAAGAGCUUGAAGUCUUGACAGACAUAUUUCAAUCACCUCAAUUCAAGAAACAUUCAAGGCUGCUUUUGAACUAGACUAAGUGCAUGGAUCUAAACGAGUUGAAUUUUGAAGUGAAAAAAAUGUUGCUUUUGAAAAGCAUUCAAAUCUGUAGAAUUUACUCUUACUACCUUAAUUGUAAUGCAUUUAGCUCUAUAAACAACACCACAAUGAUGAUUUGUAGACGAUUUAAGUAAAACUGAAAAGGGGAUGCUUUGAGCACUACCAGGAAUUGCUGAAAAGGGGACGCUUUGCAGUUUAAUGUGAAAUUAAAACCAAAAAAUAAAAUAAACCAAGCGCUUGAAAAUAGAAUAACCAAGAAUUUGAUAAAAUCUUAAAGAAACAUACAAUCUAAAUUUUUUUAGAAAGUAAAAUCCAACGGUUUCAGAGAAUAAUAUAUCAAACCCAAUAAAGAACAAAAUCUUCAAAAUAAGAACAUGCUGCUAAUGUUCAAUUAAACUAGUAACAAUAAAGUUUAUAAAAAAAGGGGGGAGAAUUUCCCUCAGUCACCGCCGGCUUGGUGCAGGUGUUCUUCUUGCGCUUCUUGGCGCCACCAUCGAGGUGGAGGACAAGGUAGAGGGCUGACUCCUUCCGGAUGUUGUAGUCGACUAGGGUGCGGCUGUCCUCGAGCUGCUUGCCAGUGAAGAUAAGCUACUGCUGGUCCGGGGAUGCCCUCCUUGUCCUGGGCAGAAUUUUUUUUUAAAAAAAAAUUAGGGCAAUAAAAUUUGGGGAGAAAAUGAAACAAUUGAUCAUCUAAGUAGGGUAGAAAAGGUGAUUGCAAAUGAUGGUGAUUGCUAAUUAGGGUAAGAAACUUUGGGGAAACUAGACAAAUGAUAGAGAAGAAGAGAAUUUACGCAAAAAUUGAAUGUUGGGAACACAAAAUCGGGUCAAUAAAAAUUGGGGGAAAUUGAUUACUAAGCAAGAAGAGAGAAACUUGCCAUUUUACAGCACAUGCUCUGAGGAAACAUAUCAAAAUCAGUAGCCCAACAAGGAGGAAUGCUCGAGCAUUAGUGAGAAAGAAAUUGAGAGGGGUCGAAGUGAGAGAGAGACCAAGAGAGACAGUGAGAAGGCCAGCGAGUGAAAAUGUGAGAAUUAGAAGUGUAUCAGACUUAGCCCAAAAGUGGUAGACUUGUACUCUUUCAUUUUGAAAUUUGCUUUUUAAAGAAUGCCUCCACCAAUUUUCAAUUCUCGCUGUUUCUUUUUCAUUUUGAACGAAAAAUUUGAUCCAAUUUUUAGUUUUAUCUUUUUAUUUAGAUUCUCAAAGAAAGGUUAUUUUCUUUGUAUUAAAUUAAACAUUUUAAUUAAGUAUAUUAGAUCGGGAAUCUACUUUCAUAUUAUUUUAAGAAAUAAUUCAUUAUUUUUAAACAUGAAAAAAGAAAAAUCUUAAUUAUGUGUUAAGAACUUUCUAUCAGUUUCUAGAAAAUUUUGUUAGUUUUGUCUAAUAGUACUAUAUUUUUUUAGAUGUUUUAUAUUGAAGAAUCAUGAAUGUAAACUUGCACGAAACUAUAGUAUACGUAUUGAUUUGUAAGAAAAAUAUGUAUUCGUUUUGACUUUUAGCAAAUAAACAUUAAAUUUGAAGGAAUUGCAGUAAUUAGUAGUCCUGAUUUCAUUACUUAACUUAUAUAACACAACUAAUUCUGCUUUUCAUUAAAAUGAAUUUGUACUUAAUGAGUUUCAACAUUUGACCAAUUAGAUGUCAAGGAGCCAUUGACAGUACCCAAAAUUAAGGUAUUUGAAUUUAGAGGCCUUGAGUUCUAAUUGUAAUAGUUUAUAUAGUUGUUCUAACUAAAAACUUUCAUUAAUUUUUUUCAGUUAAAAACUUAUUGAGUAACUAUGACUAGUUUAAUAAAUUAUCAAAUUUUAAAAAAUUUAAAUUAAUAUUUAAGUAACUAUGACUAGUUUAAUAAAUCAUCAAAUUUAAAAAAAAUUAAAUUAAUAUUGAGUCUCACAAUUAAAUAAAGUCAUAGUUAAUAAAUCAUCAAACUUUAAAAAAAUUUAAAUUAAUAUUGAGGCUAACAAUUAAAUAAAUGCAUUAGAGAUGUUCAAAUUAGUGAUGAUACUUAUGUUGUCACUAACUAUACUAUAGUUUUACUGACAAAAAUUGGUCGUCAAUAAACAUAAACAGUGAUAAUAAUGAAAAGUUGUCAAAGAAAGUGGUAGAAUUACUGAUAACUUUUAUCAAGUCGUCACUAUCGCAAAACUCACGCCUUCCAAGUCCCAUGGCGCGAAAUAGUUUUGUGACGACAAUUAAAGGUUGUCACUGAAAACUCAGUUGCUUUGAGUCAAUUGUGACAACCUUCAAAGUCGUGACUAAACAACCUCAUUUUGUGACGACUUUGUGUCGUCACAAAGAAAUGUUGUCACUAAUGACCUUUUUUCUUGUAGUGGCAAUAUUCCUACUAUGAACAAAAAAUAUUAAAAACCGUAGGAAAGUGGUUCCUAGGCUAAUAAGGCACUUACAAAAGAGUUUAGAAAAUAUUUCUAAACUCAAAACAAGAGAGCCUAAAAUAUUUGACUAAAUGGGUUAGAUGACUCAAGAAACUAAUAGCCCAUAUAACUCUCUUGAGUGGUGCACCUAAAACCUUCAAUAGGCUUCUUUAUUUAUAGGAAACCAAAGGAAGAAUUCCUUUGGCUUCUAUUGAUGUGAGACGAAGCAGAAAACGCGUUUGUUGACCAGCGCGUCAUUCAACAAAUCUCCACCUUGAUGAGUCCCCCAACAUCGAGAGAUUAUAAACUUGCUUCACCUUCUCCAAAUAAGCCCCAAUGGGCAUAAAUCACCAACAAUAAAUAUCAAUCAAGUCCAAGCGUUGCUUAAACUUGUAAAUUGAAAGAGAUUUUAUAAACAUAUCGGCUAGAUUGUUCUUAGUAUUGAUUUUCUGAAUAAGGACUUUUCCCUCAGCAAUGAUAUCCCGAAUGAAGUGAUACUUCACAUCAAUGUGUUUCGUCCUCUCAUGAUACAUCUGAUCUUUAGUCAAGUGUAUGGCACUUUGACUAUCAUAGUGAAUAUCAGUAACACCUUGAUAUAGACUUAACUCGCUAAAUAAACUCUUCAACCACAAGGCUUCUUUGAUUGCCUCGAUCAAAGCCAUAUAUUCUGCUUUUGUAGUAGACAAAGCUACGACAGGCUGUAGAGUAGCUUUCCAACUAAUAGCACAACCGCCAAUGCAAAAUACAUAGUCUGAAAGUGAUCUUCUCCUGUCAAGAUCUCCAGCGUAGUCUGAGUCUACAAAAUCAACCAAAGUGUUAUUAUUUCUUCCAAACUCCAAACAUGCAUUUGAAAUACCUCGCAAGUAUUUGAAAAUCCACUUCACAGCCUGCCAAUAUGCUUUAUCGGGGCAAGACAUAUAUCUGCUAACAACACUGACUGCAUGUGAGAUAUCUAGACGAGUACAAACCAUUGCAUGCAUAACACUGCCAACUGCACUGGAAUAAGGAACCCGUGCCAUAUAAUCUUCCUCUUCAUCUGAUUGUGGUGAUUGAGCAGCAGAUAACCGAAAAUGGCUAGCAAGAGGAGUAGAUACUGGUUUAGCAUCUUUCAUGCCAAAACGCUCCAAGACCUUCUCAAGGUAAUUUUUCUGGGUCAAGAACAACUUCCCUACUCCUCGAUCUCGAUUGAUAUCCAUGCCAAGAAUUUUCUUAGCUGCUCCUAAAUCUUUCAUUUCAAAUUCACUAUUUAACUACAGUUUCAAAGUGUGAAUUUCUGACAAAUUCUUGGCAGCAAUGAGCAUAUCAUCAACAUAAAGUAGCAAAUAAAUGAAAAAAUCAUCAUUUAACUUCCGGAAAUAAACACAACUAUCAUACAUGCUCCUUGAAUAAUCAUGACCCAACAUAAAGGAAUCAAACCUUUUAUACCAUUGUUUUGGAGACUGUUCAAUCCAUAUAAGGAUUUCUUCAACAAGCAAACAUGGUUUUUCUUACCUUCAAUCUCAAAACUCUGGGGUUGUUUCAUAUAAAUUUGUUCCUCAAGUUCGCCAUGCAAGAAAGCUGUCUUAACAUCAAGCUGCUCUAAUUCCAAAUCAUACAUGGCAACUAAAGCAAGCAAAACACGAAUAGAGCUAUGUUUAACAACAGGUGAAAAAACUUCAUUAAAAUCAACACCUUGUACCUGACUAUAGUCUUUUGCAACUAAUCGUGCUUUAUACCUUGUAUCUUCAACCCCUGGAAUACCUUUCUUUUUCUUGAAAAUCCAUUUGCAUCCAACAAUUUUCUUCGCUGACGGCGGCUUUACAAGAACCCAAGUUUCAUUCUGAUGAAGAGAUUCAAUUUCUUCAUUCAUCGCAAUCAACCACUUUGCAGAAUCAUCACAAGAAACUGCUUCUGAAUAGGUGAAAGGCUCACCAAUUGCAUCAGUUUCUUCUGCAAUAGACAAAGCAUACGCAACUAAAUUUGCAUAUCUUUGUAGUGGUCGAAUGUCUCUCCUUGCUCUAUCUCUGGUUAUGAAAUACUCUUCUUCUUCUGAACUAUCUUCAAUAGUAGAUUCAGGUACAUCUACUGGCAUUUGUUAAAUAGAAGAUUUGGUCUAAGAAGGACCAGAACUGCCAAUAUCAAGCUCCACCUGCUUCUGUGUACUAUCAGUAGUACAAGGACUAGAAGACUCCUUCUUAGAAAAAAAUAUAGAUAAUUCAUCAAAAGUAACAUCUCUACUGAUUACAAAUUUUGGAGAUUUGGGAUCAGGAUACCAUAAUCUGUAUCCUUUCACCCCAGAAGUAUACCCAAGAAAAAUGCACUUUUUAGCUCUAGAUUCCAAUUUUUCAUCAUUCAUGUGUAUGUAUGCUGGACACCCAAAAACUUUUAAAUUGGAGUAAUCAGCAGGAGUACCUGACCAAACUUCCUCAGAAGUUUUGAAACCAAGAGAUGCAGAAGGAGAACGGUUGACAAUAUAACAGGCCAUAUUGAUCGCCUCUGUCCAAAAGUCAUUUGUCAACCGUGCAUUGGAGAUCAUAUAUCUUGCUCUCUCCAAAAGCGAUCUGUUCAUACGUUCAGCCACACUAUUUUGUUGAGGCGUCAUCCUGAUGGUGUGAUGCCGAACAGUUCCUUCAUUUUUGCAAAAUCUAUCAAAUUCACCUCCACAAAAUUUCAUGCCAUUAUUUGUUCUCAACCGCUUAAUAUGUUUUUCUGUUUGCUUCUCAAUCAAAACUUUCCAUUGCUUGAAAGUUAGGAAAACAUCAUUUUUAUAUUUAAGAAAAUAGACCCAAACUUUCCUUGAAUAAUCAUCAAUGAAAGUCAACAUGUACCUGACACCACCUUUAGAAGGAGCACGAGAAGAACCCCAUAGAUCUGAAUGAAUGUAAUCAAGAGUACCUUUUGUCUUGUGAAUUACUGGUGAACUGAAGCUGACUCUUUUCUACUUCCCAAAAAUACAAUGUUUACAGAAUUCCAAUGGCCCGGUACUUUGUCCACAAUGAAGUCCUCUUUUGCUCAGUAUGCCCAAGCCUUUUUUGCUCAUGUGCCCCAAACGCAUAUGCCAGAAUUUGGUGAUGACUGUAUCUAACAAAAAUAAUGUUGAAACAGCAGCAGCACCUGUAACAGUAGAUCCCUGCAAAAUAUACAAAGUACCAGAUCUGUGUGCCUUCAUAACAACAAUAGCACCUCGAGUGAUUUUGAGAACUCCUUCUCCACCUGGAUACCUGCACCGAAUAGACUCAAGAGUGCCCACAGAGAUGAGAUUUUUCUUCAAAUCUGGAACAUGUCUAACAUCUGUGAGCGUCCUCACAAUACCAUCGUACAUUUUAAUCCGGAUUGUGCCUUUACCAACAACUUUACAAACGGCGUUGUUACCCGUUAAGACAACUCCACAUUCAGUUGAUUCAUAUGUUAAAAACCAGUCCCUAUUGGGACACAUAUGAUAUGAAUAACCCGAAUCUAAAAUCCACUCAUUGUUAGACCUAAAAAUAUUUUUCGUUGUAUAGAAAAUGGUUCCAUCAUUCUCAUCAGCUGCUAUACUAGUUUCAGCGGAUUCAGUAUUUUUCUCAACAAAUCUCCCUUUUUGCUUUUCUUUAUUUUUCAGUUUAAAACAAUCAGAGAUAACAUGACCCUUUUUUUUACAAUAGUUGCACACCACAUUUUUAUGUCUGGACUUGGAUCUACUUUUAUUUUCUGUAUUUCUCUUUUCAGAUCUACCCCGAACAAACAAGCCAUCGGCUUGACUUCCACUAGUUUCCCCAGUAAUAUCCCUAUCUAUCUGCUUUUUAGAUUUUAAUACAGAUUUAAUUUUUCGAUACGAAAUUGUUUCCUUUCCAUAAAUCAUAGUAUCACGGAAAUGCUUAAAGGACUGGGGAAGGGAACACAAAAGUAAUAGGGUUUGAUCUUCAUCAUCAAUUUUCGAAUAUAUAUUCUCCAAAUCCAUAAUAAUGGAAUCAAAUUUAUCAAGAUGGGAGAGUAUAGAUUUACUUUCAGACAUUCGAAACAUAUACAGGCUCUGCUUCAAAUAUAGCCGAUUCUCGACUGUCUUCUUCAUAUACAAGGCUUUCAAUUUAUCCCACAUAGCCUUGGCCGAAGUCUCCAUUGCUACCUCACGCAAUACCUCAUCGGAGAGAUUUAAGAUUAUGCUGGAUCUGAUCUUCUUAUCCAUAUCGGCGAAAUCUGCAUCCUUUACAUCUUCUGGCUUUUUCUCAAUUCCUUGAAUUGCCAAAUCAACUUCGUCUUGAACAAGAAUGGCCUCCAUCUUGAGCUGCCACAUGCCGAAGUUAACAUUCCUGUCGAAUUUCUCGACAACCAUCUUUGUUAUCGUUAUUGUUGCCACAAAAUCUAUAACUUGAAACUUGUCUCAAAAAAAACUGGUCAAACAGAUAUGCAAGUCUCGUGAAUGGGCCCAUAGGAUAAGCGGGCCCCACGAGAUAAGCAGGCCCCAAGGGAUGAACCCACAAGGUGAGUGGACCCCAUGAGAUGAACGGGCCCCACAAGGUAAGCGGGCCCUACAAAUAAACGGGCCCCACAAGAUGAGUGGGCCCCAUAUGAUGAACCGGACCCACCAGAUGAACGGGCUUCACCAGAUGAACGGGUUUCACCAGAUGAACCUGUCUUGCAAAAUAUAACAAUCAACUCUGAUACCAGUUUGUUAGGACCGGUCCAGGAACAAACAAACCAGAGUUAGUACAAAUUAGGCGAUAAAACCGACCAUAUAAAAGGGUUGCACCAACCUAAUAAAAGCAAAUAAUAAAGCAAAUAAAAGACACAAAAGAUUUACGUGGUACGAUCAAAUUGACCUACGUCCACGGGCGAGGGAGGAGCAAUAUUUCUACUAUGAAGAAAAAAUAUUAAAAGCCGUAGGAAAGUGGUUCCUAUACUAAUAAGGCACUUACAAAAGAGUUUAGAAAAUAUUUCUAAACUCAAAACAAGAGAGUCUAAAAUAUUUGACUAAAUAGAUUAGAUGACUCAAAAAUCUAAUAGCCCAUAUAACUCUCUUGAGUGGUGCACCUAAAACCUUCAAUAGGUUUCCUUAUUUAUAGGAAACCUCCUUUGGCUUCUAUUGAUGUGGGACGAAGCAGAAAACGCGUUUGUUGACCAGCGCGUCAUUCAACAUACACGAAUAUUAAUUAGAUAUAAUGUCAUUGUUUCAAAAUUGAAUAAGUAAUUUACAUUGAGUUACAUUUUGUUUAGAAAGUGUUGUACAACUUAGGCAAGUUAAGAACUGAAAAUCUUUUUCAGUUUUUUGUCCCUCAUGUUUAUCCGUUCUUUCUUCAACUUACAUUCAGCUGUAAUCGCUGAAUUUAAAGUGGAAGCGAUGCAUGUACUUCAACAAUGUCGGAAACAGUUACUGUCCUUAGCUACCUCAACUCCACACCAUUUAUACAUAAUGUGCUUGCUGUAUAUCCCAGGCUGGGAUUUGGACACAUUCCAGUGUUGGAUUGUGGUGGGGUUUAAUACCAAAUCAAUGGAUUAAACCCAUUAUAUAAAGGAGGCAAACGAACAAUUUUAUUAUGCUCAAAAUAUAUAUAACAACAACACACAAAAUAAAUUUAUAUUGGACACUAAUUAUUGAACCUCACUCUCGAGAAUAUUGCUCUAAUUUAUCAGAGGCUCACUCUUGAGAUAUCUGCUCAAACACUCACUCCACAAUUGAACUCGUUCAUUUCCUAUCUUUCACUUGAGCUUUGGUGCCCUUCAACUGAGGAAAUGGCAUUAUUUAUACUAGUAAGGAUCCUACAAGCGGCUGUAAUUUUUCUCUUCUCAUUCAAUGCCCAAUUGCCAGAAAAUCUGGUGAACUUUGCAAGUAAAUCUGGUUCAAGAUACAAGCACGAACCAAAUUGAUCAGCCGCCCACGUUCAGCUUCAAGAUGGACUUUGGCAAUUUGUCUAUUGCCAAUAAAUGAGUAAAACAAACACUCCAAAGCCAUAAAUUUAUUCUGAACACCCUAACUAAAGGUUCAUCACUUUUUAGCACAAACAACAUUUUCAAAAGACAUAUUAAUUAAUUAAUAAUAAACCUCAAUGAUAGAUCUCAAGCCCAAUACUGCAGUUAUCUUAUAGUCACAGAAGCCUGCCUCAGAGAAAAGUUUCGCCCAAUCUUUCUCAUUUCUUUGCCUUCCUUUGACUAGAACCAUCGCCCCCAUAUCAUAGAACAGUUGGGUCUCAAUCGCCUCAUGAUCAUCAUCCCCUUUCUGCUGGCUUUU
rnacentral:lncRNA from 1 species